GUGGGACAAGCACAAAACCUGAAAUGCAGGAACCGACAAGCAUAGAAUUAGUAGCGAGGAAUUGAUCAUUUCUGUGUGGCCAUCCCAACAGAAACUCAUUCAACAUGCUUACAAAUGUACACAAAAGCAACAUCUGAGACCAAGAUUUCUGUAGCUCUUCGUUGCCUAGAUCUGCUCAAGCACCUCGAGAACCACCUCCAUUGAGGGCCUGCUCCCAGGCUCCCCGGCAAGGCAGCUCAGCGCCACAUGCACUACCUGCAGGGCUUGUUUGGAGUUGUAUUGGCCCUCCAGCCGGCGGUCCAUAAGAUGAGCAUGCUUUCUACCGUCGGCCAAGGGCUUUGCCCAGUCAAUGAUGUUCGUUUGCCCCUUGGGACGGUUGGGAUCCCUAGCUCGCUUACCGGACAGGAUCUCCAGCAUCAUAAUCCCGAAACCGUAAACGUCACUUUGCGCAUAUAAAAGGCCUGGAUAUGGUUCACAGCAUGAAGUGAGAACAACCAUCAACUCCUAAGAAAAGCUACUAUAUGUAGCAACUUGUAGAUUCUAAAUUUUAAAAGAUUGAAUGGAGCUAGAAACUCAACAUUUAGUACAAAGAGCGAUUUAUUAUGAAAAAUUAUCCACUUGAAAAAUCUCAACUAUAAUAAAUGAUCACAAACCUAUUUGAUGCAAAACUUCAAAUUUGGAAAUAUACGAUGAGUGAGAAGGACACAUACCACUUAUGACAUAUUCCGGAGCUGCAUACCCGUGGUUGCGCGUGGGCAUGACAGUCAUACGUGAGUUGCCAGUUGACCCAAGCUUAGCAAGCCCAAAAUCAGAGAGCUUUGCGUUAUAGUGCUGCGCAGCAAAAUACGGUCAAAAUUUGAUCUUGAUAAAUAGGCAACACAUAAAAGAUACGUUGCAGGGUAGGAUGCUUACUGCAUCUAGAAGAAUCUUGGAAGCCUUGAAGUCACGGUACAUGGCUUGCUUCUCUGAUGCAUGCAAGAAGGCAAGUCCUCGAGCUGCGCCGAUGGCAAUCUUCAGCCUCAGUUCCCAUGAUAGUGGAGGACGUCUUCCUGAAACUAAUUGCAAUUGACUCCGGCUUCAGUGUCAGUACUUUUCAGUCAAUUGGUUUUUCAAGAGUUGCAAUCUCUUCUAGAAUCAGUAUUGCAGAGAUGCAGGAUGAACCAUUUUUUUAAAGUAAAACCCUAGAAGAAAGGAUGAAACAAAUGGUGGUCAGCAACAACUCACAUGCGAAUAGAUGGUCUUUUAAGCUCCCUUGGGCCAUGAAGUCGUGCACAAGGAAUAGUUCCUUGCCCUCCCAGCAGUAGCCCAGUAGCUUGACAAGGUUUGGGUGAGAGAACUUUCCCAAAAGGUUUAUGUCCGAUUGCAAGUUGACAACCAGAAAUUUCUGUUACGCACGGUAGUUGCAGCCACAUUUAGGAGCGAUGACUCUGUUGGAAUCUCAAAAUUCAUGACUUAUUUAAUCAGUAAUUAAGGGCAAGAUUUUACCUGCCAUUCCUCUUUUCCCUGCAUGACAGCAACAGCCAUGCCGGUGCCACUCGUUGUCGGGUUCAUCGUCUUCUCAUCGACCCAUGCUUUGUACACCGACCCNNNNNNNNNNNNNNNNNNNNNNNNNNNNNNNNNNNNNNNNNNNNNNNNNNNNNNNNNNNNNNNNNNNNNNNNNNNNNNNNNNNNNNNNNNNNNNNNNNNNAUGUCUGACUUGGGUGAACUACACCACUUUCUUGGGAUCAAUGUCACCCCCAACUCCUCGGGUCUAUUUCUGUGCCAAUAACAGUACACCCUUGAGAUUCUUGAGAGAGCCAAAAUUCUCAACUAUAAGCCGGUUUCCACACCCAUUAACACUAGCUCCAAGCUAUCUUCCUCCUCGGGUGCUGUUCUUUUCAAUCCCACCAAAUACCGGAGCUUAGCCUGCGCAUUGCAAUACCUCACACUAACCAGGCCCGACAUCUCUUAUGCGGUCCAACAGGUGUGCUUGUUUAUGCAUGAACCUCGUGACGUUCACAUGCAGCUCGUCAAACGAAUCCUACGAUAUCUUCAUGGAACCUCUCACUACGACAUUCAGCUAUACAAAGCAUCUACCUCCGAUCUACUUGCAUAUACCGAUGCCGAUUGGGACGGAUGCCCGGACACCCGUCGCUCCAUGUCUGGGUUUUGUGUCUUCCUCGGCUCCAACAUCGUCUCAUGGUCAUCCAAGCGCCAGCCCACCGUCUCCAGAUCAAGUGCUGAAGCGAGAGAGAGAGAGAGAGAGAGAGGGAGAGGGAGAGAGAGAGAGGGAGNNNNNNNNNNNNNNNNNNNNNNNNNNNNNNNNNNNNNNNNNNNNNNNNNNNNNNNNNNNNNNNNNNNNNNNNNNNNNNNNNNNNNNNNNNNNNNNNNNNNNNNNNNNNNNNNNNNNNNNNNNNNNNNNNNNNNNNNNNNNNNNNNNNNNNNNNNNNNNNNNNNNNNNNNNNNNNNNNNNNNNNNNNNNNNNNNNNNNNNNNNNNNNNNNNNNNNNNNNNNNNNNNNNNNNNNNNNNNNNNNNNNNNNNNNNNNNNNNNNNNNNNNNNNNNNNNNNNNNNNNNNNNNNNNNNNNNNNAGAGGAAGAAGAAGAGAUAGAGGGGGGGGGGGAGAGGGAGAGGGAGGGAGAGAGAGAGAGAGNNNNNNNNNNNNNNNNNNNNNNNNNNNNNNNNNNNNNNNNNNNNNNNNNNNNNNNNNNNNNNNNNNNNNNNNNNNNNNNNNNNNNNNNNNNNNNNNNNNNAAAGACGACUUGAGACAGAUGAGAUAACUCCGGAAAGAAUUGAGAGAAUGAUCUGCAAAAUUAGAGAGGAUUGAAUUCACUGAAGAGAAACACACCGGUUGAAUGGAAUUGAUACGAUGACUCCGGUUGAAAGGAAUUGAUAAGACAAUUGAUAGAGCAAAAGAAUUAAUACUCUCAUAAAAAUAUGAGAACACCUCUUAGAAAAGAUCUGAAAUCACCACUUGACAUCGAAGCAACUUGAAUUACCAUAUUCCAACAAAGGGUACGGCUUGCAAUUAGCCAGAACAAACUCAUGAGAAAGAUUUCGUCCGAUAUUUUCGUGGACAGGAAUCCACUAGAUGUCGAACCCCAACCUAACAUCAUGCAUUUGUUGGAAGAUUGUCCUAUAAGAAACUACUUGAAUUCCCACCUAUGAAUUCCCGAAAUAUCUGGUCAUGCAAUAUGGUACACGGAUACAAGGAGUAAUAUCACACAACUCCUAUACUAACCCGUCACCUGUAUCACAUCCGUCAACACACGACCAGAAUCUCGGACCUUCAUUUACAACAGACCCUCGUGAUCACAACGAUACAAAGUAUGGCAGUACUCCCGAACAAUCUGCACCAGUACUGGGGACAUCGGGGUUAUCUCUCCACUACUAGUAUUGAAGCAAUUACGAACAUCCUUCGUUCUGAGAUACUAAGAAAUCUGAAUGAUAACGAUGUGCUCAAGAAUCCCCUGGAGCUCAACUCCCCUGAAACUCAAAGCAGAUAGGAGGCACCAAGACAGAACUCUGUCACAUCGGCAUCAUAUAGAUCACAAGAAUAUCCGCGUGAUCCUAAUUUUUUUUGGGUGAGAAGAGGAGUAGAAUUAAAAUAUUACGUCAAGAUUCCUCACCAGAGCAUAGAAGAGGAGAAAAAAGAAUCCUACUCUCCGAUAUAUAACUAGACUCAAAGCAGUUUUUUCACUAGACUUGACUCGGUCAAGUUCGAUCAAUCAAGGGGGCUCCUAGGUCGGUACUACUCUGAUACCAACUUGUCACGCCCAAGAUGCGACCCUAUCCUCAAUUUGGCACGAAGGCCUCGUCAGGGAUAGAAGCGCAUCUCGUAGUGUCGCAAGAAUGGAUAUUGUUACAAGUACAUGUACUGAAAAGAUGAGAUAUAUAUAGAAUUGGCUUACACUCUCCACAAGCUACAUCAGAGUCACAUGAGUACUUUACAUAAUCAUCAAGAGUAAGAGCAGGGUCCGACUAUGGACGAAAACAAACGAGAAAAAUAAGAAUGACGUCCAUCCUUGCUAUCCCAGGCUGCCGGUCUGGAACCCAUCCUAGAUCGAUGAUGAAGAAGAAGAAGAAUCAACUCCAAAUGAAAAAUCAACGCGCUCACGUCAAGUAACCUUUACCUGUACCUGCAACUGGUGUUGUAGUAAUCUGUGAGCCACAGGGGACUCAGCAAUCUCAUUUCCAAAGGUAUCAAGACUAGCAAAGCUUAAUGGGUGGGGUAUGGUUAAGUGGUGAGGUUGCAGCAGCGGCUAAGCAUAUAUUUGGUGGCUAAACUUACGAGUACAAGAAAUAAGAGGGGGAAGUUCUAAGCAUAGCGGAUGUGAACUACUGAUGAUCAAAUGAAUGAUCCUGAACACCAACCUACGUCAGACAUAACCCCACCGUGUCCUCGAUCGGAGAAGGAACUCACGAAAGAGACAGUCACGGUUACGCACACAGUUGGCAUAUUUUAAUUAAGUUAAUUUCAAGUUAUCUAGAACCAGUGUUAAACAAAGUUUCUACGUUGCCACAUAACCGCGGGCAUGGCUUUACGAAAAUAUUUAACCCUGUAGGGGUGCUCCAACUAGUCCAUCACAAAUUACCACAAGCCGCAUAGAAAUCCUCAAUCACGAAGCUCGCGAUCUCGUCGGAUUCCCUAGUGGAAAACCUCAACUCUGAGAUUACCCAAAGCAUCACCGGAAUCCCGAUGCACAAGAUAUCUCGUCAAAGGUAAAACUAAUCCAGCAAGGCCGCCCGGCGUGUCGACGAUCCCGAUAGGAGCCGCGUAUCUCGUUCUCAGGACACGACGGAUAAGCUACACGUACGAGUGUCAAACCUCGAGUUUCCUCGCGGUGGCCCCGCACAGUGCUCUGUUUUGGACCAGCACCAUCAGCACUGGACCUACCUGUAUUAUGUAGAAUUACUCCUCGGGUAGCGCUAACUCCCUAUGCAUUUCAAUUUAACAGAAUUAUUAUGUUGGGCAAAUGUAGUACCAAUGUUGGGCCUUGCCAGGCCAGCUUUUAACUAAAACGAAUUAUCAAGGGGGUCCCCAUAACAACCCCAAUCGUGUUAGGAGCGCUAAAUUAUGGAACAUAACACCGGUAGCCGAAACUAAGGGGGCAAAGGUGAAACAAAACACGAGGCUAGAAAGGCCGAGCCUUUCACCUUUUACCAAGUAUAUAGGUGCAUUAAAUUAAAGGGAUUAUUCCAUCUGUGCCCCCAAUUCCUUAGUUGUGCUCACUUUUCCCCACGCUUCAAACUUUUGCUCACUUUUCCCCUCUCCCUUAGCUGAAACUCUCACAGAUGUUGAUAACAGGCGUUUGCUGUCUUGGCCAUUAACUGACUUGUGGGGCCAUGUUGAACUCUGUUGACUCUGGCUGUGGCUUCGCUGGUCGGGCCGUGUUUGUGUUCAUAGGACGGGCCCGUUAGUUUUUUGGUAAUAAAUUAAAAAAGCCUACUAUCGGUGGAUGCAUCCUGCUAUGCAUGCCCGUCUUUGGAAUCGAUGUAGCCUGCUAUGCAUGCCCGUCUUUGGCAUCGAUGUAGCCUGCUAUGCGUGCCAACACCGCCACGCACGCAGCUAGUGACCUAGACCUAAACGCAUGCAUGCACGUCGACACACACGCAUUGAUCCGUGCCGCACGGUUGCCAGUGGAUUCAGUCACUCCGCAACGUCGUUUCACGUGUCGCAGACAUACGUGCCGGUGGCAGAAGGGACAGGCUGCACGCACGCUCGCACGCUCAUGUCCAUAUGUCGAGGCAUCAGUUCACGCCGCACGGCUGCCACUCGAUUCAGUUGUGCCGGUGGCAGAAGGGGCAUGCAGAAGGGGGAGGCAGGCAGCCGCCAACGCAGCAGGAGGAGGCAGCCGCCAACACACAGCAUGCAGAGCCGCCAACGCAGAGCACGCUCGCUUUGAUUCACGUUCACACAUUGAUGAUCGCAUCGGUUCACGCAGCAGCACUGAGUCAAGAUCUACGCCGUUUGCGCGUGUACCCACUUCGUCUCCCCCGGCUAUUUAAACUGCCCUUCAUUGCCUCUUCUUCUACAGAUCCAUCUGCGCCUCCCACUUCUCUUCUUCCCCCAAGAGCCAGAGCGNNNNNNNNNNNNNNNNNNNNNNNNNNNNNNNNCUCAGCGAAGCGUUCAAGAUGCAGUUCUACAGCCCAACGUUCCAAGGGCCUCCCACCGUGCCGGAACGGCGGUACCCCGCCAACGUCGUCGUCGAGGAAUCGCUCCGCGUGUGGGCGUUCUCACGCUGGAGGGGUAGCACUGAGCUUGCACGGGGGUUCCUCCGUGCGGGCUUCCACCACCUCCCGGCGGGCUCGCCGCCCAUGUUCAACCUCGUGGAGCAGCGUCCCCACGCCAACGCUCCACCGGUAGGGCUCGUCGUCCACUUCACCAACAGGUUCGAUGCCUACCACCUGCUCGGCAAGGUGUAUUGGUGUGGGUGCGAGUUCAUCGCAUUCACCACCUAUAACAUCUUCACCGACUUCGAGAGCAUCUUCCCCGCUCGCAACCGCAUGCACAGCCUCCCGUACCACCUCGGCGACAACGGCCUUGAGGAGGAGGAGUACUGAAGCCGGCGGCGAAGAAGACGGUGAAGCCGGCGGUGAAGACAUGGCGCUGUUGCCCUAGCUACCCUAUCUAGUAGUAUGUAGUAUUAGUUUGGUGUGUGUGUUGCCCGACCGAGCUACUAAUUAUUAUUAUCUAUGUAAGAAAUUGGUGUCUAUGUCCCAAGAACUUAUAUAUGUUGCCCUAGCAACCCUAUCUAAGUUAUAUUAAGUUAUGUGUGUUAUAUUAAUGCUUUGUUAUGUCUGUAUUUUGUUUGUCCCAAGUUUAGACACGGCUAAUUGGUGUGGGAAAAAUUAACCAAACUAACUAAAAAGGAUGUGUUUAUAGAUGCCUUCUAAAAAUAAGAACAUAUUGUACAUUUCUACACGGCUUUGGUUUGCUGAGCUCUGUAUUUUUUAGGUAUUCCAAGAAUACUUUGGUUUUUAGAAAUAUUGAAGUAUCAAAUACAUUGAGAUGUUUGGCUUUAGUCAAAAGUGUAGUUUUAUAUACUUUAAUCCCUACUUUAAUAUGUAGAAAACUACACUACGUUUGAAGUAUGGUUGGACCUCUUUUUCCAAUCAUGAAGUAUAAAUUACACUAUGUAGAAAACUACACUUUGAGAUGUUUGGCUUUAGUCAAAAGGAUAAAUGAAGGGACCCAUAAAGGAAAGCCAAACAAAUUCCUCAAUGAGAUAGAAGAGAUUGGGCAAUCAAAUUAAUGAAAAAAGCAAUCAAAAAAAAACAAAGCAAUCGUUCCUAAACAAAAAAAAGAAACAUCACUUGUUUCUGGGCCUCAUUUAUCCUUUGUGGGCCUAUUGCAGCUUGAUUCUCUUUGGGCCCGCAAACUAGGUUUUUUUUCUAGCAGAACUGAUGAACUCGAGGACAAAAGUUUGGCAAGUGCGAGAGAGAAGAGAUGAACUUGAUGUAUAUCCCUCGUGCUGCUCAAGUACUGCUUACUGUCAUCUGACGAGCUAGCGCAUGACCCAACACUCGAGGUUAUUAGCUAACAAAAUAAUCGUAUCACUGAACUGGUAGUUCUCUUCUGUCGAAACUGAAAGUGUCGAAACUUAACAGUAAACUGCAUACAUUCAGAGAUCGACAGUUGCACUAAACAGAGUUGCAUUUGAGAUAAACAUACGAGGAUUGCUAAACAGUGGCAACAACAGUAGACAAACAUCUCUAACGAGAGAUGGCCAUCAAGUAAAAAAUUCCUAGAGCAAGUAUUCCUAAAGCUAUCAGAUUGGAUUGCUUCUUCAACUCAAUCAGCUGCUUGAAGUUCUUUUUCAUCUUCUUCAAUUCCGUCUUCAGUUCGACAUCUACCACCGUCGGGUAUUCCGGACGCGCUGCUGCUGCCGGAGCGGCACUGUCAUGGGGCAGAUUGAACUCGCGGAUUGCAUCCCCCCUCAAAUCCAGCAAGCCCAACCCUUGAAGCCUUUGGAUGUAAUCAUCCAUCCACUCGAAAUGGUGGCAUUUCUUCACAAUCUGAAAACGAAAUCAUGUAACCUAAAUCCAAAUCUGACAGAGAUAAAGGAUGCGAGGAAAACUUAGAUCUAACCUGCCCCUCCGGCUUGCUCUCGCAUUUGACGAACUCGCGCCCAAAGUUCCCAUUCUUCUCCUCCUUCAAAGUCAACCGCUUCAGUGGCGCAAUCCGUGGGCAGUCAGUGCAUCGAGUCAUCGGCACUGGACCAUACACCGGCCACGUGGAACGGGGGGCUGACGAGGAGGCACUUGACGACCAUUUGACGGUCAUCUAUGGGUUCAGUAAUCUUUAAAGGCACAAUUGGAACAAUUACCCCCUCCUCUUCCUCUCUUAUAGCUUCAAAACCAUCAAAGGCCAUGGUUUCAAAAUCUUCUGCUUCAUUUGCUGCUGCAUUCUCCACUGCAUCUUCAAUCUCCAUUGCUGCUGCAUUCUCCACUGCAUCUUCAAUCUCCAUUGCUGUUGCAUUCUCCUCAGCAUUGGCUGAUGUCCAUCUUUCCUCCUCUCCAAAUGAUGCAUCCACUGCAUUGGUACAAAGCCUAGCAAUAUGCCCCAGAACUCCACACUUUUUGCAAGCACGUUUCUUUGGUAGACGACCCUCCUCACCUGCUCUAAUCCUCUGGUUCGUUGGUCUUCCUGGUGGUCUAGUAAUGAAAGGAGCGUGGAGUUUGAACCCUGGAUCUACUAUGUUCCAUUGAUCUUUCCCCAAUAGUGCAGGCACAUUGUCAGCAUAAGCAGCCAUAAAUUUGGCAACAGAGAAAUACUCAGAGCAAUAUUGAUCAACUUCACCAUCUGCACCCCCGAUAACGGUCAUCAGAUGUAGGGCAUGUAUGCAUGGCUUCCCACGGAUCUGCCAUUGCCUACAAGUACAUUCUCUAGUACUUAGGUUCACAGGAUACCUCCAUACCCUAUUUUUAGUGUCAGUAUAGGUAACCUCUGCCUCAUAUGUACCAGAUCUAAUACAUUUCAUCUUCAGGCCUCUUGCCUUCAAGUGCAAUGCCUUAAUCAGUGAUGGGAGCAUUUGAUGACCAACAUAUUGUGUUUCUGCAAUUCUUUUGCGAAGAGCCAUCUUUAUCGUGAUCAUUUGCCUCAUCUUGUCAAAUGCUUGCCACAACAAGAGCCCUUUCACUGACUUGAACUUUGAAUUGAAGCACUCUGCAAGGUUACUGGUCACAUAAUCUACUUUGCAGAUUUCGUUGAAUUUGCUUAUUGACCACACCUUACCAUGAUGUGCAUCCAUGUACUCUUUCACAAGAGGAUUUUGAGCAUACAACACUCUCAAAUGGUGUUCAUGCUUCCUUUUGCUGCAUGUGUAUGAUGCUGGCCAUAAGUUCUCAUUAGAAACUUUACCUUUGAACUUCUUUUUGAAAUAUGCGCUAGGUGUCGCAUACAUUCCCUAUGCUCCACUCCAGGGAAUACAAUUUCCACUGCACUCUCUAAACCCUUGCAAGCAUCUGUGUGUAUAGCCAAACCUGGGGGUGUGCCUAUAAUGUUGCGCAACUGCUGCAGAAACCAGACCCAACUUUCCUCAGACUCUGCCUCCACCACACCAAAUGCAACUGGGAAUAGCCAGUUGUGUCCAUCAACUGCAGAAGCUGCUACUAGCUGUCCUCUCCAUCUUCCAGUCAAAUGUGUAGCAUCUACAGCCAAAUAGGGCCUGCAACCAUCUAGAAACCCCUGCCAGCAAGCCUUGAAACAAACAAAAACCCUUCUGAAUCACUCCUUCUGAAAUGACUUCCCUUUUAUUUUGAAUUGAACUGUAUGCUUGUCAAUCUCUACAACACUCCCUGGACUUGCCAUCUCCACUUCAGCUUUGAAAGUGUAAAGCAGCUGAAAACUGUCAUUCCAUUGACCAUUAAUUCUGUCAAGAGCCAUUUCCCUAGCAUUGAAAAUUCUCAUGUAAGGAAUUUCUAUCUUGUACUUCUCAAAAAGCUUCCCAUGGAGUGCUGUUGGACCAAGUCCAGGUUCUUCUCUCAGCCAAUCCAAUAUAGCAUUUGCCACCCACCUAGUUUUUGCUAGCUUGGUUUUGGCCUUCCCCCCUCCCCCUCCAGGUGGACAGGUGUGCUUGUGUGGGUUUUUCUUUAUCUGAAACAAAAUAAAAGGGUAAAAAAUAGUUAAGAAACCUAACUCAACAAUCUGAAACUAAAUUACUAACUGAACUUGGAUUACCUGAAUAUAUUUGCUCUUUCUCAUACAAGAUGCAUGCAACUUCCACCUACACCUAGGAUAUGGACAAAAAACCGUGAACCUUGCUGGCUCACUCCUUUUAAUCUUAUAGAUGUAUUCAGAUAUAAUGCACCAUGUUGUCACUGCAUUCCGACAGUCCACCAUUGAUUGGAAAAUGGUACCUACACUAAGCUCAGGUUUUUCCCUGUUCCACUCAAUUGUUGGCAUGUCAUCACCAUCGUAUUCAUCCUCGAUUAAGCUGUCCAUGUUCUCCACCUUCUCUUCAUCGUGAGUGUCAUCAAACCUAGCUUGGCUGAUGGGCUCCUCCAUAUAUUCGUCAUCCACUGCUUGCUGACUGGCUACAUCGACCAGUUCAGGAAACAUCAUCUCGUCUUCAUCAUCAUUUGUAGGCACUGCCUCGUCAGGUUCUGCAUCCUCUUCUACACCAACUGCAGAAGGCACACGAGAAGCAGCAGCUGAAUCGGAACCACAAUUGGUAGCAGCCAUGUUGUGGCUCCAUGAACCACUUGCUUUACUUGGUGUCGACCUACAAGGAGUGUCGGGGUGCUGGCUAUUAGCACAGGCAGAUGAUGUCUGAACUCCCUUCCCCUUCACCCGUUCUGCGCGUGGCUGAAGCACAUCGAUUUGGAGUUUACCGAAUCGGCAGCCAGCAAUCCCAGCAAAAAGCAACGGCAUAUGAUCAUCGCAAGUUAGUGGGAGAAAUCUUUGCUCGUCACUGCUGAAGUAAUUCAGUUCAACAGCAUCGGCAUCACUCCAGGGAUAUGUGUUUCUGAGCUCAGCUUGCAAAUCUUUGAAACAUAUGCUGGUUUCUACCACUUUGAGAUAGAAAAAUGAUGAAAUCAAAUGCGGUUUAGUACCACGCAGCACACUAGUUUCCAUUCUAAUCGCCAGCCGGAAAGCCAGCGCGGGAUCAAUCCUAUUUUGUUGAAGGAAAUAAAGGCUUCAGUUAGCCGGGUAAAAUCGAGCACAAAAUCAAACGAUUCAAGCAAACAGAAGCCAAAUACGGCCUACAAUACGACUUAGAACGUCAAGUCGAGAGGAAACAAUGCUUACCCAGGUUUAAUCCAUGAAUUAUCUGCCGCGGAUUCGACCCAAUCCUCUCCACGGGCGACUGCAUUCCGGGCGUCCUCACUCAACAUCGCCAUGUAAUCCUAGUUGGCGACGUCACCGACGAACGGAAUAGGGGCAUAGGGUGGAGGAAACAACUGCGGUGGACGCGGCAUGACACCGGCAGAGGAGGCGGGGCGGCGCGGUGCAGUGCGGCCUGUCUAGAUAUGUUUCAGAUUUAGACAAGCUGCCCAAUACGUGUCUCCUUGCGGUCCCACCCGUCAGCAAGGAACGGUCAAUGGACGGUCAAGACAACAAACGGCCGCUAUGAGCAUUUGUGAGAGUUUUAGCUAAGGAAGAGGGGAAAAGUGAACAAAAGUUUGGAGCGUGGGGAAAAGUGAGCACAACUAAGGAACCAGGGGCACUAAUUUAAAUAUCCCUAAAUUAAAUAGCAUUUAAUAGGGUGAUAUAACAAGGAACCCAUGUUUUCACAUGGAAGCAACUGCACCUGCAACUAGCAACGCUAACACAAGGUUAAGCAAGCGGUAACAUAGCCAAUUAGUGGUUUGCUAGGUUGAACAGGUUGAAGGUUAUCAUGACAUUGUUGAGGGGCUGAUAUUUAACAUGUGGUAGGCAACGAGACAUAAUCGGUAGAAACGGUAAAACUAGCAUGGCAAUGAUAGUAAUGGUAUCUGGGGAAAUGGUCAUCUUGCCUGAGAUCCCGCUUGGAAGAAGAAUGACUCCGUGAAGCAGACGAACCGACGUAGUCGAAUGGGUCCUGACAAUCCGGCACGCUGCGGAACUCUAUCGAGAUGGAGGAAACCGGAAACACAAAUCAACACACGGAAUACACCACAUGAUGCACAACACAAAUGAUGCAUGAGCAACUGAUACAUGCAAGUCACGGCAUGACAAAUCACACACUCAAACACUACACAUUAAGUGAAGUUCAAUAUGCAACUCGUUGCAUAUUGACGAAACUCCACGUUAAUUUAUUUAGUUCUAUCCCUAUUAGGUACACGACAAUAUUAAAUGUGGUUAAACAUGGCAAGAGGUGAAGCAUAAUUAAACUACCUAUCUAGGCAUUUUAAAUUAGGUCGGAAAUGACAUAUAGCACCUCCGAAACGACCUCACAUGUUAAUUUACAAUUUUGUCCAGAUCUGAACUAACACAUUUAAUUAGUUGUUAAACAGCAAAACAAAUAUGUUCACGUGAUUCUACGCGUCAAGACAAGCAAUCUACACAUAGAGAUCAUCUCCAACGGAGCUACGGUUCAAAAGAUACAAGCAUCGCAAGAUAUGAUGACAUGAAUACAAUAUGUGUGCAACGACGGUCAUGAGCACUUCAAAACAUACAACCAGCAAGAGGAAAUGAAACUACACGAGAUUCUAAGCAAGUUUCAUGUAGGACACGAUCAAAUAUGAGCUACGGUUCAUAAACUACGAGCAAAAGAAGAUAUUACUACAAUCUGCCAAAAUCAGCCACAUAGCAUCUUCUACGCCCCACAACUACGGGCUACACAACUCCGAUAAACUCAAGCAAGGCAUGACAUGAAAGAGGGCAAGAAGCACUACUAUAAACAACUAACAACAACUAACAUGGCAGCAAGGANNNNNNNNNNNNNNNNNNNNNNNNNNNNNNNNNNNNNNNCUAGGAAAAGAAGUCACAAAAUGGCAUCCCACACACUAUUUCAGACUUAGUGAAAAUUACACCUCAUGAAAGUGCAGUUUUCGAUCUGAAGCAAUUUUUACAGAAGCAAAACCAUAAGCUACAGGACUCCAAAUGGCAUGAAAAUUCACAGCAUGCUAUAGAAACACAAGGGCUACAACUAACUCCAUUGGACCAACCCCAAAAGAGCUACAGAUCAAAAGAUACAAGCAAGACAAGACAGCAAGAAAAUAUAACAGAUCUCAGACUUAGAAAUAUUUCAGCUCCUUCAAAUCAACAUUAUUUCUAGCAACUUGAGAGCAAGAAGACCACACCUAAACAUGCAUUUCUAUUGCAACCAAAAAUACCAGGGGCUAGAGUAAACAUCAAAGAUCAACUCUCUAGUUGACAACUCCUUCAAACGAAGCACGGAGUAAUUCCUACGAAUUAAACAAAAGGGCAUCACGGCAAAAUAUCGCGCGAACUAAUUUUCUCAAAAGCUAAAACUAAUUGCACAGAAAAAUCCGAAAACAUAUAAAACAUGUGGGGUUGCAACACAAAAAUAAUGUCACACAUAAAUGCGAGAUAACGACCUAAACACGGAAAAUAAACUAGCGGCAAAUCCCUACGUGCAAAAAUACCAAUGACUACUCUAAAAUACAUGGAAAAUAGGUUCCUAAAACAUGGACAUUUUAUCUAAGGCAUUCGGGCUAUUCAAACAUGCGCGGAAAAUAACUACGGAACGCAAACCUAUUAGGACAGCACGCAUUUCUAGGCAAACAGUGGGUCAAACCACAUCAAACAUUUGGGCAAGUUGCAAAAACGGAUUCUACGCGAAAAACUACAUGAAAACCAUAUGCUACAUGUUGCGAUCCGAAUUACGGAAUAAAAGAUACGAGCGUUUUAAUAACCGUCUAUUUUUCUGGAAUUUAAAUAAUUUCGAAAACCAUCUAUAUUAUCGACGGGCCGAAUCUAUCUAAUUGGGCCUACAGUGCCAUGGGCGCCACUUCAAUAAAACUGCACGCGGGUGAGAAAUAGUGAUAGAGGCGGGGCUUACCACCUUGGGCCGGCCCGGAGGUGCUGUGGAGACGAGGUGAUGGUGGGCCGACUCGGGGGGGGGGGGGGGCUCGCCAGGCNNNNNCCGGGGGGGGGGGGGUGCGCUCGCCAGGCGCGGCCCAUGGGCUACGCCGCCACGGGGUCAACGGGGAACGCGGGAUCCCGGUCUGGAUCGGGACUGGAUGACGGCGGCCGGCGACCUGGGCAGUUGCGGCGGCUGGCGGCUCCGGCAGCGCAGCGUCGUGGCUGCCAGCGUGCGCAGCUGAGGGCACGAGGCGGCCACCGAGCUCCACGGCGGCGGGGACCUGCGGGAGAGAGAGGCACCGCGGAUUAGGGAGAGAAGGAGAGCGAAGACUAGAGAGAGGAGCGGGGCGAGGCUCGCCGGCGCGACAGGGAGGCGAGGGAGCUUCACGGCGGCGGGCUGGCGACUCCGGCGGCGGCCGAUGCCCAGCGGUGAGGUGCUCCGCGGCGGCGCGNNNNNNNNNNNNNNNNNNNNNNNNNNNNNNNNNNNNNNNNNNNNNNNNNNNNNNNNNNNNNNNNNNNNNNNNNNNNNNNNNNNNNNNNNNNNNNNNNNNNNNNNNNNNNNNNNNNNNNNNNNNNNNNNNNNNNNNNNNNNNNNNNNNNNNNNNNNNNNNNNNNNNNNNNNNGGGGAAGGCUAGGGUUUCGGAUGCGGAUCCCGAGGUGGAAGGGGGGCUGUCUAAAAAUGUACAUGGGAACUAUAUAUAGACAAAUGGGGGGGCUAGGUUUGGCGAAAUUUUGACACAGAUCCAACCGCGCGGUCGAAUUCGGACGAUUCCGAACGCGGGAAUGGUUACGAGGCCGUGUAGAGUGGAUAUCCGGAGACGAGAGGGAGAACGGGCGGCGCGGCAACGAAUUUUAAAACACCGACACACGUCCGACAAAUAACCGUAGACGGUGUCGCUACGGUCGACCGUUCGGGUACCAGACGGACUCCGAUCACGACGAAAUUCGACAGACGGCCUAGCUAUAACUAAUCACGACCGCUUGCCAAGUUUCAUCUCGAUCAGAGAAAGUUUUACGCACACUUUUAAAACAGGGUUCGAACGAUGCCGCGGGCGCGUGCAUGUGCGGUCGGGCUCAGAACGGACAACGACGAGAACCGGUAACUACUAAUGGAUGCAAGUUUUGAAAAAAUGGCGGCAAUGGGGUGCCGAUGCAAUGCUGAUGAUGUGCAUGAUGCGAUGAUGGCGCGACAAAAUAAAAUAGACACACGACGAAAACGGAAAGAAAAGGGGAAUCUUCUGGAACGUCGGCAUCGGGCUGUCACAAGGGGGGAGGCGGCAGUGGGCAAGCUUGUGGCCACCCUGGCUGCCCCCUGACCUAGAUCUUGCGCCUAUAUAUUCCCAAAUAUUCCGCAAAAAAUAAGGGGAGCCUCGAAAAUACUUUUCCGCCGCCGCAAGCUUCCGUUUCCGCGAGAUCUCAUCUGGAGACCCUUCCCGGCGCCCUGCCGGAGGGGACUUUGGAGGUGGAGGGCUUCUACAUCAUCAUCAUCGCCCCUCUAAUGACUCGUGAGUAGUUCACUUCCGACCUACGGGUCCGUAGUUAGUAGCUAGAUGGCUACUUCUCUCUCUUGGAUCUUCAAUACAAAGUUCUCCAUGAUCUUCAUGGAGAUCUAUCCGAUGUAAUCUUCUUUGGCGGUGUGUUUGUCGAGAUCCGAUGAAUUGUGGACUUGUGAUCAGAUUAUCUAUGAUAUAUAUUUGAGUCUUUGCUGAUUUCUUUUAUGUAUGAUUUGAUAUCCUUGUAAGCCUCUCCGAGUCUUGGGUUUUGUUUAGCCAACUAGAUCUAUGAUUCUUCCAAUGGGAGAAGUGCUUGGUUUUGGGUUCUGCCAUGUGGUGACCUUUCCAAGUGACAGUAGGAGCAGCAAGGCACACAUCAAGCAGUUGCCAUCAAGGGUAAUAAGAUGGGGUUUUUAUCAUUGGUUUGAGAUUAUCCCUCUACAUCAUGUCAUCUUGCUUAAGGCGUUACUCUGUUCUUAUGGACUUAAUACACUAGAUGCAUGCUGGAUAGCGGUCGAUGUGUGGAGUAAUAGUAGUAGAUGCAAAAAGUAUCGGUGUACUUAUUUCGGACGUGAUGCCUAUAGAAAUAAUCAUUGCAUAGAUAUCGUCACGGCUCUGCACAGUUCUGUCAAUUGCUCGACAGUAAUUUGUUCACCCACCGUCCACUUGCUUUCAUGAGAGAAGCCACUAGUAAACACUGCGGCCCCCGGGUCUAUUCACAUCCAUCGUUUACAUCUCCGCUUUUACUUUGCUUUGUUACUUUGUUGCUUUCAGUUCUCACUUGGCAAACAAUCUAUAAGGGAUUGACAACCCCUUCAUAGUGUUGGGUGCAAGCUUUUGUGUUUGUGCAGGAUCUUGAGAUACUCUUCCGCCGGAUUGAUACCUUGGUUCUCAAACUGAGGAAAUACUUACCGUCGCUGUGCUACAUCACCCUUUCUGCUUCGAGGGAACACCAACGCAAGGCUCCAAGGCCACGGGGGAAAUCCUUUGCAUACUUGCCUAGGAAGUCCCUUAAGGCGUAUCCACGACUGAAGGAUUCCUGGUGCCGUUGCUGAGGAGUAUCAAGCAACACUCCUAUUUCUGGCGCCGUUGAAAGGUCUUUUGUUUUGCAGUAGCAGAAGUAUUUCUGGUGCCAUUGUCGGGGAGACACAGCAGCCAUCAACAGACCCUUCGUAGAGGGAAGCAUUGAUUUGCAGAGGUGCCAGAGCUCAAGCUUUGAAAACAGAGAUAAUAAUUUUGGGUGGCAUGCUUUCAUUGUCAACACAAUGACCAAGAGUUCUCAAUAUCUUCCACGCUACUCAUGCUAUAGGCGGUUCCCAAACAGAAAAGUAGAGUUUUGACUCCCCCACCACCAAUCAAUCACACUCCACGGCUAGCCGAAUCAUCGGGUACUGUUGGGGAUAUUACUUGUUAAUGACCCUCCCUAGUUGGGCCAAGUCACCAAUCAGGCGAUUCACCUAAACAAUUAUUUGGGCCUUGGCUUGGCUGGAUCAAUGUCCUAUGGCGGUUUAUAAUUUCUGGAAGGUCUCCAAGCUUUGAAGGACGGCGACUUAGAGACCACAGAGGUCACGAUUUGUAGGAAGGAAAGUAUCCUUGUAAACCCUGAGGGUUCGACCUGUAUAUAAAGGCGAGUCAAGGAAGGAGAGGAGAGGUUAGAAAUCAUCGAGUGCUAGGUUCGGCGAGUUACGCCCUCCCUGUAAUCAAAACCACAUCAAUACAGACCAAAGCAGGACGCAGGCUCUUACCUCCACACGAGGGGCCGAACCUGGGUAAAUCACCGUGUCUCUCCCGCUUAACCCCUUUGAGUCGCCACCAAGGUGCGAUGGCUCCAGUACUAAGUCCUUUCACGAGGACAUCUGCCGUGACAAAACCACGACAGUUGGCGCCUACUGUGGAGCCUGCGCACGGUGGAGUUGAGUUCUCAAAGGGAGCCCUACCAGGGUUUGGGAGUUACGCAACGGGGCUCAUGACUCGGAGCCACCGUGGGAAAACCUACAUCGACAACCAGCGAUGGGGACCUGAAGCGGAUUCGAUUGAAUCUGGUUACAGGGUCCCCUUCGGCAAGAUCAAGAUCUUCAUCGGCAUGAUCGGAUCAUCCGUGCCUGAGCCGGACACCUCCACCGACAUCGUCGAGCCGGCCAGGUACGUCCGCCCAGUAAUAACGCCAAAUUUGACUCGCCCGGUCUUUGUGGGGUUCACACGGGGAUCGGAGGAGCCAGAGCGCUCGGCGACUCCGGAAACUACACCGGUCAACUCUGAUGACGAAUCAUCCAUGGGCGACUCAGAUUCAAUCCGGUCUCUGCAUGGGGAUUGUCUCGGGGGCUUGUCGCUGGCCAUGGACCCCGAAGUCCUUGACCGAACCCGCCGCCAGAUCGCCAUCUAUAUGGCAGGGGCGACUCAACCCACACAAAACCCUACCGGAGGCGAUGGGACCGGCGAGACGUCCAGGAGCCCGACCGCGGUCCUGGUGGAUUUAGCAGCGGAGAUCACAAGGCUGAUGGCGACUCCCCUCACACCAGAAAACCAGGAGGAGAUAAACACGGAGCUGGCGAAACUCAGGGAGGCAGUGGCAAAGGCACAUCGGGAUGCCGAGAUAGAGUCCGCCAGGAUCGAGACUCGGCAAGCUCAAAUUACUGCCGAAAGGAUGCGUUUAAACACUGACAACUAGCGGCUCAAGAGACAGCAGCGCGCAUCUGACGCCGUCCAUCAGCGGAGACACCAGGGCCGCCUGCCCCAUGAUCUCAACCCGACCCGCCUGUUCGACACUCCACGAACCCCCGGGGCGGGAGCUGCCCCGGUGGGAGGACCGGGCCGCCCGCCUAACCCGCCGGCUCAGCCAGCUGAGGAUCGCAUUCCCCGUUUCCGGACGCCUCAAGGCCACUUUUCCAACCCGGUGGACAACGUUCUUGCCGCAACUUGCCAUCUGGAGUCUCUUCUGAUUCACGACAACACCCCUGCCGAGAUAGAAGCAAGGAACGCCAUCGAGAUGUUAAAGACGGCAGUGGUUCAAAACGCUCAGUUCUCACAUAGCCUCGAGAGGUUGCAUUCCACCCCCCAGGCAAGUUACACCAGGAGCCGGCCAGAGGACCAGCCCGCCGUAAACAGCGGGCCGCGACAUGUCCCACAAGACAACCCGCCUGAACAGAACCCGCCGGGCCGGGAUCUCCCGAACACCCAAAAUGCCCCGGCCCCCCUCGUCGGGGGCGGAGGGCGAGUAGGAGUACCAUGCUUGGCCCUCGCCCUUCGCAACGAGAGGAUGCCCAAAGACUUUAAGGGACCAAGAAAGGUGCCUAAUUACAGCCCGGACCUUGAGCCAGCAUCGUGGAUCGAGAGUUAUUAAAUCGCCAUGGACAUGCUCGAUGUGAACGAGGUGGUUUGCGCCAGAUACUUCACGAUGAUGAUCGAGGGGUCAGCACGUACUUGGUUGAAAAUCUUACCUCCCAACUCCAUCUAGACCUGGGCCGAGUUAAAAGAGCGUUUCAUCAAAAACUUCCGAGGAACUUGCAAACGUCCGAUGACGAUCGUCGAUCUACAACACUGUGUUCAACGCCCGGAUGAGUCGGCUCACCAUUGGUCAUGGCGGGUUGCAGAAAUUAUCCAUUCGUCAGAUGGCAUUACGGCGGCUCAAGCUGUGCUGAUCCUCGAGCAAAAUUGCCAUUACGAACCCUUGGUGCAAAAACUGGGGCGACUCAAGCGAAAGGUCCAAGACAUGGGAGAGCUGAUGGACACCCUCACUAGGUACGCUGAGGCUGGUGACACCAAAGAUCCUGGUGAGGACGGUAAGGCUAAUUCUCCCAAGAAGGGCGAAUCAUCCAAAAAUCAUACCCGGUUCCAGGGACGUAACCGCCACAAUCAAGGGACCAAUGGCAAGCGAAGACCGCAAGAAGAGCCCUCGGACUUAGUCGCCAAUACCAACGCCAACAACGGCAAGAAGAAAAACAGGGGGUUUAGCGGGAAGAUGCCGCGUAACUAUGAAGAGCUACUCAAAGGCCCUUGCCCGCACCAUGCCACGGCAGACGGUCCGGUGACUCACUCCUGGGAAAACUGCUUCGUAAUGCGGGAGUUUCGGGCGGAGGCGAUCAAGAAGAGUCAAAACGAUGACCCGGACCAGCGCGAGGAGUAAUUCGCCGCACCCAACCAACGACAGAACCCUUUCGGCGGCUUUCCCGAACAGGGGGCUCAGGGAGGCCCACAGCCAGGCGGCGGCCAAUACCCGGUGCACCACCAGCGGCGGUAUAACCCGCCAGGAGCCUUUCAGCAGCCGCCCCCACAGGGGGCUCCACAGGGUCAGGACGAUAAUGGGGGCUUCCGCAGCAACCCCAAACAUUUAAGUAAUGGGCAGUAUCAUGUUUUCACCACCAAUGCUUGCAGGCGCGAUAAGAAGGUGAGUCACCGAGCGUACAGUGUAUCUGAACCGGCGCUUCCCAGAUACCUCCAUUGGUCUGAGAAAACCAUAACAUGGAGCAGGGAGGAUCACCCGCCCAGAGUUGACAACCCAGGCGAUCUGGCGUUGGCUGUGGCUCCCCAAUUUGGGGGUUACACCCUAUCAAAAGUGCUAAUGGAUGGUGGCAUCAGCAUCAAUAUCUUAUAUUUUGACACUUUCCAAAGGAUGAACCUAUUGGAAAAAGACCUGAUGCCUUCAACCACGGUUUUCCACGGAAUCGUCCCAGGCAAGUCGGCCUAUCCCAUAGGCCGGGUCAGGCUCACAGUGGCGUUUGGAAAUGCGCAAAAUUACAGGUCGGAGUCACUGAUCUUCGAGGUGGUCAAAUUGAAUUGGCCCUACCAUGCGCUGUUUGGGCGGCCGGCUUACGCCUGCUUCAUGGCUCGCCCGUGCUAUGUUUACCUCAAGCUCAAAAUGCCUGGUCCCAAAGGACCCAUCACGGUUGAUGGAGAUAGAAGGAUUGCAAAGGAAUGUGAAGAAGGGGACGCGGCUUAUGCGGAAGUCGCUUGUGCUGCGGAAGAGCUAAAACACCAUCGGGCCAAUGUUGACCCGGCGGACAUGUCACCCCUAAAGAAGCCGACUACAGAUUCUGAGUCGCCCCUCAAGUUCAAGCCAACAGACGACACUAAUACAAUCGAUUUCGUGCCUGGCGAUUCAUCCAAGCAGUUCACCGUUGGGACGGGUCUGGACCCCAAAUAGGAAAGCGCACUCAUCGAAUUCAUCCGUGAGAAUUGGGACAUCUUUGCAUGGAAACCUUCUGACAUGCCUGGUGUGCCGAGAGAGUUCGCUGAGCACCACCUUAAUGUUGACCCAAAGAGCAAACUCAUCCAGUAGUACCUUCGUAGAUUUAACGAGGAGCAACGCAAGGCGAUUGGAGAAGAGGUUGCCUGUCUUUUAGCCGCCGGAUUCAUCGUGGAAGUUUUUCACCCCAAAUGGCUGGCUAACCCGGUUUUGGUACUCAAGAAGAAUGGUACUUUUCGUAUGUGCAUUGACUACACAGACCUCAACAGAGCUUGUCCAAAAGAUCCCUUCGCUCUUCCCCGCAUCGACCAGAUCAUUGACUCGGUGGCGGGAUGCGAACGAUUGUGCUUUUUGGAUGCCUACUCAGGAUAUCACCAAAUCAAGAUGGCCGUGGAGGAUCAAGAGAAAACAGCCUUUAUAACCCCCUUCGGGGCUUUCUGUUAUGUGUCCAUGCCCUUUGGACUCAAGAGUGCGGGGGCGACUUAUCAACGCUGCAUCCAGAAUUGCCUCCGCAACCAAAUCGGUCGCAACGUCCAUGCCUAUGUCGACGAUAUUGUGAUCAAAACGCGCCAGGGGGAGACACUACUUGAGGAUCUCAAGGAAACGUUCGAUAAUCUACGGGUAUAUCAAAUGAAGCUAAAUCCUACCAAGUGUGUUUUUGGUGUGCCUGCAGGGAAAUUGCUGGGUUUCCUGGUAGCGGAGCGCGGCAUCGAAGCUAACCCGGACAAGAUCGAAGCAGCUACAUCCCUUGGAAAGCCGGCAAACGUUAAUCACGUUCAACGACUGGCGGGUCGCAUUGCGGCCCUAAGUCGUUUUGUGAGUCGCCUAGGUGAGAAGGCGAUCCCUCUUUAUCGGUUAUUAAAGAAAUCCGAUCGUUUUGUUUGGACAAAUGAGGCAGACGAGGUGCUCGAAGCCCUGAAACGCCAAUUGGUUAACCCGCCGGUCCUGGCCCCCCCGACUGAAAAAGAGCCCAUGCUACUGUAUAUCGCGGCAAAUUCCAAAGCAGUAAGUGUGGCAGUGGUCGUUGAGAGAAAGGGGGAAGGGAAGGAAUACCCAGUGCAACGCCCGGUAUAUUUUAUCAGCGAGGUGUUAACUCUNNNNNNNNNNNNNNNNNNNNNNNNNNNNNNNNNNNNCUUUCCCGGCAGCGGUACCCACACUGGCAGAAGUUGGUAUAUGGGGUGUUUAUGGCGAGUCGAAAACUUAAGCAUUAUUUCCUAGAACACCCUAUCACAGUGGUUAGCUCUGCCCCCCUUGGGGACAUCAUCCAGAAUCGGGAGGCAACAGGACGGAUCGCCAAGUGGGCAAUAGAACUCGGGCCCCAUCACAUACAGUAUACCCCCCGCACAGCCAUCAAGUCUCAGGCCUUAGUUGAUUUCGUCAACGACUGGACGGAGUUACAGGCUCCGGAAGACCGGCCGGAUCUCACUUACUGGACUAUUUACUUUGAUGGAUCUAGGCAGCUGGAAGGCUCAGGGGCUGUUGUGGUGUUGGUAUCCCCUCAAGGAGAUAAAUUAUGUUACGUUCACCGACUCAUGUUUCCGUGCACUAACAAUGCGGCAGAAUACGAAGCUUUGCUUCACGACUUGCGACUCGCCAAGGAGAUGAAUCUAACACGAGUCAGAUGCUUUGGCGCCUCUGAUUUGGUGGCACAACAAGUUUCAGGAACCUGGGAUUCUCGGGACCCCAUGAUGGCGGCUUACAGAAGAGCUGUGUCUGAUGUGGCGGGUCAUUUUCAUGGUUAUCAGGUGGACCACAUUGAUCGGCGCCUCAACAAGGCAGCUGACGCCCUCUCACGACUUGGCUCCUAGAGAAAGCCAGUUCCUCCCAAUGUUUUUCUGGAUAUCUGGCAUAAACCAUCCGUGAUUCUACCAUCGGAGGAGGAAUUGGCAAUACCAGAUCCUGAGUCUCAGCUCGUGGCGGCUCUCCAUGUCACUCCGGAUUGGGUUCUUCCUUAUCUGGCUUAUCUCGCUCGGGGCGAGUUACCAGCACACGAAGUUUUGGCUCGUCAAAUCGUUCGGCGCCGCAAAUCCAUUGUCAUCAUCAAUGGCGAGUUAUAUAAACGGAGCACCUCUGGAGUUUUUGAGCGAUGCGUUUCCUCCGAAGAAGGAUGCAUAAUAUUAAAUGACAUUCAUUCUGGAGACUGUGAGCAUCAUGCCGGGUCACGCUCUUUGGUGUCGAAGGCAUUCCGUCAUGGUUUCUUUUGGCUAACGGCUCAUGCAGAUGCACAAGAUAUAGUUCAUCGGUGCGAAGGAUGCCAGUGUUAUGGGCGGCAGGCUCAUGUGCCGGCUCAAGAAUUAAGAAUGAUCCCCAUCACUUGGCCUUUUGCGGUCUGGGGGCUGGACAUGGUCGGCCCUUUUAAAAUGUCCUCUAACAAGAAGACCCAUCUGCUGGUGGCGGUUGAUAAGUUCACCAAGUGGGUUGAGGCGGAACCUAUUGGAGCUUGCGAUGCGGAAACAGCGGUCAAAUUCUUGAAAAAGUUGAUUUUCCGGUUUGGAUACCCGCACAGUAUCAUUACUGAUAAUGGUACUAACUUGUCCCAAGGGGCGAUGCAGGAGUUUUGUCGUCGAGAACAUAUCCGGCUUGAUGUUUCUGCAGUCGCUCACCCACAAUCUAACGGGCAGGCAGAGCAGGCGAAUCAGGAGGUUUUGCGAGGGAUUAAGCCCCGACUCAUGGUUCCCCUGGAAAAAACCCCAGGGUGUUGGGUUGAAGAAUUACCUUCAGUAUUGUGGAGUAUUCGGACCACCCCGAACCGGUCCACGGGUUUCACCCCUUUCUUUCUGGUCCAUGGAGCAGAGGAUGUUCUUCCUACUGAUAUAAGGCAUGACUCACCUAGAGUCGCCGCAUAUGUGGAACAAGACAAUGAGCUGGCGCGUCAAGACUCUUUGGACGCCUUAGAGGAGGCACGUGACCUAGCUGCGGCCCGUUCAGCUAUCUACCAGCAGGAUCUACGGCGUUAUCACAACCGCCGGGUUAAAAGUUGGACCUUUCAGGAAGGCGACUUGGUUCUUCGGUUGAUACAAGAUCNNNNNNNNNNNNNNNNNNNNNNNNNNNNNNNNNNNNNNNNNCAUAAGUUGUCACCACCUUGGGAAGGAUCGUUCGUCGUCAGCAAGAAUCUCCGCAAUGGCUCUUAUUAUUUGGUGGAUCUCCGGCCUAACCGGCCAACCACGAAGGCUGAGUCAACUCGCCCCUGGAAUAUUGCCCACCUGCGGCCUUAUUACACUUGAGCUCUUAAGCUCUACAUUUUGUAAGUUUUUCAGUUUCAUUAUGAAGUAAUAAAGUUGAAAAUACUCCCUGACUUGGGGGCUUCUUCAUUAAACAACAAUUUUGUCAUCCUGUUGCGACCUUAUGAGCUGACAGAAUCAGCAUUUUAGGGUGGCGCUUGAGCUUUCUGACUCGCCCCAUCCUGUCGCGACCUUAUGAGCCGACGAAACCAUCAUUUUGGGUGUGUGCUCGAGCUUUCUGACUCGCCCCAUCCUGUCGCGACCUUAUGAGCCGACGAAACCAUCAUUUGGGGUGUGUGCUCGAGCUUUCUGACUCGCCCCAUCCCGUCGCGACCUUAUGAGCCGACGAAAUUGUUGUUUUUAUUCGUGGCAUAGCCUCGGGGGUUUUAAACCUUUCUUUCUGAUUCCUCUUGAAAAUAGGGUGUUUGCUCGAGCUUUCUGACUCGCCUCAUCCUGUCGCGACCUUAUGAGCUGACGAAACCUGCAUUUUAAGGUGUGUGCUCGAGCUUUCUGACUCGCCUCAUCCUGUCGCGACCUUAUGAGCCGACGAAACCUGCAUUUUAGGGUGUGUGCUCGAGCUUUCUGACUCGCCUCAUCCUGUCGCGACCUUAUGAGCCGACGAAACCUGUAUUUUAGGGUGUGUGCUCGAGCUUUCUGACUCGCCUCAUCCUGUCGCGACCUUAUGAGCCGACGAAACCUGCAUUUUAGGGUGUGUGCUCGAGCUUUCUGACUCGCCUCAUCCUGUCGCGACCUUAUGAGCCGACGAAACCUGCAUUUUAGGGUGUGUGCUCGAGCUUUCUGACUCGCCUCAUCCUGUCGCGACCUUAUGAGCCGACGAAAUUGUUGUUUUUAUUCGUGGCAUAGCCUCGGGGGUUUUAAACCUUUCUUAACCAUCAUUUAGGGUGUGUGCUCGAGCUUUCUGACUCGCCCCAUCCUGUCACGACCUUAUGAGCCGACGAAACCAUCAUUUUGGGUGUGUGCUCGAGCUUUCUGACUCGCCCCAUCCUGUCGCGACCUUAUGAGCCGACGAAAUUGCUGUUUUUAUUUGUGGCAUAGCGUCGCGACCUUAUGAGCCGACGAAACCAUCAUUUGGGGUGUGUGCUCGAGCUUUCUGACUCGCCCCAUCCCGUCGCGACCUUAUGAGCCGACGAAAUUGUUGUUUUUAUUCGUGGCAUAGCCUCGGGGGUUUUAAACCUUUCUUUCUGAUUCCUCUUGAAAAUAUUUGUUAUCAUUUAUUUGGUUUCACAUAUGUUGUUUUCAAAGCCUAAAUCAGGUUGAUGAUUAGAAUUACUUCGUCCAUGGCGGAUUAAGCAUCAUAAAGGAUUCUCAAAUGGCAGGUCAAAUAUUUCAAAUCCCCUUAAGGGCGAUAUAAAGAUUCUUUCGAGAGUAUCACAAAAACAGUGUCGACUUAUGAAAAAGACCUAUUACAUGGCUCUCAGGCCAAAUCGAUGAGGUUUAUUCUGUUGGCGCCUUGGGAUCAUUUUGCUGCGAGCUUUGGCCGACCUCAAUUUGCAAGUCGCCCAGUACCCAGUUACACUUGGCUAGAGCUGCGAAGUCAUCUUCAUCAGUCAGGAUUGAUGCCAGGUCUGCUUCCAAGUCAAAAGGGUUCUUGGGUCGCCGAGGAGUUAAACUGGUCGUCACAAAGGUUGGCGGGUUGACCUUCUUGUUUUUGCUGUCAUAAGCCGCCUGAUACUUUGAUAAAUCCAGACUUGCUGCGAGUUAGGUUGCUGCCAGCCGAGAGUCCUUGACAACACGUUGAUAGUCUUCUUCAACGAAUUCUGACCCAUCGUCUUUGAGUUGAGGAAAGCCUGCCGCUACCUCUUCCAGGUUGAUCUCUGAAGCAUACGCCAAGCAGCGACUCAAGGCAGUCAGAACCCCCUUUCGGGCGGCUGAUCGAGUUAGCUCGCCAAUUUGAGGGGGAAGUGUGGAGAGGCAACCAAGCACCUUCUUUAUGGAAGUUAUAGGCUCUUUGGCACCCAUUACAGCUUUAGCAGUUAAGACACUGCCGGUGUACAGUUGCUCUGUCAGCGUGUAAAUCGCCUUUAGCAUCAGCACGCAAUCUUCCUAAAGGUUGGCGGCUCUCAGACCUGAGUAAGGGGUCAUGAUAAUCAGCGACUUACGAUAAGAGUUGUUUAUAAAAAAAGGGGGGGAGAAAAGAUCAAAAGUUUGAGUAAGUUUACCAAAGACGGCUUGCGUCAUGUUUAAGAUAUGACGCUUCAAGCCGGACAAUUCUUGUUGCACAGUAGCCAGCCUGGCUUCAGCCUUCUCUGCUCUUUUUAUGGCAGUAUCUUGGUCAGCUUGAGCUCUUUUCAAAUCGGCUUUGAGUUUUUCCAGCUCAGCCAAGACCAAUUGAUACUUCUCCUCCGAUUUAGCUCGGGCAUCUUGCUGACCAGAUAAGUUCAACUUUAAAUUGCCAAGCGCCGAUUCAGUCUGAGCAAGAGUUUCCUGUUGAGAGUACAAAAAAAGGGGCAAGUCUCAGAACUAUUGCAAGCAAUAUCCCUGACACUUGGGGGCUAAUGUAUAAUUUUUUCUUUUUCAGAUGAAAUUAUACAAUAUCAAGACCCGGCUCAUCUUUUUACUGAUGACCCGGCCCUUGGGGGUUACUGGUCCAAGUUUUUUCUAAAUUUAUCAAGACCCGGCUCAUCUUUUUAUUGAUGACCCGGCCCUUGGGGGUUACUGGUCGCAGGUUUUUUCUAAAUUUAUCAAGACCCGGCUCAUCUUUUUACUGAUGACCCGGCCCUUGGGGGGUACUGGUCGCAAGGUUUUUCUAAAUUUAUCAAGACCCGGCUCAUCUUUUUACUGAUGACCCGGCCCUUGGGGGGUACUGGUCGCAAGGUUUUUCUAAAUUUAUCAAGACCCGGCUCAUCUUUUUACUGAUGACCCGGCCCUUGGGGGUUAAUGGGAGUAAUGCAAUAUAGCAAAACUUACCUCAUGUUUGUUUUUUAACAUCCGCAGCAGGCUUUUGUCCAUCUCAUAACUCGCCUCCAGGCGACUUGCAAAACCAGAACAGAGUUCCUUGAACUCCAGAUUUUCAUAUUCAGAAAGCCUAGCCUUGGAGAGUCCAGAUUCAGGCAUGGCUUGAGAGGAGGAUGCCACAUUCCUUGACAAAACCGUUGCCGCUGGCUUAGAGAAGCCGGUACCAGUAAUAACUACGGCAUCCGGGUCUUCUGUUGCCAUCAAUGGACUUGGCGGCUUAGGGGCAUCCAUUGUUUCCUUGGGCGAGUCUGGAAGAUCCAUUUGAUUUUCAGGCUCGCCUUGGUCCGGGUUGUCUUGGAUCGACACUGACUCUUUGUUGGGCUCUGAAGUUGUGACAGGAGUUGGUCCGCUGGUUUUCCUUUUCUUGGCCUGUGCCCUAAAAGAAGGGAGAAGCGCAUUAAGGAACUGAAAGUUUAUUACCCUCAGGAUUCAAAGUAAGAUUAUCAAAAGACUUACCCAGGAACUCGAAUCAUUGGCGAAAGUGUCGACAUCACUGAGUCGCCAGAUGUAGGAGGAGAGUUCUGCAAGAAUUAUACGUCAACAAUAUAGGCGGGUUACAGACGUGAUCCAAAGAAACAUGAAGAAUUGCUAUUCAUAAGUACCUCAUUUGGUUUCCUCUUGUUCGUUGCUGGUAAGCCGGACACCGGGUCACCGGAAUGACUUCGGGUCUUCCGAUUUAAAGUAUGUUGUGCUUUCUUUAGUAGGAAAGUUGGGUCCAAACAAGCAUUUGGGUGUGAGAAGGGAACUUUCCCACAAAUUCUCCUGGCCGGCUUAGGUGGAGAAGGAGAUGAAUCGGAGGAAACAUAAAUUACCUCAACGGAGUCCUCCUGGCUUUCGUUCUCUUCAUUCUAUUUCAAGAGAGGCAGAGAUAUAAAUACAAAGAUUAACAGUAGUGGAUGGCGAGUGAAAAAAUGAUGGAUUUUUACCUCCGAAAGUGCAUCGCCGACUUGAGACUCAUCGACUUCGGAUGGCUCAGCCGCAGCAGCUUUGCCCUUGCCCUUGGUUUUCUUUAAAGGCGGCUUAACAUUUUUCAUGGCUGGCCUUUUGGGUUUCCUGGACCAAAAUUUAUCGCCUUUCUGAAAUAGAAUAUGUUACAAAAACCACGAUACAAGUGAAACAUAAGAAGUAAAGACCAAAGGCGGGUUAGAUUUGCUCACCUUGGGCGCCGGAUUAAUUUUGCAGAAGGGCUUGAGGCCGAUUUGGCCGCAUUUUCCCGCAGGCUCGCCAGUCAGCUUCUUGAUGAUGGUGACAAUAUCCUUUUCUGUUAAAUCCGUAUGGAAAUAACAUUGAGGAUGAUCUAGGGUGCCAUCAAAUUCGCACAUUAGCCCGUUCCGGCGACUCAGAGGGGGAUGCGCCAUUCGACCCAACAGCAGAUUAGGUCAACCCCAGUAAGGCCGUUGUUUGUCAAGAAUCUUAACUCGGACAAUACUGGGAUGAAUUUUGAUUCCUCCUCCUCGGUGAGUUUGUCUGGAAGCUUGAAGUUUGUAGGAAGGCGAUCUUUCCUGUAGCCCAGAAGUUUGUUUUCAGCUGCACGAGAGGUCUCUUGACAGUAGAACCAAGACUUGCCCCAACCUUUGGGAUGGCUGGGCAUGGCGAGUGAGGGAAACGGGCUAUCCCUGCGGCGCUGGACAUUGACACCGCCGAGUUCCAGGCUGGGGCCAUUGUGAAAUUCCGUUUGGCGAUUCAGAUGGAAAAAGUGCCAGAAUAAGGGGACACAGGGUUCGAUCCGCAGAUAAGCCUCACAGAACACUUGGAAUUGGCAUAAGUUACUUAUGGAGUUAGGUCCCAAAUCCUGGAGGCGGACGUUCAUGAAAGCCAUGGCGUCUCUAAGAAACUUCGAUCCGGGCGGCUUAAAACCUCGCUCCAGGUGCUCAACGAAAACGACUAUCUCUCCUUCUUUGGGGUUGGGGAGAUCUUCUCCGAACCCGGUACGCCAGCCGAUAACAUUCUGAGGGUCCAAGUUGCCCGUUUUCACAUAGUCUGCCAGUAUGGUGUCAUUGACCUUGGUAGGAAGCCAGUCACUUUUGAAGACGGCGCCCAUGCUACAAAGAAGUAAAGUAUGGAUGAAUUUACAAGCCUCGAACAUCUACUGUAAGGGAUGAAAUAAGAUCAUUUAACUCGCCAAGUAAUUUGUCCACGGACUGAGGGAAAAACUUGACCCGUCGUAUCAAGAGCCGAGUUGGGUUGCUAUGGCGACUUACGAAGUUUGGCUAUUCACGAGAGCUGCGUUCUAAAGACGAUGGAGACGUUCGUUCAAAACGUCAAAGUGUGAAGACUACAAACAGCCUUUUGCAAACAGUAGGUAAAUUAUGGAUCUACUGAACAGAUGAAAAAAACCUGAGAAAAAUGGCUGGAUGCAGCAAUUUAUUAAUCAGGGCAAGGUGAUGCCCUUCGCUUGAUGAAACAUUAUUUUAGGUUCGCAAGUAAGAGCGGGUAAAUGAAAAAGCAUUGGCUAUCUCGUCGACAUUUGUGGUAAUCAGUUCAGGACAAGCAACACAUGCUCGCGAAGAACAUCAAGAACAUGGCAGUGCUGGAGCUUCAAACGGAGAUUAGAUCUGUUCUUAAAUGGGCGGUGGCCUAACCUGAUGCUUUCGAUCGAAAAAGGCCGACAGUGGCGGAGGUUGUUGGAGAAGCACGGAGGUCCCGUCGAGCGAAGAGAUCUUCGACGGCGGCGGAGUUCUUGGCGGGCGACGGGAUGGUCGACGACGAUGCGGUGGAUAAUGGCGGCGGACGUCUCGGCCACGGUGCGAAGCUUGACGACGGCGAAGACCUAUGGGCGGCGCCGAAGCUUCUUGGACGAAGACGGAGAGUGCGGUCAGCGGCGGAGCCCUCGGGAGGCGAUGAGACUUCCUCGCUGCGACAAUAGGGAGGAGAUUGACGAGACUGGUAGGUGGGAAGCACCAGUCCUGUCGCCCCAUCUAUUUAUUAGGGCGGGCGCUGGAAUCGAGGCGCCAUGAGCGGGAACCGCCGGGGAAUAAAAAGAUUCGCCAUAAUGGCGUUCCGAAGAUUUUGGGAUAACGAUGCACUAGGAUCCGUUGGGAUUAUGUCAGUCUUCCCGAAAAUCGAGGGAUAAGAAGAUGCCAACAAGAAAUGGUUUGGCGACUUAAAGAUUUUUUUUUGGUGCUAGAUGGCGGGUUACAAUUUCUGACGUAUGGAGAAAAAUGAGGAAUGAAUCGCCUUCAAUUGAGCGGAGGUAUUGGCGUGAAAAAAGUUCAAGUCAAUCUGGGGCCUAAUGUUGGGGAUAUUACUUGUUAAUGACCCGCCCUAGUUGGGCCGAGUCACCAAUCAGGCGAUUCACCUAAACAGUUAUUUGGGCCUUGGCUUGGCCGGAUCAAGGUCCUAUGGCGGUUUAUAAUUUCUGGAAGGUCUCCAAGUUUUGAAGGACGACGACUUAGAGACCACAGAGGUCACGAUUUGUAGGAAGGAAAGUAUCCUUGUAAACCCUGAGGGUUCGACCUGUAUAUAAAGGCGAGUCAAGGAAGGAGAGGAGAGGUUAGAAAUCAUCGAGUGCUAGGUUCGGCGAGUUACGCCCUCCCUGUAAUCAAAACCACAUCAAUACAGACCAAAGCAGGACGCAGGCUCUUACCUCCACACGAGGGGCCGAACCUGGGUAAAUCACCGUGUCUCUCCCGCUUAACCCCUUUGAGUCGCCACCAAGGUGCGAUGGCUCCAGCACUAAGUCCUUCCACGAGGACAUCUGCCGUGACAAAACCACGACAGGUACCGUCCACACUAACAUCAAUCCAGGGGGAGUCUUGUUUUAUAGUUAUGUUUUUGAUUUAAGCGUGGAACUAGGCAUUCCAAUUACUGGCCCCUUUCUCGUGAAUGACAGUGAAUAAACACAUCUCAAGGAUAACACGCCUAGCAUGGAAGAUAUUAAUAGCACCCUGUCACCACAUGAGCGGUUCGGGCAUGCAAAACAGAUUAUUUCUUGAAGGUUUAGAGAAUGGCACAUGCAAAUUUACUUGGAACGGCAGGUAAAUACCGCAAAUAGGUAGGUAUGGUGGACUCUCAUGGAAAAACUUUUUGGGUUUAUGGAAGUGGAUGCACAAGUAGUAUUCCGCUUAGUACAAGUGAAGGCUAGCAAAAGAUUGGGAAGCGACCAACUAGAGAGCGACAACAGUCAUCAAGAUGCAAUGAGUUUGACUAACAUUGAAUGCAAGCAUGAACAGGAUAUAAAUCACCAUGAACACGAACAUCAUAGAGGCUAUGUUGAUUUUGUUUCAACUACAUGCAUGAAGAUGCGCCAAGUCAAGCCGCUUGAAACAUUCAAAGGAGAAUACCAUCCUAUCAUACUACAUCAUAGUCACCUCAAAAUCUAUGUUGGCAUUCAAGACAAACCAUCAUAAGCUCCUAGCUAAAUAAGUAUGGCAUCAGAAACUAUGAUCUCUAAGUUGUCAUUGCAAACAUGGUUCUCUCACAACAAAGCUGGAUCUGGGACGACAAGCUAGUCAUAUUUACAAAAACAUAAUAGAUAGAGUUCAUACCAGCUUUUCCAGUCUCAGUCACUUCAUCAUAUAUCAUCAUUAUUGCCUUUCACUUGCACGAUCGAACGAUGUGAACAAUAAUAAGCGUGCUAGUGCAUUGGACUAAGCUGAAUCUGCAGGCAAACACAAAGGAGAAGACAAAGUACUAUGGCUCUUUGAAAGCUAAACAGGUAUGCAUGCAAAAGCCACUAACCAUUAUAACCAAUAUCUUCUACCUUGACCCAAAGAAAAAGAAAACUAUUUACACGGGAAAGCUCCCAACAAGCAAAAGAAGAAAGGAAAAUCUUUUUGGGUUUUCUCAAAAGGACACAAAACAAGAAAACAAGAAAACGAAAAUAAACUAGCAUGGAUAAUACAGCGGCAACGUGUAAACACCGACGAACAAAGUAAAAGCAUAAGCAUGAAUGUAAGGUCGUUGAGAACAGGUACUCCCCCAAGCUUAGGCUUUUGGCCUAGCUUGGUCUACUCCCAAGGACGGUCCUGGCGAAAUCGAAAAUCAUAAUCGGGGUUAUACGGGAGCGCUGCAGCCACUGCCUGAAUAGAUGCCUCGCGAAGACGAGCAGCUAUCGCCUCCCUCUCAUACUCCUCUGCCUCUCCUAUAGUUAUGUAGUAUCUCCAUUUAACCUGGAAGUCAAAGAAAGCAGGAGCAGGAAGGGUCAUAUGGAAAACACGCUGCUGGUUAAAUAUCAAUCGGUAUAGGAGGGAUUCAUCAUCCCUCUCAAGGAACUGGUAACGUGUCAAAGCGACGCGGUCAAGGAAAGCCGUAUGGAGCGGGGGAUCUCCUGCGCGGAUGGGUACUCCAAGAAAAUUUGCUAUGCGAGUGGCAUAGAUGCCGCCAAAGAAAUCUCCCUCAAUAGCGUUUUUAUUCAGCCUCCUUGCUAUAAUAGCUCCCAUGUUGAAGAUUUUGUCACCCGUAACUGCGCUCUUAAGGAUACUAAGGUCGGAAGCGCAUAGGUGACAAUGUUCAACCUUACCGUUAAUGCAUCUACCUAUGAAGAGGGCAAAGUAGUGCAAGGCAGGGAAAUGAAUGCUUCCUAUGGUAGCUUGCGUGAUGUCUCUAGUUUCUCCAACAGAUAUACUAGAGAAAAAAAUCUCUAACCGAAGAUUUAGCAAGAUCUUUAAGAUUACCCCCAUCGGGUAUUUUGCAAAUCCUAUUGAAAUCCUCCAAAUCCAUGGCAUAGGAUUUAUCAUACAAGUCAAACAGUAUGGAUGAGUGACGGCCAACUGAAAAUUUAAAUCUACGCACGAAAGAUGCAGUGAGCAUAGCAUAUUGUUCACAUUUAUCUGAGAGGAAUUCUUGUAACCCAGCAUUGCGGACAAGUGUAUCAAACUCAUCCUUGAAGCCUGCUUCGAUCAUGAACUCAUCGGAAGGCGAUUCACAUGGUUGUACCGGUGCGUCCCUUAGUUGAUAAGGAUCGGGCUCAGGAAAAGAAAGACGGGGACCCUUCUUACUUGCGGAACCACCAUGAAACUUCCUCCUGAACAUAAUUUCUCUUUGCUGAAAUUUUGAAGUUCAAGAGAAAAGUGAAUAAAGACCAACCACACCUUGUAGCAACUACUCCCACCAAUGCCUAGAGAACGUAUCACGCGCUAAAACUACUUGGGACUAGCUAAAAUCAACAUUUCAAGCUCAAGAACAGGGUCACCAAGGUAGCAAGAAUACGUGAAGGAUAAAGCACUAAAGCAAAAACUAAUUGGACCAAUGGAGGAGUCACUUACCAAGGAGCAAUUUCCUGAAAACGGUUCGGAGAAUGAUGCUUUGAGCAGGGAGAUCGAAAAUCACAGCCAAAUGAGCAAGAACACGGGUUUGAGCUGCGAAACAAUUUUUUCCGAAGGAAGAAGAAGAGGAUGGGAGCUGGAAUGAGUGGAGGGGGGCCCUGUGGGCCCCACAAGCUUGCUCCCCGUGGCCAGGGGGCUGCCCGCGAUGACAGGGCUUGUGGCCCACUGGGGUGGCCCCCAGGCCAGCUCUCUCUCCCAGUAUUUUUCAAAUAUUCCAGAAAAAAUUAUACUAGAAUUUUAGGACCAUCGGAGAACUUGUAUUUUCGAGGUAUUUUUCUCCAGGACACUAAAACAUAAAAUAGGGAAAACUAAACUAAACCUAUCAUUUUUCUUCUAAGAAAAAGAAAAUGAAAGCUUAAAACAGAGGUAUGUGACUCUUUGAUUCAUCCAUUUCAUGGUCAUCGAAAGAAAUCCGACAAUGGGGUUGAUCAAAUCCUCAUGACAAAACUUUCUCGAAUCGCAAGAGAGAACGGAGAAUUUUUGAAUAGCCACUAAGUCACCUCAAUGGGAAUAUGAAUCUCCCCAACUACCAAUUCAUACUUCAUCUUGACACGAGGAAUAGGGCAUUUAAAGCUCCCAAUAAGAAUCGAUGAAGUUCUUUUGAUAGAAUUGAUGCAAUGUACUUGAUAUAGUUUCUUCGGAAAGUGCACGGUAUGCUCAUUACCGUUGACGUGGAAAGUGACAUUGCCUUUGUUGCAAUCUAUAACACCCCCUGAAGUGUUUAAAAAGGGUCUUCCGAGGAUGACAGCCUGAUGACCCACAAGUAUAGGGGAUCAAUCGUAGUCCUUUCGAUAAGUAAGACUGUCGAACCCAACGAGGAGCAGAAGGCUCUGAUAACCGGAUUUCAACAAGGUAAUAAUUGCAAGCACUGAAAGUAGCGGUAACAAGUGAUUGUGUAGUGAGGUGAAAAGUAGCAAGCGAAACGUAACAAGUAACAAGUAGUAGCAACCGUGCAGCAAGUGGCCCAAUCCCUUUUGUAGCAAGGGACAAGCCUGAACAAAGUCUUAUAGGAGGAAAAACGCUCCCGAGGACACACGGGAAUUUCUGUCAUGCUAGUUUCAUCAUGUUCAUAUGAUUUGCGUUCGUUACUUUCAUAGUUUGAUAUGUGGGUGGACCGGCGCUUGGGUACUGCCCUUACUUGGACAAGCAUCCCACUUAUGAUUAACCUGUCUCGCAAGCAUCCGCAACUACAAAAGAAGAAUUAAGACAAAGUCUAACAAUAGCAUUAAACUAGUGGAUCCAAAUCAUCCCCUCACGAAGCAACACAUAGACUGGGGUUUAAGCUUCUGUCAUUCCAGCAACCUAUCAUCUACUUACUAUUUCCCAAUGCCUUCCUCUAGGCCCAAAUAUGGUGAAGUGUUAUGUAGUCGACGUUCACAUAACAUCACUAGAGGAAAAGACAACAUACAUCAUAUCAAAAUACCGAACGAAUAUCAAAUUCACAUGACUAUUAUCAGCAUGACUUAUCUCAUAUCCUCGGGAACAAAAGUAACUACUCACAAGACAUAAUAAUAAUCAUGACCAGAGGUGUAAUGAAUAGCAUCAAGGAUUUGAAAAUAAACUCUUCCACCAAGUAAUCCAACUAGCAUCAACUACAAAGAGUAAUCAACACUACUAGCAACCUUACAAGUACCAAUCGGAGUUGCGAGACGAAGAUUGGUUACAAGAGAUGAACUAGGGAUUGGAGAGGAGAUGGUGCUGAUGAAGAUGUUGAUGAAGAUGCCUCCGCUCCGACGAGAGGAGUGUUGGUGAUGACGAUGGCGACGAUUUCCCCCUCCGGGAGGGAAGUUUCCCCGGCAGGAUCGUCCUGCCGGAGCACUAGAUUGGAUCUGCUCAAGUUCCGCCUCGUGGCGGCGGCGAAACCACGAAAAAGCCCCCUCUUUAUUUUUUCGAGACCAGGACGCUUCAUAUAGCAAAAGAGGGGGGCUAGUGGGCUGUCAGGCAGCCCACAAGCUUGCCCACCGCCACGAGGGGGGUGGUGGCGAAGUGGGGGCUUGUGGAGCCCUGGUGGCCCCCCUCCGGUAGUUCUUUCGCCCAGUAUUUUUAAUAUAAUCCAGAAAAAAUCCACGUAAAUUUUCAGGGCAUUUGGAGAUGUGCAGAAUAGUGGACUAGGAUUUGCUCCUUUUCCAGUCCAGAAUUCAAGCUGCCUGAAUUCUCCCUCUUCAAAUAAACCUUGCAAAAUAAGAGAGAAAAGGCAUAAAUAUGGUACCACAAGUAAUAUAACAGCCCAAAAAUCAAUAAAUAUUAACAUGAAAGCAUGAUGCAAAAUGGACGUAUCAACUCCCCCAAGCUUAGACCUCGCUUGUCCUCAAGCGAAAACCAAGUUCCAUAAACAUGUCCACAUGUUGAGGGACGAAGGUGUUGAUAAAACAUAAUACGGACAUGAGGGCAUCAUGAUCACACAUAGGACAGCAAUAUAUCAUAAAGAUUCUUAUGGGAAAGUUACAAUUCCUUCACAAAGCAAACCAUGAAGCAAAAACCUUACCGAGAAGUAACCAACAAUAGUCCAUAGUCAUUGAAGCAAUUGCAAUUUAUCACAACAUCAGAAAGAGUCAAAUAAGAGCUUGUAAGGCAAACCCACAUACUCAAUCAUCUCUUUUGUUUUCCACAAUUGUUACAACUCACGUGGUACUCAUGGUGUCGAAGUUUCAGCUGGACACAGAGGAAGAUAGGGGCUUAUAGUUUUGCCUCCCAACAGUUUACCUCAAGGGUAAAGUCAACAACAAUAAAGCAUAAGUACUCAACUCCAAGUUGAUAUAUGAAUAUAGAUCUUUCCCAAACAUGUGACGGUAGCCAAGACAAAGGCAAAAAGGGAAUUGGUGAAGAUCACCAUGACUCUUACAAGGGUAGAAAGUAAAGGUACAAGAUAGGCCCUUCACAGAGGGAAGCAGAGGUUGUCAUGCGCUUUUGAGGUUUGCAUGCGUGUCCUCUUAGUCCGGAGGAACGUCACUUUAUAUUGCCUCCUAUGAUAAAGAACUUUAUUAUGCAGUCUGUCGCUUUUAUGUCUUCCUCAUCACAGGUUUGUACAAAGCUUAUUUUCCACACACUAAUAGAUCAUACAUAUUAGAGAGCAAUUUUGAUUGCUUGCACCGAUGACAACUUACUUGAAGGAUCUUAUUCAAUCCAUAGGUAGGUAUGGUGGACUCUCAUGGCAAAACUGGUUGGAGGUUUAUGGAUGCACAAGUAGUAUCUCUACUUGGUGCGGGAGUUUUGGCUAAUAUGAGGUGGAAGCAAUCGUCACAUGCUAAGGGAUCUCUAAUCAUAUAACAUUGUUUGGAACCAAGCAAACACAAUUCAUUAUGUUGUCUUCCUUGUCCAACAUCUACUCCUAGGCAUGUAAUAGUUUGGUGAGUGCUCACAAUUGUAAAAAGUGUCUAAGAUGAUAUAUUUAUAUGUGAACCUCUCUUUCCUUAUUACUUCUUAUUAAUUGCAACAAUGACUGAGGUCUAUGUAGAUUUAUUCUCAACAAGUUCCAAUCAUCAUACUUGUCAUAUGUGAAGUUAUCACUUUCCAUAAGAUCGUCUCAUGAUCUUUCAUGCUAUCGUUCUUUUCAUACUUUUGAUCAUGGCACAAAGCAAAGCCCUUGACUGAGACACUCUUUAAUAUAUAGCUCGUAAGCUCGAAUACAACGGGGGAGAGACAAAAGAAAAAGACUCAAACUAAAAACUAAAGACUUAUUCCUCUAAGAGAAGAAAUAAAAACAGAAAAGGAAAGAACUAAAACAAAGGUAAAAGCAAAAGAUAUAAAGGUGAUAUGAUACCAGGGCAACUCCCCCAAGCUUGGCAGAAGCCAAGGGGAUUGCCCAUACCAAUGCUUAGUUGUCUUCUUUUGGUGGUGAUGGUGGUGUUGUUGUCGCCUUUGAUUCCAAGAGAGCUAUCAAUGUUUGAUAUAUACCUUUGAGAUCUGUGACAUGGUUUUCCAGCAAAACAACUUCACGAGAAAGAGAAAUAUUGCGAGCACGAGUUGUUUCGCAAAACCUCAAGAGUUCAAUCAAGGAUGGAGACAGCACGUGGAGGAAGGGUUGGAGAAAAUAUACUCCUUCAACGUCUUCAAUGUUGAACAUAGGUUGAACUUCCUGCCUAGCUUGGGUUUUCUCCUUAGCUUGGUCCCUGGCUUCCGUGACUUCUACUCUUUUCAGAUCAGCAUCUACUUCCUCAUGAACUUGGUGAAGAUCAUUCUCCCCAACAGAUUCCUGAGACAUCUUUGCUCUAAAUCUGCGGCAGACAACAAGCUCAAAAUGAAAAUAGAGGAAAACUACGCGAUACGGAGAUCAAAACCUUCGGGCGAAUAUAUAUUGAUUUUUUCUGGACCAGAAGGAGUCCUCCGCAAGAAAACGGAGUCCGGGAGGCACACGAGGUGCCCACAAGCUUUCCCACCGCCACCAGGGGGUGGUGGCGGAGUGGGCCCUUGUGGCUGCCUCGUUCGCUCUCCGGACUGCUCUUUAUUUUUCUAAUUUUCCAAAAAUUCCAAAACGGAAGAAAUUUCCUAUUGGAAAAGUAUCGGAGUCCAAUUUCUUGCCGAAACAAAUACAUCUUCGUUUUCAAGGUCUGAAACAGGCUGAUAAACAUCCCUUAUGUACUCCUCUGGAGUUAUGACAUUGAUGAUAUUGGUCUCAACAUUUAUGGGAGUACCAGAGAUGUAAUGCUUGAUUCUUUGCCCAUUUACCACUCUAGGAAAAUUUCCUUCCAUGUUAUUGAUUUUGAUGGCACCGGAACGAUAUACUUCCUCGACAACAUAGGGACCUUCCCAUUUAGAGAGAAGCUUGCGUGCAAAGAAUCUCAAAUGAGAAUUGUAUAGCAAAACAUAAUCACCUACAUUGAACUCUCGUUUCUGUAUUCGUUUGUCGUGCCAUCUCUUAACCUUUUCCUUGAACAACAUGGCAUUCUCAUAUGCCUGGGCUCUCCAUUCAUCUAACGAGCUGAUAUCAAACAACCACUUCUCACCGGCAAGUUUGAAAUCAAAGUUGAGCUCUUUGAUUGCCCAAUAAGCUUUGUGUUCCAGCUCAAGAGGUAAAUGACAGGCCUUACCGUAAACCAUUUUAUAUGGUGACAUGCCCAUGGGAUUCUUAUAAGCAGUCCUAUAAGGCCAUAGUGCAUCGUCAAGUUUGCUAGACCAGUUCUUUCGAGAUCUAUUGACGGUCUUUUGUAGGAUCAACUUGAUCUCCCUAUUACUCAACUCCACUUGACCACUAGACUGAGGAUGAUAAGGAGAUGCAACUCUAUGGUUGACAUCAUACUUAGCUAGCAUCUUGCGGAAAUAGCCAUGAAUGAAGUGUGAACCGCCAUCAGUCAUCAAGUAUCUAGGGACUCCGAAUCUUGGGAAUAUGACUUCUUUAAGCAUCUUAAUAGAGGUGUGGCGAUCAGCAUUUUUAGCGGGGAUAGCUUCUACCCACUUAUUAACGUAAUCCACAACAACUAAGAUGUGAGUGUACCCAUUGGAACUCGGGAAGGGUCCCAUAUAAUCAAAGCCCCAGACAUCAAAUGGUUCAAUGACAAGUGAAUAGUUCAUAGGCAUCUCUUGACGCUUACUGAUGUUCCCUAUCCUUUGGCAUUCGUCACAAGACAAGACAAACUUACGAGCAUCCAUGAAGAGAGUGGGCCAAUAGAAACCUGAUUGCAAUACCUUAUGGGCAGUUUUAUCUCCAGCAUGGUGUCCUCCGUAGGCUUCGGAAUGACAUUUCUGCAGGAUCUGUCCCUGUUCAUGUUUAGGCACACAACGUCUAAUAACACCAUCUACUCCUUCCUUAUAAAGGUGAGGAUCAUCCCAAAAGUAGUGUCUCAAAUCAAAGAAGAAUUUCUUCUUUUGUUGAUAGGUGAAACUGGGUGGUAUGUAUUUGGCUACGAUAUAGUUUGCAUAAUCGGCAUACCACGGUGCACUAAGUGAAGUGCGGAUGACAUUUAAUUGCUCAUCAGGAAAGCUGUCAUCAAUAGGUAGUGGGUCAUCAAGGACAUUCUCUAGCCUAGACAAGUUAUCUGCUACAGGGUUAUCAGCACCCUUUCGGUCAACGACGUGCAAAUCAAAUUCCUGUAGCAGGAGAACCCAUCUGAUCAGCCUAGGCUUAGCGUCCUUCUUCUGCAUGAGGUACUUAAUAGCAGCAUGAUUAGAGUGAAUAGUGACUUUGGAGUCAACUAUGUAAGGUCUAAACUUUUCACAUGCAAACACGACUGCUAAAAAUUCCUUCUCCGUAGUGGCAUAGUUUCUUUGGGCACUGUCUAGAGUUUUACUAGCGUAGUGAAUGACAUUCAACUUCUUGUCAACUCUCUGUCCUAGAACAUCACCAACAGCGUAAUCACUAGCGUCACACAUGAUUUCAAAGGGCAAGUUCCAGUCAGGUGGUUGAAGAAUAGGUGCGGUUAUCAAAGCCUUCUUAAGUAUUUCAAAGGCUUCCUCACAAUCCUCGUCAAAAACAAAAGGAACAUCCUUCUACAAGAGGUUGGUAAGAGGCCUAGAAAUCUUAGAGAAGUCUUUAAUGAACCUUCUAUAGAAACCAGCAUGACCUAAGAAACUUCGUAUACCUCUGAUAUCUGUGGGGCAAGGCAUUUUCUCAAUUGCAUCAACCUUAGCCUUAUCAACUUCAAUGCCUCUUUCAGAGAUUUUGUGUCCUAAGACGAUACCUUCAUUAACCAUAAAGUGGCACUUCUCCCAAUUCAAGACGAGGUUGGUUUCUUCGCAUCUCUGUAAGACUCGAUCAAGGUUGCUGAGGCAAUCAUCAAAGGAAGACCCGUAAACAGAGAAGUCAUCCCUGAAAACCUUGACAUUCUUUUCACAAAAGUCAGAGAAUAUAGCCAUCAUACAUCUUUGGAAGGAGGAAGGUGCAUUACAUAAGCCAAAAGGCAUACGUCUAUAGGCAAAGGUACCGAAAGGGCAGGUGAAAGUGGUUUACUCUUGAUCAGAUUGUGCAACAGGUAUUUGCGAGAAACCUGAAUAACCGUCUAGAAAGCAAAAGUAUGUGUGUUUUGGUAGCCUUUCUAGCAUUUGGUCGAUGAACGGCAAAGGAUAAUGAUCUUUCCUGGUUGCCUUGUUCAGUUUCCGGAAGUCUAUCACAAUUCUAUAGCCGGUAAUAGUCCUUUAUGGGAUUAGUUCAUCCUUAUCAUUAGGAACGACGGUGAUACCUCCCUUCUUAGGUACGCAAUGUACUGGACUUACCCAAUCACUAUGAGCAACAGGAUAAAUGAUUCCUGCUUCCAGAAGCUUUAAUAUUUCUUUUCUAACGACCUAUUUCAUCUUAGGAUUUAAUCUCCUUUGAUGAUCAGCAACUGGUUUAAAGUCAGGAUCGGUUUUAAUCUUGUGCUGACAUAGAGUAGGACUAAUACCCUUAAGAUCAUCAAGAGUAUAUCCAAUAGCAGCGCGGUGCUUCCUCAGAGUUUUUAGUAACUUCUUCUCUUCGCGCUCUGAGAGGAGAGCACUAAUAAUGACAGGAUAUAUCUCCUUCUCAUCAAGAUAGGCAUACUUAAGAGUAUCAGGCAACUGUUUAAGCUCGAACACAGGAUCACCCUUUGGUGGGGGAGGAUCCCCAAGCAGUUCAACAGGCAGAUUAUUCUUGAGAAUAGGAUAUUGUUCUAAGACAAUUUAUCUAUCUCAUCUCUCUCCUCCAUAUGCAUAUCAUUUUCAUGCUCAAGCAGAUAUUGCUCUAAAGGAUCCGUAGGAGGUACGGCAAUAGAGGCAAGAGCAAUGAUUUCAUCUCUACCAGACGACUCUCUUUCAUGGGGUUGUCUUCCAAACUUGGAGAAGUUAAAUUCAUGAGACACACCCUCGAAACUUACUGUGACCGUAUGCUUAAUGCAAUCAAUGUGAGCAUUGACAGUGUUGAGAAAGGGUCUACCAAAUAUGAUGGGACAAAAGCUAUCUUGUGCAGUACCAAGGACGAGGAAAUCAGUAGGAUACUUCGUCUUACCACACAGGACUUCUACGUCUCUCACAAUUCCGAGAGGGCAGAUAGUGUCUCUAUUAGCUAGCGUAAUAGUGACAUCAAUGGGUUCUAACUCAGCAGGUGCAAUCUCAUCUUUGAUUUCAUCAUAUAGAGAACGGGGUAUUGCACUAACACUAGCUCCCAUAUCACAUAAACCAUGGUAACAGUGAUCUCCUAUCUUAACAGAAACAACGGGCAGGCCGACUACAGGUCCGUGUUUGUCUUUCACGUGAGGUUUAGCAAUUCUAGCGGAGUCCUCAUAGAAUUUGAUAACAUGCCCGUCUAUGACUUCGGCUAAGAGAUCUUUGAUAAUAGCAACACUAGGUUCAACUCUAAUCUCCUCAGGGGGUGCAAGUGAUCUAAUGUAACCCCUACUUAUCACAGUUGGAGCUUUAUAAUAAUCCUUUAUCCUAGCAGGGUAUGGUGGUUUCUCAGUGUAAGCACAAGGAACAACAGGAUCACUAAAAGCAAUGAAUUUCUCCUCAACUAGAUUGGUUUUGGCUAUGUUGCUUUCUACAGGAGGAUGAUAUUUAAACCACUUCUCUUUGGGAAGAUCAACAUGAGCAGCAAAAGAUUCACAGAGAGAAGCUACUAUCUCAGAGUCAAGUCCAUACUUAGCGCUAAAAUCUCUAGAAGUGUUUGUCUCAACAAAAGAUUUAACGCAAUCAAACUGGAAAUUCAUACCUGACUCCUUACCUUCCUCCAGCUCCCAGUCUUUAGAGUUGUGUUUGAUUCUCUCCAAUAAAUUCCACUUGUGAUCAAUAUCCUUCUUCAUAAAAGAACCGGCACAAGAAGUGUCAAGCAUGGUAUGAUCUUCAUGAGAAAGCCAAGCGUAAAAGUUUUGAAUGAUGAUUUCUCUCGAGAGCUCACUUUUUCGAAAUCAAUUUCGAAAAAGAAUGGAAAACGGGAUCCAUUUACUUAUGAUAGAUUGGGGCAUGAAUAUAGCAUUGAUUUAAGCCUCCCCCAAUCUUGAGCAAUGUUUUCCCUGUCACGAGGCCAAAACUUAUAAAUAAAGUUCCGAUCACGAUGUACUAAAUGCAUAGGAUAGAACUUUUGAUGAAAUUCCAAUUUCAACUGAUUGUAGCCCCAUGAUCCAGUAUCAUCACAUAGCCUAUACCAUGUCAACGCCUUAUCCUUCAAACAUAAAGGAAAGAAUUUCUUAUUUACCUCAUCCUCAGGCAAACCUGCAAGCUUAAAUAAACCACAAACUUCAUCUACAUAGAUUAGAUGCAAGUCUGGCUGUGAAGAUCCAUCUCCUGUAAAAGGAUUAGCCAGCAGUUUCUCAAGCAUACCCAAGGGAAUUUCAUAAAAGAUAUUUUCAGUAGGUACCUCAGGUUGAGGAGCAACUCCUCGUGCUUCCGUUCGUGGUGAAGAUACCCCGAACAAACUCCUCAAAGGAAGAGUUUCCAUAGUGACAAGUGACAAUAAAUUUCAGCACAGUAUAAAAAUGUUUCCUUACCAAUUUCCACUUACCAAAGGCGCUUCACUCCCCGGCAAUGGCGCUAGAAAAGAGUCUUGAUGACCCACAAGUAUAGGGGAUCAAUCGUAGUCCUUUCGAUAAGUAAGAGUGUCGAACCCAACGAGGAGCAGAAGGCUCUGAUAAACGGAUUUCAGCAAGGUAAUAACUGCAAGCACUGAAAGCAGCGGUAACAAGUGAUUGUGUAGUGAGGUGAAACAUAGCAAGCGAAAAGUAACAAGUAACAAGUAGUAGAAACGGUGCAGCAAGUGGCCCAAUCCCUUUUGUAGCAAGGGACAAGCCUGAACAAAGUCUUAUAGGAGGAAAAACACUCCCGAGGACACACGGGAAUUUCUAUCAUGCUAGUUUCAUCAUGUUCAUAUGAUUCGCGUUCGUUACUUUGAUAGUUUGAUAUGUGGGUGGACCGGCGCUUGGGUACUGCCCUUACUUGGACAAGCAUCCCACUUAUGAUUAACCUGUCUCGCAAGCAUCCGCAACUACAGAACAAGAAUUAAGACAAAGUCUAACCAUAGCAUUAAACUAGUGGAUCCAAAUCAGCCCCUCACGAAGUAACGCAUAGACUGGGGUUUAAGCUUCUGUCACUCCAGCAACCCAUCAUCUACUUACUACUUCCCAAUGCCUUCCUCUAGGCCCAAAUAUGGUGAAGUGUUAUGUAGUCGACGUUCACAUAACAUCACUAGAGGAAAAGACAACAUACAUCAUAUCAAAAUACCGAAUGAAUAUCAAAUUCACAUGACUAUUAUCAGCAUGACUUAUCCCAUGUCCUCAGGAACAAAAGUAACUACUCACAAGACAUAAUCAUAAUCAUGACUAGAGGUGUAAUGAAUAGCAUCAAGGAUCUGAACAUAAACUCUUCCACCAAGUAAUCCAACUAGCAUCAACUACAAAGAGUAAUCAACACUACUAGCAACCUUACAAGUACCAAUCGGAGUUGCGAGAUGAAGAUUGGUUACAAGAGAUGAACUAGGGAUUGCAGAGGAGAUGGUGCUGAUGAAGAUGUUGAUGAAGAUGCCUCCCCUCCGACGAGAGGAGUGUUGGUGAUGACGAUGGCGACGAUUUCCGCCUCCGGGAGGGAAGUUUCCCCGACAGGAUCGUCCUGCCGGAGCUCUAGAUUGGAUCUGCUCAAGUUCCGCCUCGUGGCGGCGGCGAAACCACGAAAAAGCUCCCUCUUUAUUUUUUUUCCAGACCAGGACACUUCAUAUAGCAAAAGAGGGGGGCUAGUGGGCCGUCAGGCAGCCCACAAGCUUGCCCACCGCCACGAGGGGGGUGGUGGCGAAGUGGGGGCUUGUGGAGCCCUGGUGGCCCCCCUCCGGUAGUUCUUUCGCCCAGUAUUUUUAAUAUAAUCCAGAAAAAAUCCACGUAAAUUUUCAGGGCAUUUGGAGAUGUGCAGAAUAGUGGACUAGGAUUUGCUCCUUUUCCAGUCCAGAAUUCAAGCUGCCUGAAUUCUCCCUCUUCAAAUAAACCUUGCAAAAUAAGAGAUAAAAGGCAUAAAUAUGGUACCAAAAGUAAUAUAACAGCCCAAAAAGCAAUAAAUAUCAACAUGAAAGCAUGAUGCAAAAUGGACGUAUCACAGCCAUGGCAUCGUCCUCGAGAAUAUCCAAGAUAACAAAGUCUGUUAAGAUAGUGGUGUUAGCAACCACAACAGGCACAUCCUCGCAAAUGCCAAGAGGGAAAGCGGUUGAUUUGUCAGCCAUUUGCAGAGAGAUUUCAGUAGGUGUCAACUUAUCCAACUCAAGUCUACGAUAAAGAGAGAGAGGCAUAACCCUAACUCUGGCUCCAAGUUCACAUAAGGCAGUUCUUACGUAGUUUCCUUUAAUGGAGCAAGGUAUAGUGGGCACUCCGGGAUCACCAAGUUUCUUAGGAGUUCCACCCUUGAAAGUGUAAUUGGCAAGCAUGGUGGAGAUCUCAAGAUCUGGUAUCUUCCGUUUAUUGGUCAUGAUAUCUUUCAUGUACUUGGCAUACGAAGACAUUUUGAGCAUAUCAACUAACCGCAUCUGCAGAAAGACGGGUCUUAUCAUUUCUAUGAAGCACUCAAAAUCCUCAUCAUCCUUUUUCUUGGAUGCCUUAGGAGGAAAGGGCAUGGGCCUUUGAACCCAUGGCUCUCUUUCUUUACCAUGCUUCCUUGCAGUGAAGUCAUUCUCAUCGUAUCUCUUAGGUUGUGGGUUAUCAGGAUUAACCGUAGGUUCAAUCUCCACAUCCUCACCAUUGCUGGGUUGAGCAUCGUUAUGAACAUCGUUGUCCACAUUGUCACCAGGUUCAUGUUCAUCACCAGAUUGUGUUUCUGCAUCAGACGUAGAAAUAUCAUUUGGUUCUUCAGGUGUGACAAUAUUUGGUGGACUAACAUGCAGGUUUCUAUCAUCCUUCUUCUUCUCCUUAGGAUGACUGGGUGCAUCUAAAUUAAUUCCUUGAGAAUAUUGAUCGAUUCUCUUAGGAUGACCUUUAGGAUACAAAGGUUCCUGAGUCAUUUUGCCUCCUCUAGUAAUGACUCUGACAGAGUUGUCGUUUAAUUCAUUGAGCAAGUCAUUUUGAGCUUUAAGUACUUGUUCUACCUGAGUAGUAAUCAUAGAGGCAUGUUUACUCAGAAGAUUCAGAUCAUUGACAUUUCUGUCUACACAAGCACUUAAAUGACUAAGCAUAUGAGUGCUUUGUUCCAAAUGUCUGCUAACAUAAUCAUUGAAACUCUGUUGUUUGGCAACAAAGUUGUCAAAUUCAUCAAAGCAUAGGCUAGCAGGUUUAUCAAAAGGAAUAUCACUCUCAUCAAACCUACGCAGAGAAUUUACUUCUACUACCUGUAUUGGGUUAUCGAGACCAUGGAUCUCUUUGAUAGGUGGUAGUUUUUUGACAUCUUCAGAUCUAAUGCCUUUCUCUUGCAUAGAUUUCUUGGCUUCUUGCAUAUCUUCGGGACUGAGGAAUAGAAUACCUCUUUUAUUCGGAGUUGGCUUAGGCGGUGGUUCGGGAAUAGUCCAAGCAUUAUCGUUGAUCAAGAUGUUAUUCAGUAGAGUCUCAGCUUGUUCUACAGUUCGUUUCCUAAAAACACAACUGGCACAACUAUCUAGGUGGUCUCUAGAAGCAUCGGUAAGUCCGUUAUAGAAGAUAUCAAGUAUCUCGUUCUUCUUAAGAGGGUGAUCAUGCAAAGCAUUCUAUAGCUGGACGAGCCUCCCCCAAGCUUGUGGGAGACUCUCUUCUUUGAGUUGAGCAAAGUUGUAUAUUUCCUGCCAGGCAGCUUGCUUCUUAUGGGCAGGGAAAUAUUUCUCACAGAAGUAAUAGAUCAUAUCCUGGGGACUACUCACACAUCCAGGAGCAAGAGAAGUGAACCAGGCUUUAGCAUCAUCCUUUAGAGAGAAAGGAAACAACUUAAGGAUAUAGUAGUGGCGGAUCUUCUUCUCACUAGUGAAAAGGAUGGCUAUAUCGUGUAGUUUGGUAAGAUGGGCUACGACCGUCUUAGACUCAUAACCGUGAAAAGGUAAAAUUCGACUAGAGAGAUUAUCUCAGGGUCGACAGAGAAUUCAUAAUCCUUAUCGGUGAUAAAGAUAGGUGAAGUGGCAAACUUCUGGUCGUAUUUCAUCCUUGCUUUCAGGAAUUUUUCCUUCCACUUGAGAAGUAAUUUCUCAGCGUCAUAGGCAUCCUUACACGCAAGAAAAAUCCUCAGCUAUCUCUCCCUCCAUAACGUAACCCUUAGGUAUAUCAGGCAAUUCAUAUCUUUGGCACUAAUAUUAUGAACACGUGUAACACUACGAUCGAGAUUCAAUAAACCAUUGAGGGUAAUUAUUCAAGCAAAUAGAACAACUAUUAUUCUCUUUAAAUGAAUAAUCGUAUUGCAAUAAACAUGAUCCAAUCAUGUUCAUGCUCAACGCAAACACCAAAUAACAAUUAUUUAGGUUUUACCACCAAUCCCGGUAAUGGAGGGAGCGUGCGACGUUUGAUCACAUCAACCUUGGAAACACUUCCAACACUUAUCGUCACCUCGGCUUUAGCUAGUCUCCGUUUAUACCGUAGCUUUCAUUUCGUGUUACUAAUCACUUAGCAACUGAACCGGUAUCCAAUACCCUCGCGCUACUAGGAGUCUCUACUAUUAAAGGGGGGUCUGCCGUCGUGGUGAUGGUUCAACCUCGAUCACCUCCCACGUAAGAUUGACACCCGCGCGUAAAACAGGCAGCCCACCCGGCGUUCGAGGUGGCCCAGAAAUCAGCCCAACGAAAAAAAAUCGCUAACACGCGCACACGUCUCCGCCUCCCCCACUCCCAACUCCCUCCCCAUCCCGAUCCCGAUCCUCGCCGCCGCCGCCGGUUGUGCUCGUCGCCCCGUCACCUCUCCAUCCGCUGCUGCGAUCCAAUAAACUCCCUCCCCAUCCCGAUCCCGAUCCUCGCUGCCGCCGCCGGUUUUGAAGCACGAGCAACAUUACAACGCGGGUGAUGAGACGAUGGAGCUGACAAGGAGGGAAGGGAGGCAGAGGCGAGUCAGCUCCAACCUGCCCGGUCACCGGCCGGAGGGAAGAAUGGCGGAGACGACGGGGACGGCUCCAAGAUACGCGCCGCCGCGGCCGACGGAGAGAGAGCCGGGGCACACACGGGUAGCAUAUAGAGGGAAAAUGGGCACGCGCCUCCCGUGCGGCGACGGCCGUCGAGAUCCGCUCCCGUUUCACCGCCGGCGGGGUCGACGCGCUCGACCUCCCUCGUCCCACCUCCUCCCGCAGGUUCCGUGGUGAAGAGGCUCGGGCGCAUACCCCACUACGCCGGCAGGUAAGCUAAGCUCCCCCCUCAUCCACAUUCAUCCGUCCCUGCCUCUGCAUGUGAUUAGUUCCAGCCAGAUCCUAAUUUCAAUAAGUGUGGUGGCGUGAAUUGAUUCAGUAGCCGUACGUUGUGUUUAGCUGAUGCAAAUCUGCACGCCCAUGCUGCCACUGGCGGAGAAAAUUAAGGAAUACUGAUUUUGAUUUCCCUAUAGGCCCUGUCCUCUGGUGCGAUUUCGUUCAAGGGCAUUCAAGUCUUUUCUCCACGCCAACUAAGUACUCCCUCCAUCUCAAAAUAAGUGUCUCAACUUUAGACUAGCUUUAGUAUAAAAUUGUACUAAGCUUGAGACACUUAUUUUUAGAGCAGAGGGAGUAGAUUUUAGUGCCUGUCUGUCACCAAUAGCAAACACACCAACUUAAAACAUAAAACGAUGCCAUCCUUGUCAUUCUCCCUCCAGUCAAGUCAACCGCGUCGUCUAAUCUGGCUGCAAUUGCAUCACCCCUCCUCUACCCACCGCAUCAACGAGCUCCUUCCUUGUCACGGCAGGAAGUUUCCAGGUUAGCACUGCUCAAUUUGCUCUAAUUUGUUACUCGAUUGUUCUCCCUGUUUAAUUAUAUGGUGUUUCGGAUCUGAUUCCUGCAAGUUCAGUUCAACUGUUGUAACAAGUGAACAAAGAAGAGGAAGAGUUACAAUUUGCCUGUGAAUUUUGCAAAGCUAGCUUUCUCUGGCUGAAAAAAGUAUGGACAUGCGAAUUUUCCUUAUUUCUACCAGGAAAAUCAACUUCAUGGAUGGUGGGGCUGAAGGUCUACUGGUCAUGCCGUUCGACUUAUUACGAGAAGUUACUAAUGAUUUCUCUGAGGAGCGGAAACUUGGUAGCGGUUCGUUUGGGAAGGUUUACAAGGUAAAAUUAAUGAUGUCUGUGGUUUCCUUACAUCAAUAAUAACACAAUACAACACAACCGGGCAACUAUUAGCAUCUUCUUGACCAAGAGUUAUAUGGUGAUUCUGUCAAUAUGCAAGAUCCAUGAUCCAGCCUUUGGUAGUCUCUACGCGGGUGUAUAUGUGCGCACGAUGUUUAUGAUUUAUUACACGUGUACUAUAUAAUUGUCACAUUACACGUGCUCGACAUAUGGCGCAUAAGGGAUUUUGCACCUAUAACUGCCACACUCAAACAUAGCGAUUGCUGCUUCAUAGAAUUGCAUGUGUUUAUGAACAGAAAAUUGAACCAUGUGAAAUUUUGGACAGGGAGUGCAUCAAGACGGUGUAAAGAUUGCUGUGAAGAUGCUCUAUGAUAUGCCAGGGCUCGAUGAUGAGCUAUUUCAGAACGAGUUUAAAAACCUUACAAGGCUCAGACACCAAAAUAUUGUGCGGUUAGUUGGCUAUUGCCAUGAUAUUCAGGUAGUACAAGUAAUGCACGAAGGAAAAUUGGUUCUCGCUGAAAAGACACAUAGGGCACUCUGCUUGGAGUAUAUGUCUAAUGGAAGCCUUGACAAGUACCUUUCCGGUAAUGAUCUCCUUACUACCGCUCAAUCUGGCUUCGGAUGGAGGUAGAAUUCGUGGUCAAAAGGCACUAGGCCUGCACCUGGGUGGCGAGGUACAAGGAAGGAGCUGUGAAUCAAUUGAGCACACCAGGAAUCAGUCUGACAAUUGGAAGGCCCUUUUUUCUGGGCUCUGCUUCUAGACAUUGGCACAUAAGGAUUUUCCAUGUGCAUAUGGCCAUUGCAGCUCCUUGACAUGUCCAAUUUCGCAUUUUUAUAAGUACAUCAAAAUGGUUUCUUUAAUCAAAAUGACACAAAAGAGCAGAAUAGUUUGUGACAACUUUGCAUAAUAUGAUUGUUUCCUAUUCACAGGAGGCGGAUAGGAACAUUUUCCGUCAGGAUGCUCAAGAUCCAUUUGAUAAACAUGUCCAACAUAUAUACCAUGGAUCCAAGUUUAAUCAGUAUGCUCAGUGUCUAUUUUGAAAUUCUGUUAGUUAUCAGCCAUCCAGUCAAAUAUGUCAUCGACAUGGAAAGAUUUUGACCUCUGAUUCUUGCCUGGAAUUACCUUUCAGGGAUAUAAUAAUUACUCCUAUAUCUACUUGUUUUGAAGAAAAUGCUGAUCCUACAGAAACAAGAUUAGAUGGUGACUCGCCGAAUGACAAUCAAGAUUACUCAUCUGGUGGUAAAUAAAUAGCUAAUUAUGUUAUUUAACUAUAUAAGAUUACAGGUCAUUUCUGUUGAUAUAAGCAUACCUCAUACGUUUAACAUAGGUGAUUUAUUACCUGGUAUUGAGGGAUUUCAAGUUGUCGGCAAUCCUAUACCAGGAUCUACUCUAAGAGCAUGUGGUUUUUCUAUAAAUGGUACUACACGUUGUAAUUUCCAGGUAUGUUGUGUUCUGACUCUGGAUUGUGAUUCUGUUAUCUUUGUUGUGAGUUUCUAAACCUUGCAAUAGACCUUUGACAUGGGAAUGUUGUUUUCAGUGGGUUCACUAUCUUGAAGAUGGGAACCAACCUUCUAAGUAAUUGGAAUUUGAUUUAUAAUAUUAGGUGAGUGAUUGCAUUGUAAAAGAUUGGCUUAUGUUAUUUGACCCUUGACAUUAUUUUCUUGUUGUCUGUAUGAACCAGAAACAAAUAUAUUGCAAAUAUCUAAAGUGAGAUGGUCUAUUUUUUUUGCUCGCUUUUCAUGUGCUUGCAACAUGGUUUUGUUUUUAGGACACAUUGUUCAUCCUCUAAUAAUACUUAUCCCUUUUGUGAUUUAUGUGCAUGUUAUGCAGCCAAUUCCAGCAGUUAUGUUUGGCUAAUAAAGUAGAGAGUCAUGCUACAUAACGAUACAAGGAAGAUACUGAAAGAGGUUUUGCAAGUGCUUCCAGUUUAAGUAUACAUCUUCUUGAAUCCAUGUGCCGAAACCUUCAUCUUUACCUUGAGGUAUGGUCUGCUUUCAGCAGCAUUUAUUUAGUUAAUGUGUCAUUGAAGUGUUGAACAUCAAGUUAUAAUUUACCUCCUAUAUUUUCACCAUUGAUACGCUGCAAGUAUUAAUAAAAAAAUAUGUGUCCGGGUGAAAGUUAUAAAUUAUCCUUUUUAAAAAGAAUUAUCCAUUUUGUUGAAAUUUCAUUUUAUGCAUUUUUGUGCCCACGAAUGAUAUUAUUAUCUCUUUGUAGUUUUAUCGUCCAUGCACUCUAUCGUUAUCAGUAGAGGAGCACAUCGGUUUUUUUCCUUCUCUGAGUUUUCAUUAUUUCAUAUUACAUUUAACCAUGGGAGUGGGUUGUAGGCAUCGUUGUGUUCUGGAUCGGGUAUGUGGAUUUUCUAUGAGUUUUCCUUUUAUAAGAUGGAUAUUUGUGCUUAAGAACUAAUUAUAUUGAUUUAUUCUUGCCUUCUUGUACAUAGAGAGAAAACCAUAAGUUUAUGGUUCCUCAUAUUGGAGUGAGGCUUUUAUUGCAUGGAAAUUACAACACCAAAACUUCUUUCCACUCUCAAGGAGGUCAAAUGGUCCCUCUUGGGGGCGAAGAGGACAUUCUUGAGAUCAAGGUGAUACAUCAAAGAGAAGUUCUUGAACGGAAUAUGCUACUGGCGAGCUUCUCCCAAGUCAUUUGAAGGAUAUAGGAAAACUUUCAUGAGAAUUGACAUGAAGGUCGGAUGUUUUGUAGUAGAUAUGCCUCUCUUGUAGGUCUUUUCUACUUUGGGUUUGGGAGUAGUCUAUGUGGUUUGAGAGAGUAUAUUUUCCAGAAAACAAGAUCUUAUUAUUGUGUUUCUAUACUCAACGGAGUUCAUGUUUCGUUUCUUUUUGUUGUGACAGGUCCUUUUUAAGUUUCCUUUCAUAUAGUUACAAGAGGUAUUGCUUAAGUAUCCUUUCAACUAUCUAAUUCUCAUAAAAGGAGAUUGAAAGAAUAAUUUGAAUCGACAGAAAAAACUCCCUCUAUUAUAUAUUAGUUGCCGCUAAUUUAGGACAACUUUAUACUAAAUUAAUCAUAACUAAUAUGAAACGGAGGGAGUAUAAUAUAUAAAAGCACAAGAUUUAAUAGAGUGCUCGCACAUGAUGUUGAGAAAAAUGGUGAAGGGAGAGAAAGGAUGAUUGCCUGAGAAGAAUGAAGAGGGAGAGAGAAACAAUUUCACGUGUAGGAGUUGAAACCAUGGGUUGGUAUGAUCGACACAUAUUCUUUAGUUGAAAAGUUAUUUAAUCACUCUUUUAUGUUCCCUAUAUAAAAUAUUCAUUGUCGAGUAAUCUUUUCACAUCAUAUUUUGUAUUCCCGUGGCAACGCACGGGCAUCGAACUAGUACUAGUAAAGUACACAUCAACAUCAUGUAUAUCAAAUAUACUUCUUUCGACUUUGCCAGCCUUUUUAUCUACCAAGCAUGUAGGGUAGCUCCGCCUCAGUGACCGUUCCCCUCAUAACAGAAGCACUUAGUCUCGGGUUUGGGUUUAAUCUUGGGUCUCUUCAUUAGCGCAGCAACUGUUUUGCCGUUUCACGAAGUAUCCCUUCUAGCCCUUGCCUUUCUUAAAACUUAGUGGUUUUACUAACCAUCAACUAUUGAUGCUCCUUCUUGAUUUCUACUUUCGCAAUGUCAAACAUCGCGAAUCGCUCAAGGAUCAAUGUAUCUAUCCUUGAUAUGUUAUAGUUCAUCACGAAGCUCUCGCAGCUUGGUCGCAGUGACUUUGGAGAACCAUCACUAUCUAAUCUGGAAGAUUAACUCCCACUUGAUUUAUUUGGGAUUUUUAGGGAAUUUAUAGGCGCAAUCCCUAGGUCAGGGGUCGCUCAGGGGCCCACAAGCCUCUNNNNNNNNNNNNNNNNNNNNNNNNNNNNNNNNNNNNNNNNNNNNNNNNNNNNNNNNNNNNNNNNNNNNNNNNNNNNNNNNNNNNNNNNNNNNNNNNNNNNNNNNNNNNNNNNNNNNNNNNNNNNNNNNNNNNNNNNNNNNNNNNNNNNNNNNNNNNNNNNNNNNNNNNNNNNNNNNNNNNNNNNNNNNNNNNNNNNNNNNNNNNNNNNNAUCGGAGGUAGAUGCUUUGUAUAGCUGAAUGUCGUAGUGAGAGGUUCCAUGAAGAUAUCGUAGGAUUCGUUUGACGAGCUGCAUGUGAACGUCACGAGGUUCAUGCAUAAACAAGCACACCUGUUGGACCGCAUAAGAGAUGUCGGGCCUGGUUAGUGUGAGGUAUUGCAAUGCGCAGGCUAAGCUCCGGUAUUUGGUGGGAUUGAAAAGAACAGCACCCGAGGAGGAAGAUAGCUUGGAGCUAGUGUUAAUGGGUGUGGAAACCGGCUUAUAGUUGAGAAUUUUGGCUCUCUCAAGAAUCUCAAGGGUGUACUGUUAUUGGCACAGAAAUAGACCCGAGGAGUUGGGGGUGACAUUGAUCCCAAGAAAGUGGUGUAGUUCACCCAAGUCAGACAUGGAGAAUUCGGACUUGAGGGACGCGAUAACAGAGUGGAGUGUUUGUGGUGCGGUAUAUGCAAGUAAAUCGGAGGUAGAUGCUUUGUAUAGCUGAAUGCCGUAGUGAGAGGUUCCAUGAAGAUAUCGUAGGAUUCGUUUGACGAGCUGCAUGUGAACAUCACGAGGUUCAUGCAUAAACAAGCACACCUGUUGGACCGCAUAGGAGAUGUCGGGCCUGGUUAGUGUGAGGUAUUGCAAUGUGCAGGCUAAGCUCCGGUAUUUGGUGGGAUUGAAAAGAACAGCACCCGAGGAGGAAGAUAGCUUGGAGCUAGUGUUAAUGGGUGUGGAAACCGGCUUAUAGUUGAGAAUUUUGGCUCUCUCAAGAAUCUCAAGGGUGUACUGUUAUUGGCACAGAAAUAGACCCGAGGAGUUGGGGGUGACAUUGAUCCCAAGAAAGUGGUGUAGUUCACCCAAGUCAGACAUGGAGAAUUCGGACUUGAGGGACGCGAUAACAGAGUGGAGUGUUUGUGGUGAGCUUGCGGUGAGUAUAAUGUCGUCGACAUACAUUAAUAGGUAGGCGGUGGUGGAUGCACGAUGAACAAUGAACAAGGAGGAGUCACAUUUGGAUGCUUGAAACCCGAGAGAGAGCAAAAAAUUCUUGAAGCGAAGGAACCACGUUCGUGGUGCUUGUUUGCGUCCAUAAAGAGACUUAAGGAGGAGGCAGACGUGAUCGGGAUGAGAGGGGUCGACGAAGCCCGCCAGCUGUGAACAGUAGACCGUCUCGUGGAGACCACCGUGUAAGAAGGCGUUCUUGACAUAUAGUUGAUGGAUAUAGGCCAAGAAUUGGAGGUGGCAAGACUCAGAACAACGCGAAUCGUGGCAGGCUUCACCACCGGACUGAAUGUUUCAUCAUAGUCCACGCCUUCAUGUUGAGUGAAACCACGGACCACCCAUCGGGCUUUGUAACGAGCGAGAGAGCCGUCUACAUUGAACUUGUGCCAAAAAAUCCACUUCCCCAUCACCACAUUAACACCUGCAGGUUUAGGCACCAAAGACCACGUAGAGUUGUGCAUUAAAGCAUUAUAUUCAUCUAACAUUGCUUGGCGCCAAUGGGAAUCCCUUAGUGCAGAUUUGUAUGUGGGAGGUAUAGGUGAUAUGGAGGAGGUAGUGGUGUGUGCGAGGAAGAGGCGCUUGGGCAUGCAGAAACCAACCUUCGAGCGUGUGCCCAUGGGAUGAUGGUUUUUGGUUGGUGCGACUGGUACAGCCUUGAGCGGGCGAUGUGGAAGAGGCGUAGUGGGCGGCUCGGAAUCCGAGGGAGAUUUGGUGGGACCCGGGACUGGCGAGUCAGGCGGGUCAGGUGCGGAAGGCGUGGUAGAUCCGGUGGGCGCGGGAGAGCAGGUGGGAGUGGCGGUCUUCGAGGAAGAUGUGGAAGUGGCGGCAGGUGUGGGAGAUAGAAUGAUUUGCGGGCACGUGUCGACGGCAGGAGGGGUGGGUGAGACCCGAGAGGCCGAGUGGGCUGGUGGCGAGCAAUCCGAGCGGCUAGGGUGGGACCGACGAUGUGAUGACGAGUCAGGGGUGGUUGCGUGAUCCGAGGCUGCCGAGGUAGGUGAGAUCCAUGCGGUGGGAUUUUCUGUGGACGCGAGGGUUUGUAACAUGGGUGUCAGGGGUUCGUAGGGAAAAAUGGUUUCGUCAAAAAUGUCGGGAGACGAUCACGCGACGAGUUUGGAGGUCAUAGCAACGGUAGCAUUUCUCUUCUAGUGGGUAGCGCAAGAAAAUGCAGCGAGUGAAACGAGGGGAGAGUUUGUUGGCGGCCGUGGCAGUGAUGUUUGGAAAACACAAGCAGCCGAAGACCCUGAGGUGAUCAUACGCCGGAGGUGAGCCGUAUAGGAGAUAGUGAGGGGUGUGGUUGGCGAUAGCGCGGGACGGAUGGCGGUUGGGUAGAUAGGUGGCAGUGUGAAGAGCUUCGACCCAAAAUGGUGGUGUGAGGCGCGCUUGAAAGAGGAGGGUGCAAACGAUGUCGUUUGUAGUGCGGAUGAGGCGUUCGGCUUUGCCAUUCUGAGGAGAGGUGUGAGGGCAGGAGAAGCGGUAGACGAUGCCAUUGUUAGAGAAGAAGGAGCGAAGGGAGGUGUUGAUGAACUCAUCACCACUGUCUCAUUGCAUGCUUUUAAUGAUAGUGUGAAAUUGCGUGUGAACGUAUGUGAAGAUACAAAGUAAAACCGUCGAGGUGUCGGAUUUGUGGCGUAAUGGAAAGGACCACGAGUAGUGGGUGUAAUCAUCAAGGAUAAUGAGAUCAUUCACUACUCUCUCUCUCUCUCUCUCCCUCUCCCUCUCCCUCUCCCUCUCUCUCUCUCUCUCCGAUGUCGCUCACCCGCCUCCAGUUUGACACCAUCCUCCUUCCAUGGCCUCCUGAGAAUGGAAUCUCACACCUCUUGGCUAGCCUUAGUCCAUAAGGGCCCGUUUGGGUCGUCUCGGCGGACACCAACGUCUGCUUCCGCGUUUGAAUCGGCACGCGUCCAACGUUUGCCCGACCCGUUUUGAUGGCGCGUAAAAAAAACUGCAAACAUGAAAGCCGACCACGAAGGCCCGCGAGAUUCCACGCGCGCAUCUCCAUUAUAUUAAUUGAAUAUUAAGAAAACUAAACUGCGCGCUACCCUAGGCAUCUGCGUUGUCUGCGUUGAUGUUGGGGGCGGGCUCUACCGGCGUGGGCAGUGCUGGUGGCGGCGGUGCCGGCGGUAGCGCGGAACGGACGCGGUCCUCUUCCUCCCUCUCCAGUUGUUCCUCCUCCGGUUCCGGCUCCAGCUCCAUCUGUCGCGCGCCGUCGGUGCGCUACUCCGCCAGGCGCAGUGCCCUCCGAUUGUGGAGAUAGACGGCCUCCUCCUAGCGCAGCGUGCGGGGAUAGACGACGGGGGCCUUGCCCUUGUUUUGGGCGGAGCCGGUCAUGGCUUAUGGCUAGGGUUUGGUCGUCGACGAGGGAGUAGAGAGGUGGCGAGAUAGCGACAUGCAUGCAUAUUAGUAUAAGAGCCGCCGCACGACAAUGCCCGGGUACGACGCCGCUCUAUAGUCGGAUCUUAGAAAGAAAGAAUCCUAGUCAGCGUGUAACAUUGUGUAACUCUUUGUAUGUUUAACAUUUUUAGCUAGCUCCGUAAAAAACAGUCAUAUACGUGCCCUACAGGAACUAAUAUAUUUUAUAUGUCGAAUCUAUGUUGAGCUGUGAUGCCUGGUUACUUAUGUCAAAAGUUGUUGCUUAUUUUAUUUUGCGAGUAAAAAGUUGUUGCUUAUGCUUUUCACACACACAAAAAAAGAACAGAGGCAGUGCAUAUCAUCGUUUAUUCAUCUUUGUUAUAUGUACCCGCAACUGGAACAAGAUGCACUUACAUAAAUAAAUAAUAGGGAAAGUAGUGGCUGCAUCUACCUUCGGUGCACCCAUGAAGUGAACAGUAAAUUAAAAAAAUAGAAAAAAAAAUCUAAAACUUCGUGAAUGUGAUUAUGAGCAAAUGUUUUAGAAGCUUGCAGAGUUUGGUCAACAAAAAACAUAAGAUGAUCUCUAUGCAAAACGAAAUAGGAAUGAUGCUCUGUACCAACGUUAUUGUUCACAUGUUUUCAAAAAAAAAAUAUACGAAGCUCAUCAGAUGUCAAUUUGCCACCAAAUUUUGCAAGCACCUCAAACAUUUGGUCAAAAUCGCAUGGACAAAAUUUCAGAUUUGUUUGAAACUUUUUGGUAACUUUUUUAUCGUGGGUGCACCGGGGUGCAAUGUUCGUGGGUGCACAAAAACCACAUUGCAAGUUCUCAAUUUAAAAAGAUGGUAAUGUAAAGCGGAAAGUAGGACACGCGGUUUGAUUCAAAGUAAAAGCCGAAGUGCAGUGCGGUCCCAGCCCACAUGGUGGAGACUGGAGAAGCAACAAAGCCACCGGAGACUUUCUUCAGUUUGUAGCUUGGCUUCUCUGCUUACUUCUCAAGCCCCCAAUUGACUCCAGUCUCCCUCUUCUUCCUCUUCCUCUCCCCUCCGUUACCUGUUUCUCCUUGAUACAGACAGGGAGAGGAGAGGGAGAUGGCGAACAUCUACGGUGGCUGGGAAAGGGAUCGUGUCGCAGCGGAACACCGGCCGUCAAGCCCAGAUGAGGAAUCUGGUCUGCAAGAACCUAAUUCAGGUGAGCUCUCAGAUUUCCUCCGUUCUUCGUAGCAGCAGUCGGUAGAUAUCAAGGAUGGGAAUUAACUGAAUUAGUAUCAUGCAACCACAGCUCUAUAGGCUUAAAGCGUCCUUGGUUUUCUUUGAUAUAAACGUCUACAUAAUUUUGUUCUGAGGUGUACUUCCGUAGACCCCCCUCACAAAACAUAGAAAGAGAACGUAUACUCACCUCGUAUUGUAUACUAUAGACUUUUAUAUGCAUGCAAUACAAAGUGGACAUACGUACGACAGCUUGUAAUGUACAAAAAUAUACAAUACGAGGUGGGUAUACAUUUUCCUUUCUACGUUUUAUGAAGAGGGGUCUACCGAAAUAAAUGUGUUUUUUGUUUAGUAGUAGUAUGUCCGGAAAACAGAGUGGUUUUGCCUAUUUGAGAAAACAGAGCAGUUUUCCCUAUUUCACAAAUCAUACGGUCUGAGGCACCCAUAUAUCACUUUGCGACAAAUCGCAACCAUAUAUUGGUUAUGCCAUCCUACCUGUUUCCUACUUCGGUUGAACCCUACGUUCUUCACAAAAUUCUGCGAUGGUACUUCUGAAAAGGAACACUUUCCCAUUCUUCACGAAGAAAAAAAACUGUGAUGAGAAAAUUCAGCAUGUUAACGCGUGUUAAUUGUAUAACAGGGACGAUAGACUCCAAGAAAAGCAGCAGUGCCGCCACCAGCCUCAUGGCCUCUUCCGGCAGCGAUGGUACAAACAGUGUAUUGAAACAGGGGUGUUUCCUAGAAGGCCAAAUACUGGAGGCACCGAACAUCCGGAAGUUCACAUUCCCUGAGAUUCGGACAGUUACCAGGAACUUCAAGCCAGAUUAUCUCCUUGGGGUGGGGGCUUUUNNNNNNNNNNNNNNNNNNNNNNNNNNNNNNNNNNNNNNNNNNNNNNNNNNNNNNNNNNNNNNNNNNNNNNNNNNNNNNNNNNNNNNNNNNNNNNNNNNNNCUUCAAUCACUGCCGCCAAGCUAUAAAGGCUUUGUGUUGAACUACAAUAUGCAGGGGAUGAACAAGUCUCCCGGCGAGUUGUUUGCGAUGUUGAAAGUCGCAGAGUCUGAACUCCGUAAAGAGCAUCAAGUGUUGAUGGUGAAUAAGACCACUAGUUUCAAGAGAAACGGCAAAGGCAAGAAGGGUAAUUCGAAGAAGAGCGGCAAGCCUGUUGCCAAUCCACCGAAGAAACCCAAAGCUGGACCUAAGCCUGAAACGGAGUGUUACUAUUGCAAGGGUAUGAGUCACUGGAAGCGCAAUUGCCCCAAGUAUCUGGCAGAUAAGAAGGUGGCCAAAGAAAAAUCAGGUAUAUUUGAUAUACAUGUUAUUGAUGUGUACUUAACCGGCUCUCGUAGUAGUGCCUGGGUAUUCGAUACCGGUUUUGUUGCUCAUAUUUGCAACUCGAAACAGGAACUGCGGAAUAGACGAAGGCUGGCGAAAGAUGAAGUGACGAUGCGUGUAGGAAAUGGUUCCAAGGUUGAUGCAAUCGCCGUCGGCACAGUUUCACUUCAGUUACCAUCAGGAUUAGUGAUGAACUUAAAUCAUUGUUAUUUAGUGCCUGCGUUGAGCAUGAACAUUAUUUCUUGAUCUUGUUUAUUUCGAGAAGGUUACUCUUUUCAGUCAGAGAAUAAUGGUUGUUCUAUUUCUAUGAGUAACAUCUUUUAUGGUCAUGCACCAAAUGUGAGAGGAUUGUUCAUAUUGAAUCUUGAUAGCGAUACACAUAUACAUAACAUUGAGACCAAAAGAGUUAGAGUUAACAAUGAUAGCGCCAUAUUUUUGUGGCACUGCCGCUUAGGUCAUAUUGGUGUAAAGCGCAUGAAGAAACUCCAUGCUGAUGGACUUUUGGAGUCACUUGACUUUGAUUCACUAGACACGUGCGAACCAUGCCUCAUGGGAAAGAUGACUAAGACUCCGUUCUCCGGAACAAUGGAGCAUGCAAGUGACUUGUUGGAAAUCAUACAUACCGAUGUGUGUGGUCCAAUGAGCGUAGAGGCGCGCGGCGGAUAUCGUUAUUUUCUCACCUUCACUGACGAUUUGAGUAGAUAUGGUUAUGUCUACUUGAUGAAGCACAAGUCUGAAACAUUUGAAAAGUUCAAGCAAUUUCAGAGUGAAGUGGAAAAUCAUCGUAACAAGAAGAUCAAGUUCCUACGGUCUGAUCGUGGGGGUGAAUAUCUGAGUUUUGAGUUUGGUGCUCACUUAAGACAAUGUGGAAUUGUUUCACAGUUAACACCGCCUGGAACACCACAGCGUAAUGGUGUGUCCGAACGUCGUAAUCGUACUUUAUUAGAGAUGGUGCGAUCUAUGAUGUCUCGUACCGAUUUGCCGUUAUCUUUUUGGGGUUAUGCAUUAGAAACAGCUGCAUUUACUGUAAAUAGGGCACCAUCAAAAUCCGUUGAGACGACACCAUACGAAGUGUGGUAUGGCAAAAGGCCAAAGUUGUCGUUUCUUAAAGUUUGGGGAUGUGAUGCUUAUGUCAAAAAGCUUCAGCCUGAAAAGCUGGAACCCAAAGCGGAAAAGUGCGUCUUCAUAGGUUACCCAAAAGAGACAGUUGGGUACACCUUCUAUCUCAAAUCCGAGGGCAAAGUGUUUGUUGCUAAGAAUGGAACUUUUCUCGAGAAGGAGUUUCUCUCGAGAGAAUUGAGUGGGAGGCACAUAGAACUUGACGAGGUUGUCGAACCUCUCAUCCCUCUGGAUGGUGGCGCAGGGCAAGCGGAAACCUCUGUCGUUGCGACGCCGGUUGAGGUGGAAGUUAAUGAUGAUGAUCAUGAAACUCCAGUUCAAGUUUCAGUCGAACCACGCAGGUCGACGAGACCACGUGCUGCUCCAGAGUGGUANNNNNNNNNNNNNNNNNNNNNNNNNNNNNNNNNNNNNNNNNNNNNNNNNNNNNNNNNNNNNNNNNNNNNNNNNNNNNNNNNNNNNNNNNNNNNNNNNNNNUAAUAAUAACUAUAUUUAUUAUUGCCUCUAGGGCAUAAUUCCAACAGCCCCGACAUCAUGAUGAUCGGCGUUCAGUCGGUGACACUUAUGAUCCAAGGUCCGACGCAAGAGGGUACAUCGCCCAGAGGAAGGUCGACAGGAGUCGAGCCCACCGCGAUGGUCACGAUAGAGACCGACUGAGUGGAAGCAGGACCAUCGUCUCUGGCCUCGACUGUUUCAGUCCGGCCAUCCGUUCGGCUGACAUCCCUCCCAACUUCUGAUUGGCGACGGGGAUCAGCAAGUUUACAGGAGAAUCCAAGCCAGAAACGUGGCUGGACGACUACCGGGUGGCGGUCCAGAUCGGUGGUGGUGAUGACCAGGUCGCCAUGAAACAUCUCCCCCUGAUGCUCGACGGCUCGGUACGAGUGUGGCUGAACCAGUUAGCUCCUUCAAGCAUCUACAGCUGGGCAGAUCUGGCCCGAGUCUUCAUCAGGACGUUCGAGGGGACGUGCAAACGCCCUGCUGGUCUCAUAGAGCUCCAAAACUGUGUCCAGAAGCAGAAUGAGCCCCUGCGCGAUUUCAUCCAGCGUUGGACAACCCUCUACCACACGGUCGAGAACGUCAUAGAGCACCAAGCAGUCUGCGCCUUCAAGGCAGGCGUGCGGUACAGGGAUCUGUACCUGAAGUUCGGUCGGACAGGCGACAUCUCCAUGAGCAAGAUGAUGGAGAUAGUGGCACGCUAUGCAAAUGGCGAAGAAGAGGACCGCAUUCGUAGCGGCAAGCAUAAAGCAGUCGCCGAUGGAGAUGGGAACAACACUCGGAAGCAGAAGCAUAAAGCUCCGUCCACUCCGCAGGCAGAGGUCGCAGCCGUUACCAAUGCCAAGUUCAAGGGCAAGGGGAAGGCUCAGUUCACCCCCAAGAAGAAGCAGUUCGGAAACCACAUCCUGGAUCAGCCAUGUCCAAUCCACACGAAGAUGGACGAAGAAGGCAACGCCAUAUUCCCGAAGCAUACCACUCGGCAAUGUCGCCUCCUAAUCCAAGGGUUCGGCGAAGGGCAGCCGAGUGAAAAGGACAACGAACAGGAUGAUGAGGACAAGGAGGAUCCGUUCCCCCAAGUCCAUGCAACACUGAUGAUUUUUGCUGACGUGGAAAGCAAGAGUCGUCUGAAGCUGGUGAACAGGGAGGUGAACAUGGCCACCCCAACCAACCUCACAUUCCUCAAAUGGUCUCAGACCGCGAUCACCUUUGACCAGUCAGAUCAUCCAGCACACGUGCCCAUCCCAGGGAGGCAGGCUCUGGUCGUCGACCCGGUGGUGGAAGGAGUUCGACUGCGCAAAGUCCUCAUGGACGGCGGCAGCGGCUUGAACAUCAUGUACGCCGACACUCUCAAGGGGUUGGGAAUUCCGAUGUCCAAACUUAGCGAGAGCAGCAUGCAGUUCCACGGAGUCAUCCAUGGACGAAAGGCCAAGUCACUCGGCCAGAUCUCGUUGGACGUCGUUUUCGGCUCCGACAAGAACUUCCGCAAGGAAAAGCUGACAUUCGAGAUGGUGGACUUCCAGAGUGCAUACCACGCGAUUCUGGGCCGUCCGGCGUAUGCGCGUUUCAUGGCCCGUCCAUGUUACGUGUACCUGAAGCUGAAGAUGCCAGGUCCCAAAGGUGUGAUCACUGUCACAGGCAAUCGGCAGCGGGCCGAGGAGUGUCUGCAGCAGGGGUCGAGGAUCGCCGAUCAGCAGAUGGCUAUCCUCGAGCUCGACGAGUACAAGAAGACAGCCGACCCUGCUGACUUGAUGCGUUCGAAGAAGCCAGCUUCGUAGUCCGCAUUCCAGUCGGCGGGAGACACGAAGAAGGUCAGCAUCCACCCGACGGAAGACACCGCUGCCCCGACGAACUUCUCCACCACCCUCGAUCCAAAAUAGGAAGCCGAGCUCAUCCAAUUCCUCCGUGAGAACUGGGACGUCUUCGCAUGGAAGCCCGCUGACAUGCUAGGUGUACCCAGGGAGUUGGCUGAGCACCGAUUGCAUGUGGAUCCUGCUGCUCGACCUGUCCGAGAACGCCUGCGUCGGUCCGCCGCGCACAAGAGGAAGGCAAUCGGAGAGGAGGUGGCUAAACUUUUGGCAGCCAACUUCAUUCGCGAGGUACACCACUCCGAGUGGCUCGCCAAUGUUGUUAUGGUGCCCAAGAAGGACAAGUCUCUUCGAAUGUGCAUCGACUUCAAGCAUCUCAAUAAGGUCUACCCGAAAGACCAUUUCCCGCUCCCCCGCAUUGAUCAAAUUGUCGAUUCGACUGCGGGUUGCGAGCGUUUGUCAUUCCUUGAUGCCUACUCGGGCUAUCAUCAGAUCCGUCUGUAUGGCCCCGAUGAAUUAAAGACAACCUUCAUCACCCCAUUCGGGUGCUUCUGCUACAUCACUAUGCCGUUCGGUUUGAAGAAUGCAGGAGCAACUUUUAUGCGCAUGAUCCAAAAAUGCCUCCUUGACCAGAUCGGUCGAAAUGUGGAAACGUAUAUGGAUGAUAUCGUAGUCAAGUCACGCAAAGGUUCCGACCUGCUGACUGACUUGGCAGAAACAUUCGCCAACCUUCGUAGGUACGAUAUCAAGCUCAACCCUGCCAAGUGUUCAUUCGGUGUUCCCAACGGAAAGUUACUCAGUUUCUUCGUUUCCGAACGAGGGAUCGAUGUCAACCCCGAAAAGAUCGGGACCAUUGUCCGAAUGGAGCAGCCGGUCAGAAUACACGAUGUUCAAAGGCUCACAGGUUGCCUAGCGGCUUUGAGCAGGUUUAUCAGUCGACUCGGCGAAAAAGCGCUACCUCUGUACCGACUCAUGAAGAAAUCAGAUACUUUCGAGUGGACAGACGAAGCCCAAAUUGCAUUCGACGACCUCAAAGCCCUGCUUUCCACCCAGCCGGUUCUUACUGCUCCGCUCAGUAAAGAACCCCUUCUUCUGUACAUCGCGGCUACAAAUCAAGUCGUCAGCACUGUUCUCACAGUCGAACGCGAAGAAGAAGGCAAGUCAUACAAGGUUCAGCGGCCAGUGUAUUAUGUCUCCGAAGUCCUGACUCCUUCCAAGCAGAGGUAUGCCCAUUAUCAAAAGCUUAUUUACGAGAUUUACAUGACUGCGAAGAAGGUGGCUCAUUAUUUCCAAGACCACUCGGUGACCGUCGUUUCUGAUGCUCCGUUGUCAGAAAUCCUCCACAAUCGGGACGCAUCAGGCCGAGUGGCGACGUGGGCAAUGGAGAUGUUAUAAUGUGACAUGAAGUUCGAGGCCAAGAAAGCUAUAACGUCUCAAGCCCUGGCUGACUUCAUAGCAGAAUGGGUAGAACAACAGCAACAGACCCACAUCUACGCGAUUCCUCCAACAACGAGGCAGAGUAUGAAGCUCUCCUUUAUGGAUUGCGCAUGGCCAUCACACUCGGCGUCCGUCGCCUGAUGGUCUAUGGCGAUUCAGAUUUGGUGGUUAAUCAAGUGAUGAAGGAGUGGGACGUAAGGAACCCCACCAUGACUACAUACUGCAACACAGUGAGGAAGCUCGAGAAAAAGUUUGAAGGUCUGGAACUCCACCAUGUUCCGCGACUGAAAAACCAAGCAGCCGAUGAGUUGGCGAAACUUGGAUCCACUCGGAGACCAGUCCCGAGUGAUGUCUGCCUCGAGCACCUACACCUUCCCUCAGUUAAAGAAGAUCCCUUCACAGAGGAACCAGUACAACCAAAGAGCUCGACAGAUCCGACUGAAGUUAAGGUCCCCGCUGUGGUUGAUCUGAUCAUGGAGAUUCUUGCUAUCAUCCCCGAUUGGACUGUGCCGUUCAUUGCGUACAUCCUAAGGCGAGAAUUAUCAGAAGAUGAGGUCCAAGCCAGACAGAUCGUCCGCAGGUCGAAGUCGUUCACCGUCAUUGAUGGCCAGUUGUACAAAGAAAGUGUUUCAGGCGUCCUUCAACGAUGCAUCUCCCCUGAGGAGGGGCAGUUAAUCCUGGAAGAAAUUCACUCGGGAACUUGCGCUCAUCAUGCCUCCUCAAGAGCAAUCGUCGCCAAAGCAUUCGGAGCUGGUUUCUUCUGGUUGCAGGCGAAUGAAAUGGCGAAGGAUAUGGUCGACCGAUGCGAAGGCUGUUAGUUCUACUCGAACAAGUCUCACAAGCCAACGUCUGCGCUGAAGACAAUCCCCCUUGUUUGGCCGUUUGCAGCGUGGGGAUUAGAUACAGUCGGUCCAUUCAGGACAGGUCAAGGUGGAUUCACACAUCUGUUAGUGGCAGUCGACAAGUUCACCAAGUGGAUUGAAGCCAAGCCCAUCAAGAAACUCGAUGCCCUUACGGCCAUCAAGUUUGUCAGGGACAUCAUCUCCAGAUUCGGGGUACCGCACAACAUAAUCACUGACAAUGGCACAAACUUUGACUCGGACAGAUUCAAGGGUUUCUGUACAAGCCAAGGUAUCCGAGUGGAUUUUGCAUCUGUGGCGCAUCCCCAAACAAACGGGCAAGCAGAGCGGGCGAAUGGACUUAUUCUUCAAGGGUUGAAGCCUCGACUCCUGCGGGAAGUUGGACAUGCUGCGGGCGCAUGGGUCACCGAGCUGCCUUCGGUGUUGUGGGGCCUCCGCACAACUCCAAAUAAAUCUACAGGGCGAUCCCCGUUCUUCCUCGUUUACGGAGCAGAGGCAGUCCUUCCGAGUGACUUGCUUCACAAUGCUCCACGAGUCGAACUCUUCUCCGAAGCCGAAGCAGAGCAAGCCAGGAAAGACGGAGUGGAUUUUCUAGAAGAGGAGCGCGAGAUGGCACUGACUCGCUCAACCAUUUAUCAACAAGAUCUGCGGCGAUUUCACGCGCGGCACGUCAGGAGUCGUACAUUCCAAGCAGGCGACCAGGUUCUCCGAGUGGAUCAGCAGAGACCUCACAAGUUGGCUCCUGCUUGGGAAGGACCCUUCAUCAUCUCCAAGGUGCUAAACAACGGAGCAUAUCGACUCUACAACCUAGACAGGGAAACGGUUGAGCCGCGCGCAUGGAACGGAGAUCUCCUGAAGCGCUUCUACACGUGACCGCCGAAUGGGGCAAUGUAAAGAACAAGUAUCAUUGAAGUAAUACAAAGCAGAUUGAUUUUUUGCAGAUUCAAGAUUCUUCCGCAUUGGCAGACUCCGGUCUCAGAAAAAAAAACUUAGCUGCGAUCCAGAAUCGCCUAAGUACAAACUUUCUCCGAGUAUGCACUAAACGUCACACUCGGGGACUUAGAUGCGAUCCAGAAUCGCCUAAGUAAAAAAGCUUCCUUCGAGUGUAUCCUAGAGAUCCACUCGGAGGCUUAGCAGAACCUCAUUGAGGCUCAUGUGGAUGUCGAGACAACUGACAACUACAUUAGUAUCAACUCGCUCCGAGUGCGCACGAGAUGCCGCACUCAGGGACUUAGCUGUGAUCCAGAAUCGCCUAAGUAAAAAGCUUCCUUCGAGUGUAUCCUCGAGAUCCACUCGGAGGCUUAGCAGACCCUCAUUGAGGCUCAUGUGGAUGUCGAGACAACUGACAACUACAUGAGUAUCAACUCGCUCCGAGUGCGCAUGACAUGCCGCACUCGAGGACUUAGCUGCGAUCCAGAAUCGCCUAAGUAAAAAGCUUCCUUCGAGUGUAUCCUCGACAUCCACUCGGAGGCUUAGCAGACCCUCAUUGAGGCUCAUGUGGAUGUGAAGACAAUUAACAAUUACAUGCUCUGCAUGUUUGCCAUUGGCUUCACCAAGAGACGCCAAACAGAAACCACGAGCCAAAAUCGUGUCAAAAAAAGAGCGAAAUAUUAGAUUCGAAUUCAAAGUAGGUUCAACGAUAGGCGGCUCGGUGUAGAUCAAGCUUAUCCACACCGAACCACGAAUGUGACGGCCAACAGCAGUGGCCAAAGUUUGAUACAGAUACCACUCGGCAUACUGAGGUAAAGUUUUUCAAGCAUCGUCAGGACGGGCACCGGGACUGGGAGGCUCCACAAAAGUGUCAAGGUCGAUCCCGUCUGCGAUGCGAGUGGCGGUCUCAAGGAAGGUCUCCAUGAAAUCUUCGAAUCGAAGCUUCUUGGUGUUGGCGACCUGCAACGCCUUUAGCUUCUCUUCGCGAGCUUCCUUGCAGUGCACUCGGACCAGCGAUAGCGCCACGUCCGCACCACAACGAGCGGCAGAUUUCUUCCACGCCUGCACUCGGUUCGGGACGUCCUCCAGCCGAGUCAUCAGCCCUUCUAUCUCCUGCCGGGAAUCGUCUUCGGGCCACAGCUCCUUGUCGAUCCGGCCGAUGACUUCUCUCAGACGGCCGAUGAAAGGCCCCACUCUGCCAAGGCGAAUAUGUGCUCGGAGCAUGUCCCGAUUCGCUUCGUCGCCGAGUGGAACGUUCGAAACAACCGACCGUUCAAUGUCGGCUGCUUCAGCCUCAGCGUCUAGACAAAAUCUGCAAAGAAAAGAAGAGCAGAAAGUAAGCGCAGAAUGAAUUACAAAGUCAAGAAGCACUCGGCAAGAAGCUUACCACCGAGCAGUGCAAUCAUCUUCCUCGCCCAGUCGUUGACAUACUUCUCCUACGAAAUGCAUCGACGGUUCAUCACCUGCAUUUGACCCAUCAGUUCACUUCUUUGCUUGCCCAUUUUCUCAAUUUCGGCCACCAAUGCCUUGUUGGUCUCCCGGGACUCCUCCAAAGACUUCUCUCGGUCAGCAAGUGCCACCUUCACACCAGCUAAGUCAUUCACAGCUGCCUCAAAUUCCGCAGCAAGCUGAAUCUUUUCAGCCUUCAAUGUUGGAAUUAUGCCCUAGAGGCAAUAAUAAAUAUAGUUAUUAUUAUNNNNNNNNNNNNNNNNNNNNNNNNNNNNNNNNNNNNNNNNNNNNNNNNNNNNNNNNNNNNNNNNNNNNNNNNNNNNNNNNNNNNNNNNNNNNNNNNNNNNUUUUAUGGUCAUGCACCGAAUGUGAGAGGAUUGUUCAUAUUGAAUCUCGAUAGCGAUACGCAUAUACAUAACAUUGAGACCAAAAGAGUUAGAGUAAACAAUGAUAGCGCCAUAUUUUUGUGGCACUGCCGCUUGGGUCAUAUUGGUGUAAAGCGCAUGAAGAAACUCCAUGCUGAUGGACUUUUGGAGUCACUUGAUUUUGAUUCACUUGACACGUGCGAACCAUGCCUCAUGGGCAAGAUGACUAAGACUCCGUUCUCCGGAACAAUGAAGCGUGCAAGUGACUUGUUGGAAAUCAUACAUACCGAUGUGUGUGGUCCGAUGAGCGUGGAGGCACGCGGCGGAUAUCGUUAUUUUCUCACCUUCACUGACGAUUUAAGUAGAUAUGGUUAUGUCUACUUGAUGAAGCACAAGUCUGAAACAUUUGAAAAGUUCAAGCAAUUUCAGAGUGAAGUGGAAAAUCAUCGUAACAAGAAGAUCAAGUUCCUACGGUCUGAUCAUGGGGGUGAAUAUCUGAGUUUUGAGUUUGGUGCUCACUUAAGACAAUGUGGAAUUGUUUCGCAGUUAACACCGCCUGGAACACCACAGCGUAAUGGUGUGUCCGAACGUCGUAAUCGUACUUUGUUAGAGAUGGUGCGAUCUAUGAUGUCUCUUACUGAUUUGCCGUUAUCAUUUUGGGGUUAUGCAUUAGAAACAGCUGCAUUCACUUUAAAUAGGGCACCAUCAAAAUCCGUUGAGACGACACCAUACGAACUGUGGUAUGGCAAAAGGCCAAAGUUGUCGUUUCUUAAAGUUUGGGGAUGUGAUGCUUAUGUCAAAAAGCUUCAGCCUGAAAAGCUGGAACCCAAAGCGGAAAAGUGCGUCUUCAUAGGUUACCCAAAAGAGACGGUUGGGUACACCUUCUAUCUCAAAUCCGAGGGCAAAGUGUUUGUUGCUAAGAAUGGAACUUUUCUCGAGAAGGAGUUUCUCUCGAGAGAAUUGAGUGGGAGGCACAUAGAACUUGACGAGGUUGUCGAACCUCUCAUCCCUCUGGAUGGUGGCGCAGGGCAAGGGGAGACCUCUGUCGUUGCGACGCCGGUUGAGGAGGAAGUUAAUGAUGAUGAUCAUGAAACUCCAGUUCAAGUUUCUGUUGAACCACGCAGGUCGACGAGAUCACGUGCUGCUCCAGAGUGGUACGGUAAUCCCGUCUUAUCGAUCAUGUUGUUAGACAACAAUGAACCUCCGAAUUAUGAAGAGGCAAUGGUGGGCCCAGAUUCCAACAAAUGGCUAGAAGCCAUGAAGUCCGAGAUAGGAUCCAUGUAUGAGAACAAAGUGUGGACUUUGGAGAUACUACCUGAGGGCCGCAAGGCUAUUCAGAACAAAUGGAUCUUUAAGAAGAAGACGGACGCUGACGGUAAUGUGACCGUUUAUAAAGCUCGACUUGUGGCAAAGGGUUUUUCACAAGUUCCAGGAGUUGACUACGAUGAGACCUUCUCACCCGUAGCGAUGCUUAAGUCCGUCAGAAUCACGUUAGCAAUAGCUGCAUUUUUCGAUUAUGAAAUCUGGCAGAUGGAUGUCAAAACGACGUUCCUUAACGGUUUCCUUAAGGAAGAGUUGUAUAUGAUGCAACCCGAAGGUUUUGUCGAUCCUAAGAAUGCUGACAAGGUGUGCAAGCUCCAGCGAUCCAUUUAUGGACUGGUGCAAGCANNNNNNNNNNNNNNNNNNNNNNNNNNNNNNNNNNNNNNNNNNNNNNNNNNNNNNNNNNNNNNNNNNNNNNNNNNNNNNNNNNNNNNNNNNNNNNNNNNNNCGUUGUUUUAUGCGUAUUUGAGUUAUAUGGUUGGUUACCGAAUGUUGGUCGGAGUCCCGGAUGAGAUCACGGACGUCAUGAGGGUUUCCGGAAUAGUCCGGAAACGAAGAUAGAUAUAUAGGAUGACCUCAUUUGAUUACCGGAAGGUUUUCAGAGUUACCGGGAAUGUACCGGGAAUGACGAAUGGGUUCCGGGAGUUCACCGGGGGGGGGGGGGCAACUAGGGAGGAAAACGGAGCAGAANNNNNNNNNNNNNNNNNNNNNNNNNNNNNNNNNNNNGGGCGUUGCCGGGGGGGGGGGGGGGCAACUAGGGAUGAAAACGGAGCAGAAACGGACGAAACUGAGUGCUAUCACAUUUGUUUUCAUAUUAUUUUGCAGAAGUGGAAACGAAUACAGAAACCCCGGAAAUGAAUACGGAAACAUAUACUACCAGAAACAGACACGGAGCGAAUACAAAACGGAUACAGAUAUAGAAGUGGGCGUUGACCGAAACUUUAAGACCCCUUGAAUCAUAGAGUAAUACACACACCAACAAAAAUUAAUGAAUUGCUAACAUGUCUACAAAAUAAUUUGAUUAUGUUAGCAACAUAUCCUAGUAUUGUAUUAGUACAUGACAAUUCUGUAUAGGGUAUAGCUGAGUACAUAUAUGGUAGUAUAAGUUGGGCCUCAAAUGAUCCAUUAUGCUCAUUGUGUUAUUGUGUGUUAUUUGACGGUUGGGAUACAAAGUAGUGCGUAUGCCUAUAGUAAAAAUGGGAAAUUCCAUAUUGACGGAAACAGAAAGUUCCAUUUUCACAUAUGUUCCACCGGAAAACACUCUUCCGUUUUUGUUUCCGUUUUCACAUUGAAAAUUCCAUUUUCAUUUCCGUUUUGCAAAUUUCCAUUUCCGCUUCCAUAUUUUCUCUCCGUUUUCGUUUUUCCUCCGGAAAAGCGGAAAGUUUCCACUCCAUUUUCAUCCCUAGGGGCAACCCACCCCGGGGAAGCCCAUAGGCCUUGAGGGUGGCACACCAGCCCUUAGUGGGAAGGAAGGGAAGGACUCCCACCCACCAAACCAAGUCCAACUCGGUUUGGGGGGGGAGCCUUCCCCCCUUGGACUCGGCCGACCCCCUUGGGGCUCCUUGAGCCCCAAGGCAAGGUCCCCUCCCUCCCACCUAUAUAUACGGAGGUAUUGGGGCUGAUUUGAGACGACUUUUCCAUGGCAGCCCGACCACAUACCUCCACGUUUUUUCCUCUAGAUCGCGUUUCUGCGGAGCUCGGGCGGAGCCCUGCUNNNNNNNNNNNNNNNNNNNNNNNNNNNNNNNNNNNNNNNNNNNNNNNNNNNNNNNNNNNNNNNNNNNNNNNNNNNNNNNNNNNNNNNNNNNNNNNNNNNNUGAAUUCAUGACAACAAGAAUUAUCCAACAUCGACUAGUUAUAAUAAGAAGAGGCGGUAUAAAAAUGUCAAUGCUAUAGAGAUGUGAAACAUCCAUGAAUGAAGAACGGCAAAAACUCCAACAUCGAAAACAUCAUGCAAGAUGCAUAUGGACUCCGUUUUCAAUGAAUUCAAGCUUGGCAUGAAGAUGACCAUAAGCUCUAAGACCAACAAUGAGAAAAGACAACCAAGAACCAAGAAAGAUUGAUGGGGUCAUAGUCCCAGGGUAGGGUCAUAGGCCUGCCCUAUAGGUCCUACCCAAGGACUACCCUUCUUAAGGGACAAGGCACUUAGUCAGUUUCGACUGAAUUAAGGACUUCCCAUCAUCCAGUCGGUAAUGAUUUCCCCAUCAUCCAGUCGGAGAUGAGCAUUCGGAGCGUAUCAAACUGCCGACUGGAUUCCACUAUGUAUAUCGUAACCUCCCUGGAGGGCAACGGUCGUACGUUUUCAUACACCAUUAUUAGCAUUUAAGGCAUACGUUACCUGUAACGUAGGCACUUAUUCGCCAUUACUCCACCCCUGCGCACCGGACCGUUGUGAAGGGUAGCGUACUCUAUAUAAGCCGCCCCUCCCCACUGGUGCAGGGGUUAGCAUUUUCACUGUAAUCCAUAUUUCACUGGACAUUAAGCUUCCAAGAGCACUGAGACAUAGGGCUUUUACCUCCACCGUAGAGGGGCCUGAACUCAUACAACCUCGCCAUAGCUAAGGCUCUGCCCAUCCUUUCGUACCCUACACAUCUACUGUCAGACUUAUACCCACGACAGUUGGCGCCCACCGUGGGGCAGGCGUCUAAGUGACUUCCGGCGAGUUUGUGACUACAUCUUUUCAUCAUGUCGUCCGGUGGAGAUUUGUGCAUGGGUCGUGAGAUCCUCUUCGGCGCACUCUCCUUCAUCGUCGACGAUUCGGCAUGGCUUCGGGAUGCGCCUCUCGACGUCGAGGCGUUCCCUAGUCGCGGGGCUACGCACUUCCGUGCUGGCGCCCGUGACAUCCUUCUUCUCCAGCAGUCGGCUCCGGUGUCGAUCUUCGCCCCCGUCACGCGCCGCAACAAGCGGUCUCGUCGUCCGUGGCUCCAGCGUCGGGUGCGACACGCCCAGGCGCGCCAGAACGCAUCCUCUCAAGUGGCGGUCCUCGAGUCGGUUGUGGUUGCGCCGCCGUCCCAGCGCUCGGACUCAGUUCUGACUGAGUUGCCUUCCGAGUACUUGGGUCGCGGGCCUGCAGCCGAAGUUCACAUGGCCAAUUCCCAUGAAAGUCCCCGCCAAACUGGUCGGAAUGAGCACGAGGUCGGCGAGUCAUCCGGCGCUUGCCGUCAGCCCCGCCGUUCUGCCAGUCGACACACUCGUCAGAGCAACGUGGAGGUGUUCCGCACACCCGUCCUCAACCUGGCUGCCGCCGCCAAGAUAGCCGAUUCCCUCCAGCCGACUGAUUCAGAGGCUGGCAGAGGGAUCGAGCAGAUCCGUGCCAUGUUGCACACGGCGCAGCAACAGAAUUCAGCGGUCUCCCAGUCGCACAACAGGAUCCACAAUAGUUUUGUUCACGCGAACAAGCAUCGUUCAGUUUUCAGCCCCGAUUCUCAUCAGCGACGCAGAGGAGGCAGCCGUUCCAUGAACCCCGAAGAUCAUCGCUGUUCACGCACCCCUCCGUGGGGUGGGCCCUACGGGCCCCUGUUGGGGAACGUCGCAUGGGAAACAAAAUUUUUCCUACGCGCAUGAAGACCUAUCAUGGUGAUGUCCAUCUACGAGAGGGAUGAGUGAUCUACGUACCCUUGUAGAUCGUACAGCAGAAGCGUUAGUGAACGCGGUUGAUGUAGUGGAACGUCCUCACGUCCCUCGAUCCGCCCCGCGAACAAUCCCGCGAUCAGUCCCACGAUCUAGUACCGAACGGACGGCACCUCCGCGUUCAGCACACGUACAGCUCGACGAUGAUCUCGGCCUUCUUGAUCCAGCAAGAGAGACGGAGAGGUAGAAGAGUUCUCCGGCAGCGUGAUGGCGCUCCGGAGGUUGGUGAUGACCUUGUCUUAGCAGGGCUCCGCCCGAGCUCCGCCCGAGCUCCGCAGAAACGCGAUCUAGAGGAAAAACCGUGGAGGUAUGUGGUCGGGCUGCCGUGGAAAAGUCGUCUCAAAUCAGCCCCAAUACCUCCGUAUAUAUAGGUGGGAGGGAGGGGACCUUGCCUUGGGGCUCAAGGAGCCCCAAGGGGGUCGGCCGAGUCCAAGGGGGGAAGGCUCCCCCCCCAAACCGAGUUGGACUUGGUUUGGUGGGUGGGAGUCCUUCCCUUCCUUCCCACCUCCCCUUUUUUUUCUUUCUCUUUGAUUUUUAUCUCUAUGGCGCAUAGGGCCCUUUUGGGCUGUCCCACCAGCCCACUAAGGGCUGGUGUGCCACCCUCAUGGCCUAUGGGCUUCCCCGGGGUGGGUUGCCCCCCCCGGUGAACUCCCAGAACCAAUUCGUCAUUCACGGUACAUUCCCGGUAACUCCGAAAAACUUUCCGGUAAUCAAAUGAGGUCAUCCUAUAUAUCAAUCUUCGUUUCCGNNNNNNNNNNNNNNNNNNNNNNNNNNNNNNNNNNNNNNNNNNNNNNNNNNNNNNNNNNNNNNNNNNNNNNNNNNNNNNNNNNNNNNNNNNNNNNNNNNNNACUGCAUACGUUACAGGUAACGUAUGUCUUAAAUGCUAAUAAAGGUACAUGGAAAUGUAUGACCGUUGCCCUCCAAGGGGGUUACGAUGUACAGAGUGGAAUCCAGUCGGUAAGUUUGAUACGAUCCGAAUGCUCAUCUCCGACUGGAUGAUGUAGGAAUCGUCAUCGACUGGAUGAUGGGAAGUCCUUAAUUCAGUCGGAACUGACUAAGGGCCUUAUCCCUUAUGAAGGGUAGUCCUUGGGUAGGACCCAUUGGGCAGGCCUAUGACCCUACCCUAGGACUAUAACCCCAUCAGCCUAGGAACAUAGUUUCCUAUAAAAGCAUUGUUGUUGCCAAAGUUAUUCCUACCAACAAAAUUAACGUCCAAGCUAGCGUUGCUACUCCCAAUCAAAGAAGACAAAGGCAUAUCAUUAGGAUCCAAAGGAGCACUUCUACUAGCAAGCAAAUUCAUUAACUCAUCCAUCUUAGCACUCAACGAGUUAAUUUCUUCUAUAGCGUGUACCUUCUUACUAGUAGGUGACCUUUGAGUGUUCCAUUGAGAGUAGUUUGUCAUGAUGUUGUCUAAGAGCUUUGUGGCUUCUCCUAACGUGAUUUCCAUGAACGUUCCACCUGAGGCGGAGUCCAAGAUAUUUCUAGAAGCGAAAUUCAAGCCAGCGUAAAAGAUUUGAAUAAUCAUCCAAAGGCUCAAGCCAUGAGCGGGACAAUUUCUAAUCAUUAAUUUCAUUCUCUCCCAAGCUUGUGCAACAUGCUCAUGAUCAUGUUGCUUGAAAUUCAUGAUAUCAUUACGGAGAGAGAUGAUCUUUGCCGGCGGAAAAUACUUGGAUAUAUAAGCAUCUUUGCACUUAUCCCAAGAAUCGAUACUAUUUUUGGGCAAAGAAGAAAACCAAGUUUUUGCACGAUCUCGCAACGAGAAAGGAAAAAAGCUUCAAUUUAAUCACGUCAUUAUCCACAUUUUUUUAUUUUGCAUAUCGCAAAGCUCAAUGAAGCUAUUGAGAUGGGAUGCGACAUCUUCACUAGGAAGGCCAGAGAAUUGCUCUUUCAUAACAAGAUUCAGCAAAGCGGCAUUGAUUUCGUAUGACUCCGCACUAGUGGCGGGAGCAAUCGGAGUACUAAUAAAAUCAUUAUUAUUAGUAUUUGAGAAGUUACAAAGUUUAGUGUUUUCGUUCAUGGUGAAUUCAGCAAGCAAGCAAGAACACAAGCAAACAAAAAGCGGGCGAGAAAAAGGGCGAACGAAAAGGCGAACGAAAAAGGCAAAUUGGUGAAGUGGGGGAGAGGAAAACGAGAGGCAAGUGACAAACAAAGUAAAUGCAUGAGAUGAGUUUGCGACACUUACUUGGAUGAGUUUUAGACUUGAUCUUCCACCCCGGCAACGGCGCCAGAAAUUCUUUUGCUGCGGCAACAAAAGUCCUUCCCUGGCGCGUAGGAAUUCUUCUUGUUACUUCUCUCGUUUGCGUCGGUUUUUCCCUUGAAGAGGAAAGGGUGAUGCAGCACAGGAGCAGUAAGUAUUUCCCUGAGUUUGAGAACCAAGGUAUUGAUACGUCUCAAACGUAUCUUAAUUUUUGAUGGUUUCACGCUGUUAUCUUGUCAACUUUGGAUGUUUUAUACACCUUUUAUAUCUUUUUUUGGGACUAACUUAUUAAUUCAGUGCCAAGUGCCAGUUCCUGUUUUUUUCUGUGUUUUUGACUCUUUUCAGAUCUGAUUUUGGAACAGAGUCCAAACGGAAUAAAAUCCCCGAAAUAAAUUUUUCCAGAACAGAAGAAGAUUGGGGGACUUGAGGGCCAAGGCAGGGGGCCCACAGGGAGCCCACAAGCCCUGUUGCCGUAGCCAGGGGGCCUGCUGCAACCAGGCUUGUGGCCUCCCUGACGCUCCCCUGCCCUAGCUCUUUGGCCUAUAAAUUCCCUAAAAUCCCAGAAGAAAUCAGGGCAUCCACGAAAACACUUUUCCGCCGCCGCAAGCUUCCGUUUCCGCGAGAUCUCAUCUGGAGACCCUUCCCGGUGCCCUGCCAGAGGGGACUUUGGAGUUGGAGGGCUUCUACAUCAACACCAUCGCCCCUCCAAUGACUCGUGAGUAGUCCACUUCAGACCUACGGGUCCGUAGUUAGUAUCUAGAUGGCUUCUCGUCUCUCUUGGAUCUUCAAUACAAAGUUCUCCAUGAUCUUCAUGGAGAUCUAUCCGAUGUAAUCCUCUUUGUCGGUGUGUUUGUCGAGAUCCGAUGAAUUGUGGAUUUGUGAUCAGAUUAUCUAUGAAUUAUAUUUGAGUCUUUGCUGAUUUCUUAUAUGCAUGAUUUGAUAUCCUUGUAAGUCUCUCCGAGUCUUGGGUUUUGUUUGGCCAACUAAAUCUAUGAUUCUUGCAAUGGGAGAAGUGCUUGGUUUUGGGUUCAUACCGUGCGGUGACCUUUCCCAGUGACAGAAGGGGCAACAAGGCACGCAUCAAGUUGUUGCCAUCAAGGGUAACAAGAUGGGCUUUUAUCAUAGAUUUGAGAUUGUCCAUCUAUAUCAUGUCAUCUUGCUUAAGGCGUUACUCUGUUCUUUUGACCUCAAUACACUAGAUGCAUGCUGGAUAGCGGUCGACGUGUGGAGUAANNNNNNNNNNNNNNNNNNNNNNNNNNNNNNNNNNNNNNNNNNNNNNNNNNNNNNNNNNNNNNNNNNNNNNNNNNNNNNNNNNNNNNNNNNNNNNNNNNNNCUGGAUCGAUACCUUGGUUCUCAAACUGAGGGAAAUACUUACCGCCGCUGUGCUACAUCACCCUUUCCUCUUCAAGGGAACACCAACGCAAGGCUCCAAGGCCCCGGGGAAAUCCUUUGCAUAUUUGCCAAGGAAAUCCCUAUAGGCGUAGCCCGUAGCAGAAGGAUUCCUGGCGCCAUUGCCAGGGAAGGUCUGUUGUCGCAGUAGCAGAAAGAUUUCUAGCGCCGUUGCCGGGGAGGAUCGCUUGCCGAGGAGUAUCAAGACAAGAAUAAUCUCACGUCAACACGCCUAUUUCUGGCGCCGUUGCCGGGGAGGCGAGAUGAAGUCAAGAUCUAUCCAAGUAGGUGUCACAAACUCAUCUCUUGCAUUUACCUUUUUUUGCCAGUCGCCUCUCGUUUUCCUCUCCCCCACUUCACAUUUACCGUUUUCAUUUGCCUUUCUCCCUUGCCGUUUUCAUUUGCCUUUUUGCCUUUCUCCUUUGUUGUUUUCUUUUGCCUUUUGCCGUUUUCCUUUGCCAGUUUUCUUGCUUGCUUCUGUUCUUGUUGGUUUGUUGAAGUCAUCAUGGUUGAAAACACCAAACUUUGCGACUUCUCGAGUACUAAUAAUAAUGAUUUUAUUAGUACUCCGAUUGCUCCUGCCACUAGUGCGGAAUCUUAUGAAAUCAAUGCUGCCUUGCUGAAUCUUGUUAUGAAAGAGCAAUUCUCUGGCCUUCCUAGUGAAGAUGUCGCAUCCCAUCUCAAUACCUUCAUUGAGCUUUGCGAUAUGCAAAAGAAAAGAGAUGUGGAUAAUGAUGUUGUUAAAUUGAAGCUCUUUCCUUUCUCGUUGCGAGAUCGUGCGAAAACUUGGUUUUCUUCUUUGCCUAAAAAUAGUAUCGAUUCUUGGGAUAAGUGCAAAGAUGCUUACAUAUCCAAGUAUUUUCCGCCGGCUAAGAUUAUCUCUCUCUAUAACGAUAUCAUGAAUUUUAAGCAACUUGAUCAUGAACACGUUGCACAAUCUUGGGAGAGGAUGAAGUUAAUGAUUAGAAAUUGUCCCGCUCAUGGCUUGAGUUUGUGGAUGAUUAUACAAAUCUUUUACGCUGGUUUGAAUUUUGCUUCUCGCAAUAUCUUGGACUCUGCCUCAGGUGGAACGUUCAUGGAAAUCACGUUAGGGGAAGCUACAAAACUCCUAGACAAUAUCAUGACCAACUACUCUCAGUGGCACACUGAAAGGUCACCUGCUAGCAAAAAGGUACAUGCUAUAGAAGAAAUUGACUCGCUUAGUGCUAAGAUGGACGAGUUGAUGAAUUUGGUUGCUAGUAGAAAUGCUCCUUUAGAUCCUAAUGACAUGCCACUAUCUUCCUUGAUUGAGAGUAGCAACGCUAGUUUGGACGUUAAUUUUGUUGGUAGGAACAAUUUUGGCAACAACAAUGCUUUUAGAGGAAACUAUGUUCCUAGGCCUUUUCCUAGUAACUCCUCUAACAAUUCUGGCAAUUCCUACAACAACACUUAUGGAAAUCACAACAAAUUACCCUCUGAUUUAGAGAGUAAUAUCAAAGAGUUCAUCAACUCUCAAAAGAUUUUCAACACGUCCAUAGAGGAAAACUACUCAAAAUAGACGAUUUGGCUAAGAGCGUUGAUAGGAUGUCUUGUGAUAUUGAUGCUUUCAAAGUUAAUGUGCUCCUCCCAAGGUCAACUUGGAUGAAACUUUAAAAGCUAAGCGUGUCUCCAUGAAUGAGAGCAAAGAAAGAACCGCCCAAAUUCGCGCUAGGCAUGAAUGGUUUAAAAGGGUGCGUUCUAGUGAUGCAAAUCACGAAGAUCUUAAAGUGCUUGGUGUGACCCCUCUUGAAUCUUUUUUUUCGCGUGUAAAACCUAUUGAUGAAGGGGCUGGAUAUGAAUUCACUUUGGUUGAAAAACGCCCCAAUGAUUCGGAGUCCACCUAUCUUGAUGAUAAAGGCGUGGAGACUGGAGUAGAAGAAAUCAAAAUAUUGGGUAGUAAUGAAACUCCCACUUUGGAUUUCAAGGAAUUCAAUUAUGAUAGUUGCUCCUUGUUUGAAUGCAUUUCCUUGAUGCAAUCCAUUGCAAACUCUCCACAUGCUUAUAGCCAAAGCAAAGCCUUUACCGCACAUAUCGUAGAUGCUAUGAUGAAAUCUCUUGAAGAGAAACUCGAAUUAUAAGUCUCUAUACCUAGAAAACUUCAUGAUGAGUGGGAACCUACUAUCAAAAUAAAAAUCAAAAACUAUGAAUGCAAUGUUUUGUGUGAUUUGGGUGCUAGUGUUUCCGCGAUCCCAAAGUCUUUAUGUGAUAUUCUUGGUUUUCAUGAGAUUGAAGAGUGUUCUCUUAAUUUGCAUCUUGCGGAUUCUACUGUCAAGAAACCCAUGGGAAGGAUCAAUGAUGUUCUUAUUGUUGCAAAUAAGAACUAUGUACCCGUGGAUUUCAUUGUACUUGACAUAGAUUGCAAUCCUUCAUGUCCCAUUAUUCUUGGUAGACCUUUCCUAAGGACUAUUGGUGCUAUCAUCGAUAUGAAGGAAGGGAAUAUUAGAUUUCAAUUUCGUCUAAAGAAGGGCAUGGAGCAUUUUCCUAGAAAGAAAAUAAGAUUGCCUUAUGAAUCUAUGAUGAGGGCUACUUAUGGUUUGAGCACCAAAGAUGACUAUACGUGAUUCCAUCACCUUAUGCCUAGCUAAGGGCGUUAAACAAUAGCGCUUGUUGGGAGGCAACACAACGAAUCUAUCCUUUUUAUUUCUGUUUUUUGUUUUCUACACUUUCAUAAUUCUGUUACGAUUGUGUUUUUUGUGUUUCUUUUGUGUUUGUGCCAAGUAAAACCGUUAUGAUAAGUCUUGGGGAUGAUCGUUUGGUCAUGCUGGAAAAGACAGAAACUUUAUGCUCACGAAAAGAAUUUUCAUUUUUUUCUGUAAGAGCUUUUGAGCUGAUUCUUUUUUCUGCUGAUUUCUACGCAAAUUCUUCAUACUGUCGUAAUUUUUCAGAAUUUUUGAAGUACCAGAAGUAUACGAAGUAUACAGAUUUCUACAGGCUGGUCUGCUGUUAACAGAUUUUGUUUUUGUUGAGUUGGUUGCUUAUUUUGAUGAAACUAUGGAUAGUAUCGGGGGGUAUUAGCCAGGGAAGAUUGAAAAUACAGUAAUCCAACAUCAACAUAAGUAGAAUUUAAGUUUGCUAGAGUACCUAAGGAAGUGGUGGUUUGCUUUCUUAUACUAAUGUUAUCACGAGUUUCUGUUUAAGUUUCGUGUUGUGAAGUUUUCAAGUUUUGGGUGAAGUUCUUAUGGACAAAAAGAUAAAGAGUGGCAAGAGCUCAAGCUUGGGGAUGCCCAAGGCACCCCAAGUUGAUUCAAGUAUGCUGAAAAAGCCUAAGCUUGGGGAUGCCCCGGGAAGGCAUCCCCUCUUUUGUCUUCAAUCCAUCGGUAACGUUACUUGGGGCUAUAUUUUUAUUCACCACAUGUUAUGUGUUUUGCUUGGAGCAUCUUGUAUCGUAGGAGUCUUUUAUUUUUGUUGUGUCACAAACUUUCUUGCUGCACACCUAGAGAGAGAGACAUGCACUCACCGUGAUUUUGUCGAGCUUCACUUAUAUCCUUUGGUUAGACAAUUCAACUCACAUGUGCUUCACUUAUAUCUUUUGAGCUAGUUGAUUUUACUCUAUGUGCUUCACUUAUAUCUUUUAGAGCACGGAAGCGCGUGGCUUGGUAGUUGAUCUAUGCUAUGAAAGUAGUCUCAAAAGGGGUAGUUAUCCAAAGGGAUAUGAAAACUUCCACCUUCAUGUGCAUUGAAUAGUUAGAGAAGUUUGAUUCAUCUCAAUUAGUUUUGACUUGUGGUUGUGGUAAUAUUGAAGUUAUACUAGUAAGGUGUUGUGGAUCUAGAAAUACUUGUGUUGAAGUUAGUGAUUCCCGUAGCAUGCACGUAUGGUGAACCGCUAUGUGAUGAAGUCUGAGCAUGAUUAGUCUAUUGAUUGUCAUCCUUUGUGUGGCGGUCGGGGUCGCGCGAUGGUUUAUACCUACCAACCCUUCCCCUAGGAGUAUGCGUUGAAUGCUUUGUUUCGAUUACUACUAAAACUUUUGCAACAAGUAUAUGAGUUCUUCAUGACUAAUGUUGAGUCCAUGGUUUAGAUGCACUUUCACCUUCCACCAUCACUAUCUUCUUUAGUGUCGUGCAACUUUCGCCGGUGCACAAAACCCACCAUUAGCCUCCCUCAAAACAGCCACCAUACCUACCUCCUAUGGCUUCUUCAAAGCCAUUCUGAGAUAUAUUGCCAUGCAACUACCACCAUGACAUGUGCCACCACUUCUACAUUGCCAUUGCAUGAUCAUAAUAUAGCUAGCAUGAUGUUUCCAUUGAUGUCUAUGCCAUGCUAGAUCAUUGUCACGGUACACUACCGAAGGCAUUUCAUAUAGACUCAUCAUUGCUCUAAGUUUUGAGUUGUAAGUGUGAUGAUCAUCUUUGAUGGAGCAUUGUCCCAUGUGAGGAAAUAAAAGAGGCCAAAGAUGCCCACCAAAAUAAAAUAUAAAAAAAUAGGCCAAAGAGCCCACCAAAAAAAAUUGAGAGAAAAAGAGAGAAGGGACAAUGCUACUAUGUUUCCACACUUGUGCUUAUUAAGCACCAUGAUCUUCAUGAUUGAGAGUCUCUCGUUUUCUCACCACCAUAUAGCUAGUGGGAAAUUUUCAUUAUAUAACUUGGCUUGUAUAUUCCAAUGAUAGGCUUCCUCAAAUUUGCCUUAGGUCUUCGUGAGCAAGCAAGUUGGAUGCACACCCACUAGUUUUCUUUAAGAGCUUUCACAUACUCUUAGCUCUAGUGCAUCAUUUGUAUGGCAAUCCCUACUCAUUCACGUUGAUAUCUAUUGAUGAGCAUCUCCACAGCUCAUUGAUAUGCCUAGUCAAUGUGACCAUCUUCUCCUUGUUUGUCUUGCAACCUCCACCACACUCCACUCCACUUAUAGUGCUAAAACCAUGGCUCACGCUCAUGUAUUGCGUGAGAGUUGAAAAGGUUUGAGAAAGUAAAGGUGUGAAAACAAUUACUUGGCCAAUACCGAGGUUGUGCAUGAUUCAAAUUCAUUGUGCAAGGAUGAUAGAGCAUAGCCAGACUAUAUGAUUUUGUAGGGAUAACUUUCUUUUGGCCUUGUUAUUUUGAAAGUUCAUAUUACCUUGCUAGUUUGCUUGAAGUAUUAUUGUCUCCACAUCAAUAGCAAACUAUUGUUUUGAAUCUAAUGGAUCUGAACAUUCAUGUCACAUAAGAGGAGUUACAAAGGACAUCUAUGCUAGGUAGCAUGAAAGCAUCAAAAAUUCAUUCUUUAUCACUUCCCUACUCGAGGACGAGCAGGAGUUAAGCUUGGGGAUGCUUGAUACGUCUCAAACGUAUCUAUAAUUUUUGAUGGUUUCACGUUGUUAUCUUGUCAACUUUGGAUGUUUUAUACACCUUUUAUAUCUUUUUUUGGGACUAACUUAUUAAUUCAGUGCCAAGUGCCAGUUCCUGUUUCUUUCUGUGUUUUUGACUCUUUUCAGAUCUAAUUUUGGAACGGAGUCCAAACGAAAUAAAAUCCCCGAAAUAAAUUUUUCCAGAACAGAAGAAGAUCGGGGGACUUGAGGGCCAAGGCAGGGGGCCCACAGGGAGCCCACAAGCCCUGUCGCCGCGGCCAGGGGGGCGGCCACCAGGCUUGUGGAAUUUUUGAUGGUUUCACGUUGUUAUCUUGUCAACUUUGGAUGUUUUAUACACCUUUUAUAUCUUUUUUUGGGACUAACUUAUUAAUUCAGUGCCAAGUGCCAGUUCCUGUUUCUUUCUGUGUUUUUGACUCUUUUCAGAUCUAAUUUUGGAACGGAGUCCAAACGAAAUAAAAUCCCCGAAAUAAAUUUUUCCAGAACAGAAGAAGAUCGGGGGACUUGAGGGCCAAGGCAGGGGGCCCACAGGGAGCCCACAAGCCCUGUUGCCGCAGCCAUGGGGGCCUGCGGCAACCAGGCUUGUGGCCUCCUUGGCGCUCCCUUGCCCUAGCUCUUUGGCCUAUAAAUUCCCUAAAAUCUCAGAAAAAAUCAGGGCAUCCACGAAAACACUUUUCUGCCGCCGCAAGCUUCCGUUUCCGCGAGAUCUCAUCUGGAGACCCUUCCCGGUGCCCUGCCAGAGGGGACUUUGGAGUUGGAGGGCUUCUACAUCAACACCAUCGCCCCUCCAAUGACUCGUGAGUAGUCCACUUCAGACCUAUGGGUCCGUAGUUAGUAGCUAGAUGGCUUCUCCUCUCUCUUGGAUCUUCAAUACAAAGUUCUCCGUGAUCUUCAUGGAGAUCUAUCCGAUGUAAUCUUCUUUGUCGGUGUGUUUGUCGAGAUCCGAUGAAUUGUGGAUUUGUGAUCAGAUUAUCUAUGAAUUAUAUUUGAGUCUUUGCUGAUUUCUUAUAUGCAUGAUUUUAUAUCCUUGUAAGUCUCUCUGAGUCUUGGGUUUUGUUUGGCCAACUAGAUCUAUGAUUCUUGCAAUGGGAGAAGUGCUUGGUUUUGGGUUCAUACCGUGCGGUGACCUUUCCCAGUGACAGAAGGGGCAGCAAGGCAUGCAUCAUGUUGUUGCCAUCAAGGGUAACAAGAUGGGCUUUUAUCAUAUAUUUGAGAUUGUCCAUCUAUAUCGUGUCAUCUUGCUUAAGGCGUUAAUCUGUUCUUUUGAACUCAAUACACUAGAUGCAUGCUGGAUAGCGGUCGACGUGUGGAGUAANNNNNNNNNNNNNNNNNNNNNNNNNNNNNNNNNNNNNNNNNNNNNNNNNNNNNNNNNNNNNNNNNNNNNNNNNNNNNNNNNNNNNNNNNNNNNNNNNNNNCCUGAACUCAUACAACCUCGCCGUAGCUAAGGCUCUGCCCAUCCUUUUGUACCCUACACAUCUACUGUCACACUUAUACCCACGACAGUUGGCGCCCACCUUGGGGCAGGCGUCUAAGCGACUUCCAGCGAGUUUGCCACUACAUCUUUUCAUCAUGUCAUCCGGUGGAGAUUUGAGCAUGGGUCACGAGAUCCUCUUUGGCGCUCUCUCCUUCAUCGUCGACGAUUCGGCAUGGCUUUGGGACGCCCCUCUCGACGUCGAGGCGCUCCCCAGUCGCGGGGCUACGCACUUCCGUGCCGGCGCCCGCAGUAUCCUUAUUCUCCAGCAGUCGGCUCCGGUGUCGACCUAUGCCGCCGUCGCACGCCUCAAUAAGCGGUCCCGCCGUCCGUGGCUCUAGCGUUGGGUGCAACACGCCCAGGCGCGCCAGCACGCGUCCUCACAAGUGGCGGUCCUAGAGUCGGUUGUAGUGGCGCCUCCGUCCCAGCGCUCGGACUCAGUUCCGACUGAGUUUCCUUCCGAGUACUUGGGUCGUGGACCUGCAGCUGAAGUUCACAUGGCCAACUCCCAUGAAAGUCCUCGUCAGACCGGCCGGAACGAGCAGGAGGUCGGCGAAACAUCCGGCGCUCGCCGUCAGCCCCGCCGUUCUGCCAGUCGGCACACUCGGCGGAGCAACGUGGAGGUGUUCCGCACACCCGUCCUCAACCUGGUGCCGCCGCCAAGAUAGCCGAUUCCCUCGAGCCGACUGAUUCAGAGGCUGGUAGAGGGAUCGAGCAAAUCCGUGCCCUGCUGCACACGGCACAACAGCAAAAUUCGGCGGUCUCCCAGUCGCAUAACAGGAUCCACAAUAGUUCUGUUCACGCGAACACGCAUCGGUCAGUUCACAGCCCCGGUUCUCAUCAGCGACACAGGGGGGCAGCCGUUCCAUGAAUCCCGAAGAUCGUCGCCGUUCACGCACCCCUCCGCGGGGUGGGCCCUAUGGGCCCCGACAUCAUGAUGACCGGCGUUCAGUCGGUGACACUUAUGUUCCAAGGCCCGACGCGAGGGGCAUAUCGCCCAGAGGAGGGUCGACAGGGGCCGGGCCCACCGCGAUGGCCACGAUGUGGACCGUCCGAGUGGAAGCAGGACCAUCGUCUCUGGUCCCGAGUGUUUCAGUCGAGCCAUCCGUUCGGCUGACAUCCCUCCCAACUUCCGAUUGGCGACGGGGAUCAACAAGUUUACAGGAGAAUCCAAGCCAGAAACGUGGCUGGACGACUACCGAGUGGCAGUACAGAUCGGAGGAGGGGACGACCACGUCGCCAUGAAACACCUCCCUCUGAUGCUCGACGGCUCGGCACGAGCGUGGCUGAAUCAGUUGGCUCCCUCAAGCAUCUACAGCUGGGCAAAUCUGGCCCGAGUCUUCAUCAGGACCUUCGAAGGGAUGUGCAAAUGCCCUGCUGGUCUCGUGGAGCUCCAGCACUAUGUCCAGAAGCAGAAUGAGCCCCUGCGCGAUUUUAUUCAGCGUUGGACGACCCUUUACCACACGGUGGAGAACGUUACAGAGCACCAAGCAGUCUGCGCCUUCAAGGCAGGCGUGCGGUACAGAGAUUUGUACUUGAAGUUCGGUCGAACAGGCGACAUCUCCAUGAGUAAGAUGAUGGAGAUAGCGGCACGCUAUGCGAAUGGCGAAGAAGAGGACCGCAUUCGUAGCGGCAAGCACACAGCAGUCGCCGAUGGAGAUGGGAACAGCACUCGGAAGCAGAAGCAGAAAGCUCCAUCUACUCCACAGGCAGAGGCCGCAGCCGUUACCAAUGCCAAAUUCAAGGGCAAGGGGAAGGCUCAGUUCACCCCCAAGAAGAAGCAGUUCGGAAACCACAUCCUGGACCAGCCAUGUCCAAUUGACACGAAGAUGGAUGAAGAGGGCAACGCCAUAUUUCCGAAGCAUACCACUCGGCAAUGUCGCCUCCUGAUCCAGGGGUUCGGCGAAGGGCAGUCGAGUGAAAAGGACAAUGAACAGGAUGAGGAGGACAAGGAGGAUCCGUUCCCCCAAGUCCAUGCAACACUGAUGAUUUUUGCUAACGCUGAGAGCAAGAGUCGACUGAAGCUGGUGAACAGGGAGGUGAACAUGGCCACGCCGACCAACCCCACGUUCCUCAAAUGGUCUCAGACUGUGAUCUCCUUUGACCAGUCGGAUCAUCCAGCGCACGUACCUACCCCAGGGAGACAGGCUCUGGUCGUCGACCCGAUGGUGGAAGGAGUCCGACUGCGCAAAGUCCUCAUGGACGGCGGCAGUUGCUUGAACAUCAUGUACGCUCACACUCUGAAGGGGAUGGGCAUUCCGAUGUCCAAACUUAGCGAGAGCAGCAUGCAGUUCCAUGGAGUCGUCCCUGGACGAAAGGCCAAGUCACUCGGCCAGAUCGCGUUGGACGUCGUCUUCGGCUCCGACAAGAACUUCUGUAAGGAAAAGCUAACGUUCGAGGUGGUGGACUUCCAGAGUGCGUACCACGCAAUUCUGGGCCGCCUGGCGUAUGCGCGUUUCAUGGCCCGUCCAUGUUACGUGUACCUGAAGCUGAAGAUGCCAGGCCCAAAAGGUGUGAUCACUAUCACCGGCAAUCGGCAGUGGGCCGAGGAGUGUCUGCAGCAGGGAUCGAGGAUUGCCGAUCAGCAGAUGGCUGUCCUCGAGCUUGACGAGUACAAGAAAACAGUCGACCCCGCUGACUUGAUGCGUUCGAAUAAGCCAGCUUCGGAGUCCGCAUUCCAGUCGGCGGGAGAGACGAAGAAGGUCAGCAUCCACCCGACGGACGACACCGCUGCCUCGACGAACAUCUCCACCACCCUCGACCCUAAAUAGGAAGCCGAGCUCAUCCAAUUCCUCCGUGAGAACUGGGACAUCUUCGCAUGGAAGCCCGCUGACAUGCCAGGUGUACCCAGGGAGUUGGCUGAGCACCGACUGCAUGUGGAUCCCGCCGCUCGGCCUGUCCGAGAACUCCUGCGUCGGUCCGCCGCGCACAAGAGGAAGGCAAUCGGAGAAGAGGUGGCUAAGCUUUUGGCAGCCAACUUCAUUCGCGAGGUACACCACUCCGAGUGGCUCGCCAAUGUUGUCAUGGUGCCCAAGAAAGACAAGUCGCUCCGAAUGUGCAUCGACUUCAAGCAUCUCAAUAAGGUCUGCCCAAAAGACCAUUUUCCGCUCCCACGCAUCGAUCAAAUUGUCGAUUCGACUGUGGGUUGCGAGCGCUUGUCAUUCCUUGAUGCCUACUCGGGCUAUCAUCAGAUCCGUCUGUAUGGCCCCGAUGAAUAAAAAAACAGCCUUCAUCACCCCAGUCGGGUGCUUCUGCUACAUCACUAUGCCAUUUGGUUUGAAGAAUGCAGGAGCAACCUGUAUGCGCAUGAUCCAAAAAUGCCUCCUCGACCAGAUCGGUCGGAAUGUGGAGGCGUAUAUGGAUGAUAUUGUAGUCAAGUCACGCAAAGGUUCCGACCUGCUGACUGACUUGGCAGAAACAUUCGCCAACCUUCGUAGGUACGAUAUCAAGCUCAACCCAGCCAAGUGUUCAAUCGGCGUUCCCAGCGGAAAGUUACUCGGUUUCUUCGUUUCCGAACGAGGGAUCGAUGUCAACCCCGAAAAGAUCGGGACCAUCGUCCGAAUGGAGCGGCCGGUCAGAAUACACGAUGUUCAAAGACUCACAGGUUGCCUAGCGGCUUUGAGCAGGUUUAUCAGUCGACUCGGCGAGAAGGCACUUCCUCUGUACCGACUUAUGAAGAAAUCAGAUACUUUCGAGUGGACAGACGAAGCCCAAAUCGCAUUCGACGACCUCAAAGUCCUACUUUCCACCCAGCCGGUUCUUACUGCUCCGCUCAGUAAAGAACCCCUUCUUCUUUACAUCGCGGCUACAAAUCAAGUCGUCAGCACUGUUCUCACAGUCGAAUGGGAAGAAGAAGGCAAAGCAUACAAGGUUCAGCGGCCAGUGUAUUAUGUCUCCGAAGUCCUGACUCCUUCCAAGCAGAGGUAUCCCCAUUAUCAAAAACUUAUCUACGGGAUUUACAUGACUGCGAAGAAGGUGGCUCAUUAUUUUCAAGACCACUCGGUGUCCGUCGUUUUUGAUGCUCCGUUGUCGGAAAUCCUACACAAUCCGAACGCAUCGGGCCGAGUGGCGAAGUGGGCAAUGGAGAUGUUAUACUGCGACAUCAAGUUCGAGGCCAAGAAAGCUAUAAAGUCUCAAGCUCUGGCUGACUUCAUAGCAGAAUGGGUAGAACAAUAGCAACCGACCCACAUCUACUCGGCUCAUUGGACAAUGUUCUUCGAUGGGUCCAAGAUGUUGAAUGGCUCCGGCGCUCGCGUUGUGAUCAUAUCGCCAAAGGGUGACAAACUCAAGUAUGUGUUGCAGAUACACUUUGAUUCCUCCAACAAGGAGGCAGAGUAUGAAGGAGUGGGACGUCGAGAACCCCACCAUGACCACAUACUGCAAUGCAGUGAGGAAGCUCGAGAAAAAGUUUGAAGGUCUGGAACUUCACCAUGUUUCGCGACUGAAAAACCAAGCAGCUGAUGAGUUGGCAAAACUCGGAUCCACUCGGAGACCACUCCCGAGUGACGUCUGCCUCGAGCACCUCCACCUUCCUUCAGUUAAAGAAGAUCCUUUCACAGAGGAACCAGUACAACCAAGGAGCUCGACAGAUCCGACUGAAGUCGAAGUCCCUGCUGCGGUUGAUUUGAUCAUGGAGAUUCUUGCUAUCAUCCCCGAUUGGACCGUGCCGUUUAUUGCAUACAUUCUGAGGCAAGAAUUACCAGAAGACGAAGUCCAAGCCAGACAGAUCGUCCGCAGGUCAAAGUCGUUCACUGUCAUUGAUGGCCAGUUGUACAAAGAAAGCGUUUCAGGCGUCCUUCAACGAUGCAUCUCCCCUGAGGAGGGACAGUUAAUCCUGGAAGAAAUUCACUCGGAAACCUGCGGUCAUCACGCCUCCUCAAGGUCAAUCGUCGCCAAAGCAUUCAUAGCUGGCUUCUUCUGGCUGCAGGCGAAUCAAAUGGCGAAAGAUAUGGUCGACCGAUGUGAAGGCUGUCAGUUCUACUCUAACAAGUCCCACAAACUGACAUCUGCAUUGAAGACAAUCCCUCUUGUUUGGCCGUUUGCAGUAUGGGGAUUAGAUACAGUCGGUCCAUUCAGGACAGGCCAAGGGGUAAUCACACAUCUGUUGGUGGCAGUCGACAAGUUCACAAAGUGGACUGAAGCCAAGCCCAUCAAGAAGCUCGACGCCCUUACGGCCAUCAAGUUUGUCAGGGACAUCAUCUCCAGAUUCGGGGUACCUCACAACAUAAUCACUGACAAUGGAACAAACUUUGACUCGGACAGAUUCAAAGGUUUCUGUACAGGCCAAGGUAUCCGAGUGGAUUUUGCAUCAGUGGUGCAUCCCCAAACAAACGGGCAAGCAGAGAGGGCGAAUGGACUUAUGCUGCAAGGUUUGAAGCCUCGACUCCUGCGAGAAGUGGGACAUGCCGCCGGCGCAUGGGUCACCGAGCUGCCUUCGGUACUUUGGGGUCUCCGCACAACCCCAAAUAGAUCUACAGGGCAAUCCCCAUUCUUCCUCGUUUACGGAGCAGAGGCAGUCCUUCCGAGUGACUUGCUUCACAACGCUCCACGAGUUGAACUCUUCUCCAAAGCUGAAGCAGAGCAAGCAAGGCAAGACGGAGUGGAUCUUCUAGAGGAGGAGCGUGAGAUGGCACUGACUCGCUCAACCAUUUAUCAACAAGAUCUGCGGCGCUUUCACGCUCGACACGUCAGGAGUCGUACAUUCCAAGCAGGCGACCUGGUGUUCCGAGUGGAUCAGCAGAGACCUCACAAGUUGGCUCCCGCCUGGGAAGGAUCCUUCAUCAUCUCCAAGGUGCUGAACAACGGAGCAUAUCGAAUCUACAACCUCGACAGGGAAACGGACGAGCCGCGAGCAUGGAACGGAGAUCUCCUGAAGCGCUUCUACACGUGACAGUCGACGGAAGCAAUGUAAAGAGCAAGUAUCGUUGAAGUAAUACAAGGCAGAUUGAGUUUUUGCAGAUUCAAAAUUCUUCCGCGUUCGCAGACUCCGGUCUAAAAAAAAACUUAGCUGCGAACCAGAAUCGCCUAAGUAUAAACUUUCUCCGAGUGUGCACUAAACGUCGCACUCGGGGACUUAGCUGCGAUCCAGAAACGCCUAAGUAAUAACUUUCUCCGAGUGUGCACUAAACGUCGCACUCGGGGACUUAGCUGCGAUCCAGAAACGCCUAAGUAAUAACUUUCUCCGAGUGUGCACUAAACGUCGCACUCGGGGACUUAGCUGCGAUCCAGAAUCGCCUAAGUAUUAACUUUCUCCGAGUGUGCACUAAACGUCGCACUCGGGGACUUGUCUGCGACCAAGAAUCGCCUAAGUAGAAAGCUUCCUUCGAGUGUAUCUUACAGAUCCACUCGGAGGCUUAGCAGACCCUCAUCGAGGCUCAUGUAGAUGUCAAGACAACUGACAAUUACAUGAGUAGCACGAACCUCAUUGAGGCUCAUGUAGAUGUCAAGACAACUGACAAUUACAUGAGUACCAGAACCUCAUUGAGGCUCAUGUAGAUGUCAAGACAACUGAGAAUUAAAUGAGUAAGAACUCGCUCCGAGUACGACCUUACAGUCGCACUCGAAGACUUAGCCGCGAUCACGAAUCGCCUAAGUACACAAUUGCCUUCGAGUGUAUCCUACAGAUCCACUCGGAGACUCAGCAGACCCUCAGUGAGGCUCAUGCAGAUGUCAAGACAACUAACAAUUACAUGAGUAACAACUCGCUCCAAGUACGACCUUACAGUCGCACUCGAAGACUUAGCCGCGAUCACGAAUCGCCUAAGUACACAAUUGCCUUCGAGUGUAUCCUACAGAUCCACUCGGAGACUCAGCAGACCCUCGGUGAGGCUCAUGCAGAUGUCAAGACAACUGACAAUUACAUGCUCCGCAUGUUUGUUAUUGGCUUCACCAAGAAACGCCAAACAAAAACCACGAGCCAAAAUCGUGUCAACAACUCUUUGGCAAAGGAUGAGCAAAAGAUUCGAUUCAAAUUCAAAGUUGGUUUAAAGAUAGUCGGUUCGGUGUAGAUCAAGCUUAUCCACACCGAACCACGAAUGUGACGGCCAACAGCAGUGGCCAAAGUUUGAUACAAGUAACACUCGGCAUACCGAGGUAAAAGUUUUCUCAAGCGUCGUCAGGACUCGCACUGGGACUGGCAGGCUCCACGAAAGUGUCGAGGUCGAUCCCGUCCACGAUACGAGUGGCGCUCUCAAGGAAGGUCUCCAUGAAAUCUUCGAAUCGAAGCUUCUUGGUGUUUGCGACCUGCAGCGCCUUUAGCUUCUCCUCGCGAGCCUCUUUGCAGUGCACUCGGACCAGCGACAACGCCACGUCCGCACCAUAGCGAGCAGCAGACUUCUUCCAUGCCUGCACUCGAUUUGGGACGUCCUCCAGCCGAGUCAUCAACCCUUCCAUUUCCUGCCGGGACUCGUCUUCGGGCCACAACUCCUUGUCGAUUCGGCCGACGACUUCUCUCAGUCGACUGAUGAAAGGUCCCACUUUGCCCAGGCGAAUGUGCGCUCGGAGCAUGUCUCGAUUGGCGUCCUCGCCGAGUGGAACGUUCGGAAUAACCGACCGCUCAACGUCAGCUGCUUCAGCCUCAGCGUCCAUACAAAAAUCUGCAAAGACAAGACGAGAAGAAAGUAAGCGCAGAAUGAAAUACACAGUCAAGAAGCACUCGGAAAAACAGAACUUACCACCGAGAAGCGCAAUCAUCUUCCUUGCCCAGUCACUGACGUACUUCUCCUGUGAUAUGCACCGCCUGUUCAUCCCCUUCAUCUGCCCCAUCAGCUCGGUUCUUUGUUUCCCCAUUUUCUCCAUUUCGGCCACCAAUGCCUUGUUUGCCUCACGGGACUCCUCCAAGGACUUCUCUCGUUCAGCCAGAACACCCUUUAGACCAGCCAAGGCAAGCAUUGUUGCAUCCAGUUCCGCAGCAAACUGAAUCUUUUCAGCCUUCACAGUGUUGUACGCAGAUCCCAUCUCGCAAGUCUUCUACAAGUCAGCGCGAAGAGACGACCAGACAAAUUCAGCAAGGAAAACAAUAAAAACUUGAAGUUCUUCAGACCCCUGCCGACGGAAGCAGUCGACAGCGGUCUCGAGGACUACACCCAGUGGGUUCACUAAGAGUGACCCCACUGGCAUGAAGCUCAAACAGGUCCGCCCUAUUGAGAUACAUAACAAAAACAAGCCUAUGAGGCUACUACUACCCGACCUGAGUAAAAUUACUCUCGGGGACUAAUCCAGUAGGUGCACUCGGAGUCCCCCCACCGGUAACAUUCGAACAGAUUAGUUUUGAUCAGAUCAACUUAAAGAAAAUGUAUAUAAAGACAACUGCCGGUGCAAGCACUCGACAGAAGUCUCGGGGACUACACCCACUAGGUUCACUAAGAGUGAACCCACUGCAAAAUAAUCAUCCUGCAUCCGAGUAUAUUGCUUAAACACCCACUGGGUUACAAGGGGAAAGCAAAUACUUACUAGCCCACUUACUCGGAUAUCGUCCCGGAGUUCCAAGCUUCGCUUGUAUACAGACGCGAUGGAGUCGUACGCUCUCUUGGCAUCACCCGCCAUCAACUCCGCCUGCACCAUGGCCCCCUUGGCAGCUCCCACCUGAUCUUCCGGAAGGCGCUGGGCGUCGAACUGGACGGUCGACGAACCUGGCACCACAAGAGACUCCUUGGGCAUCCCAAGUCCUGCUCCAGUCGGUUCAGCAGCGAUGAGCNNNNNNNNNNNNNNNNNNCAACGAUGAGCGCCGUGUCAGUCGACGGCAUCGUCUCGGUUGGCGGCGCGUCCAUGGCGGGAGUAGUAACAGACGGAACAGCCUCAAGGACAGGCGCCGCAGCUUGCUCGGACCUCUUCUGAUCGUCCUCCUCCACAUGGAUCACCUCUGAAGGAAGCCCGACCAAACGACGUGAGACCACAGGAAAAAGGACAAGACCAAAGACAGAAUUCGUGAAACAAUAAUGUAAGCUCACGGAGUCACCACGACGUACCUUGCUGGGAUGUGACAACGUUGUCCGUAUCCAUGGGAUCGUCCCCCUGGCGUGGCAGAGAAGUGGUAGAGGUGGCAGCUCUAUCGAGUAAAAUUCACUCGACCAAUAAGCAUGAGUUCAAUCAAAUACUGGAAGAAGAUAGAAGAACAAUACACUUACGCUAAGGCGACGGGAACGGCGAUCCUCAUCCGCGGCAAAGCCUUCCGAGGCUUGGAUCCACUCGGUUUGGCCACCUUAGAGGGCUGGCCCGCGGGCUCAGCAGCAGAGUCCCUGGUCCUCUUUGUGCUCCGAGCACUCGGAACCACGGGAGAAGCUGGCAAGGCACUCGGAACCGCAGGAGGAGCUGGCGGGGCACUCGAGGCCGCUGGAGGAGCCGACGGAGCCACGGGUUCGUGGCGGCGUUUAGUUCGAGGCUCUGGUGGUGGGGGUGGCGAGUUCUGUUCCUCAUCUUCCCCCUCUUCUUCUUCGGACUCCUCCUCCGUCUCCCCACUGCCGGAGACGUACUCGACGCUCUCCACGCUACCCUCCUGGCUGCCUUCCUCUUCCUCAGCCGGAUUCCCGUUCGAGACGGGAGAAAACCAGUUGGUCCACGCCUGCACGAGAUACAGUCGACAACAUCAGACGUCAGACAGUGAUACAAGAAAAAGCGAUAAAUCUAAGACAAUUGUGUGCACUCGACAAGUUAUACUCACCUCAUUCGGAGGAGGGUUGUCCGCGCGGAAGGGCUUCACUCGUCGGGCUCCUCUGGGGUUGUCGCAGGCGCCUGUGAUGUUGCGGACCCACGACGUCACAAGCUCCCCGGUCACGCACUCGGGGUUAGUCCGAGUGGAGUCCUCAGGCCCCGCGUAGUGCCACAUGGCAUGGUGUUGAGCUUGCAAAGGCUGGAUACGCCGACCCAGAAAAAUCUCCAGCAAAUCUAUGCCAGUGACUCCCUUUCGGACGACCUCUACUAGUGCAUCGACCAGAGGCUGGAUCUGGAUCUUCUCCAUCUUUGUGAGCGCAAGUUGCCUAGGCGGAGCCGGACGGUCUAGGCUAAAAGGUGGCAGUCCAGUUGCGCCAUUCGGACAUGCAACAUCCUGGCAGUAGAACCAAGUCGACUGCCAGUUCCUAACUGAAGAGCGGGAUAGCUACUUUUACUUUUCUUUUGGAAGCCUAAGCCUCCGCAGAGCUGGAGGAGGUGAGUUUUGUCGUCCGACUGGCUAAGUCUUUUGAUGGUUUGAGAUCUAGCAGAGAAGAUGUGCUUGAAGAGCCCCCAAUGGGGAGGACAGCCGAUAAAACACUCACACAGCACGACGAAGGCAGAGAGAUGAGCUAUUGCGUUGGGAGGAAAAUGGUGGAGCUGCGCCCCGAAGUGGUUCAUUAUACCUCUGAAGAAGGGAUGAGGAGGCAGAGAGAAGCCUCGGUACACGUGACUGAGCAGCAGGACGCGCUCCCCCUCCUGGGGCGCCGGCUCCGUCUGGCCCUCCGUCGGCAGCCUCCAUGUCUUGUGCUCGAUCAUGCCUUGCUCCACCAGCUCCAGCAUGUCCUCCUUCGUCACCGUGGAGGGGAGGAAAUCCCCCUGGAUCCAACCCGCCGGCAGUGCUCGCUGCCGCCGCUGAGCAGGAGCCGCCUUCUUCUUCUUCUUCCGUGCCUCGAGCUUGCUCGUCUGCCCCUUCGUCAUGGUGGAGGCUGUAGAUCCGCGGGGGAGGAGGGGAAGGAAGGAGCUUGGGAUGCGCAGGAGGUCACGAGAGAAGCGGGGCAAGUGCGAGUUAUCAGGCGAGUGCAACGAAAAACCCUCGCUGUAGAGGUUUAAAUAAGGUUCCGACUGGGUCACUAGCAGGUGGCCCCGAAAUCUUAUCCCCCGACCGGUCGCUGCGAUAUUAGUGGAGGAGAUGAAGGCGCGGAAAUCGAGGCGUCAGAUACUACUCGAUUACGAUGUCGUCAUCCCCGCCGAGCGCGCGGCAACCGAAAUUUGAGGAUCCCAGAAAAUCCGCCGCUGUCAGUUGACUGGUCACGUCAAAAGAUUCCACGGAAACACUCGGUACCUGACUGUUCGUUUCACAAAUACAUCCACUCGGAUCACUGGUCAAGAGUAUAAAAUGGAUCGAGGUAAACAACGCCAAAGUCGCAUCCAUACCAGUCGGAUCCGUACUCCAAGCAUCGCUUCGUCGUUCCAACCCCAAUCCAUUCGGGGACUAAUGAUGGGGUUAUAGUCCUAGGGUAGGGUCAUAGGCCUGCCCAAUGUGUCCUACCCAAGGACUACCCUUCAUAAGGGAUAAGGCCCUUAGUCAGUUCCGACUGAAUUAAGGACUUCCCAUCAUCCAGUCGGUGACGAUUCCUACAUCAUCCAGUCGGAAAUGAGCAUUCGGAGCGUAUCAAACUUACCGACUGGAUUCCACUCUGUACAUCGUAACCCCCCUGGAGGGCAACGGUCAUACGUUUCCAUCUACCUUUAUUAGCAUUUAAGACAUACGUUACCUGUAACGUAUGCAGUUAUUCGCCACUACUCCACCCCUGUGCACCGAACCGUUAUGAAGUGUAGCGCACUCUAUAUAAGCCGCCCUUCCCCACUGGUGCAGGGGUUGGCAAUUCACUGUAAUCCAUAUUCCACUCGACAACAAGCUCCCAAGAGCACUGAGACGUAGGGCUUUUACCUCCACCGUAGAGGGGCCUGAACUCAUACAACCUCGCCGUAGCUAAGGCUCUGCCCAUCCUUUCGUACCCUACACAUCUACUGUCACACUUAUACCCACGACAUAGGCCUUUUCCUAGUAACUCCUCUAAUAAUUUUGGCAACUCCUACAACAAUACUCAUGGAAAUUACAAUAGAUUACCCUCUGAUAUAGAGAGUAAUAUCAAAGAGUUCAUCCACUCUCAAAAGAUUUUCAAUGCGUCCAUAGAGGAAAAACUACUCAAAAUUAACGAUUUGGCUAAGAGCGUUGAUAGGAUUUCUUGUGAUGUUGAUGCUUUGAAAGUUAGAUGUGAUCCUCCCAAAAUCAACAUAGAUGAAACUUUGAAAGCUAUGCGUGUUUCCAUGAUUGAGAGCCAAGAAAGAACCGCCCAAAUUUGUGCUAGACAUGAAUGGCUUAAAAAGGCGUGUUCUCGUGAUGAGAAUAACGAAGAUCUUAAAGUGCUUGGUGUGACUCCCAUGGAAUCUUUGUUUUCUUGUGUCAAACCUAAUGAUUAUGGGGCUUGAUAUGAAUCCACUUUGGUUGAAAAGUGCCCCAAUGAUCCGGAGUCCGUCUAUCUUGAUGCUAAGAACAUUAAAAGUGGAGUAGAAGACGUUAAAACUUUGAGUAGUAAUGAAGUUACUACCGUGGAUUUCAAGGAAUUCAAUUAUGAUAGUUAUCCUUGAUUUAUCGAAUGCAUUUCUUUGAUGCAAUUCAUGUUAAACUCUCCACACGCUUAUAGCCAAAACAAAGCCUUUACCGAUCAUAUCGUCGAAGCUAUGAUAAAAGCUCUUGAAGAGAAACUUGAAUUGGAAGUCUCUAUCCCUAGAAAGCUUCAUGAUGAGUGGGAACCUACCAUCAAAAUCAAAAUCAAAAACUAUGAGUGCAAUGCUUUGUGUGAUUUGGGUGCAAGUGUUUCUGCGAUUCCAAAGUCUCUAUGUGAUGUUCUGGGUUUUAAUGAGAUUGAAGAGUGUUCUCUUAAUUUGCAUCUUGCUGAUUCUACUGUCAAGAAACCCAUGGGAAGGAUCAAUGAUGUUCUUAUUAUUGCAAAUAGGAACUAUGUACCCAUGGAUUUCAUUGUGCUUGACAUUGAUUGCAAUCCUACAUGCCCUAUUAUUCUUGGUAGACCUUUCCUAAGGACUAUUGGUGCUAUCAUCGAUAUGAAGGAAUGGAAUAUUAGAUUUUAAUUUUCUUUAAGGAAGGGUAUGGAACACUUUCCUACACUAGUGGGGACGGGGCCUUUAGCCCCGGCCCGUAAGGGGCUUUAGUCCCGGUUCACCAACCGGGACUAAAGGGGCGGGACUAAAGGCCUAACCUUUAGACCCGGCCCAGUUACAAGCCGGGACUAAAGGUGCUCCACGUGGGCGCCUCGUAGCGCCCCAGGGGCACGCCCUUUAGUCCCGGUUCGUUACACGGGCCGGGACUAAAGAGUUUUAAAUUUUGCUUAUUUUUGGGGUUUUUUUGAAUGAAAUUAUUUUUGGGUUUUAGGGUUUUAGGGUUUAGGUGUUCGGAGAUUAACGUGAUGCCUCGUUUCGUGUUCGGGAAUUAGUUUUCAUAUAAUUUAAAUAGAAAUAAUUAUGCAUAUAUAUAUAAGGUUAACUUAUCUUACAAGCGAGCAUAUAUAUAAAAUUAUAUGGAGAUCUGAAUUAUCGGGACUAGAGCCCGUCUAUUCGAUUACAUGGACGAACAUCAGUAAUGGCCCCUAGCUACACUAAAUCGUCCUUUGUAAUCUAUAGCUUCCGUCCUCAGAAAGGUCGCAAGCUCCUCUGCAACACCAAUCGCGCGUUGCUCUGGUAGGACCUUCGUCGUCAUGGCUGUGUGCUAUAUAAGAAGAGGAUAUGAAUAUGAAUAUCAAUCAUGAUAACAAAGAAUGACGGGUAAAAAUAGAGGUGUGAAUGUUUAUUGCUUACGUCGAAUCUGUGAUCCUUGUGCUCGGAGGUAAACGUGCGAAUGGUCUCGCAAACAUAGUAUCCGCAUAGAUGCGUCCCCCGUGGCUGCUGGUCGCACUUUACGAGAAUAGAAUAUAUAUAAUCAAAAUAAUAAUCUAGCAUCAUAAAUGUAUUGAAAAUAGAAGUAUAUCAUACUACUACUUACCUGAGCCGCUCUAAAGGUCAGCUUCUCAGGCUCGAUACCGGGAGUCACGCACUUGAACCUCUUCCAAACCCUGCCCGACAAGGAUAAUGAUUUGCUAAGUUUUUUAUUAAUUGAUAUAUCAGAAAAUCAUCGAAAGUGACCGAUAGAGCGCAAGAAUGAUUGAAAUUACCCUUGGAGCAUGUCCUGCAGGCUUUGGAACUGUUCCAAGGGUCUCAAUAAUGGGUCGAAGGCAUCAACUUUUCCCUUAUCAAUUUGAAUGUCCAACAGAAUCCAAUGGAAGCUGCACAUGUAUAUAUAUAUAUAUGUGUGUGUGAGUAACUUAUCAAUUACACUUAUAAGUGAAUGGACACAACAGAGUAAAGACCCUCACGUGAAGUUGUAUGGAAACAGUAUGUGGUCACAUAAAUUUUGAUCUGUUAGAAACCUUAGAAGGUUUUCCUCCAUCUCCUUGGGAUAAUCAGUUAGCGUCGCUAUAUGUAUUUUAUCUGGGUCAAUAAACCCAAUAUUUAGGAUGUUCUUACUUUUACAAUCCAGAAUCUUCAUUCUGCAUAACAGAGUAUAAGUUAUAUAUAGACAAUGAAUUGAAAUAACUAAACAAGUUAUAUGUAGACAACGAAUUGAAAAACUUACAAACAAUAGCAACUCAUAAGCGAUUUGUCGAGGGCGUCGCCAUUGUACAUCUGGAAGAGUUCAUCAAAGUCGAUAUGGAUUUCUUCGGGGCGGCCGUAGUACUCCCGUGGGACACUCAGCACGAUCAUCGUUCUCCCAUUCUUUGAUUCACUUAAGUACCAUUGAUGCAAGUAACGCAUAUUUGUUGGGAGAUCAUCUUUGCCGACCAAAGGCUCACCCAUGACAAACUGUGGCUUAGGGGCUACCACAUCCUUGGGUAUCCUGUCGUCUUGGGAAGCCAGCAAAUCUUCAACCGAGACACCACAUUCAGCCGCCAACUCCUUUGCUAUUUCAAAAGCUAGCCCCUGCACCGGAGGGGGAACAUUCUCGGUUAACACGUUGAGGGCUGGGAUUGACUGUUUGGCCUGUUGUCCAAGCUGAGGAAUGUCUGAUUUUUUCUUUCUUGUAGUUGAACUUGAUUUGCUCGCACUUGCACUUGCACGUGAUCUGCUCUUUUUCACUUCCUUCUACAAUGUGCGUGUGUAGUCAUCAGGCUUAUGGUGUAAGUCAUACUAUGAUGGAAGGGUCGUGAAGUAUUUUGCAAAUGCUAUUUGCUUCUCGGUGUAUUCCGGGCGGGGCUCGGGGUCCUUAUUUUUCAUCUGCGCAUCAUGAUGUUCCUUUGCUAUCCUGGCGUUUUCCUCGGAGGUACGAUCAUAAGGUCUGAUAGGAAGAUUAGCAUGACGUACCUUUGGGAGGGGCGACCGUUUGCGCUUUGGGGGGGCUCCGUGGCUUAGGAAUCGUCGGUGGAGCGUUCUUGGUGGCACGCUCCCGCUUAGUAUCCGGAGCGGGCGGCGGCGGAGACGGACGACCCAAGUCCGACGGCGGUGAUCGAGAUGGACUCGUGUUGUGCUGGCCGACGUCAUGUGGAGGGCUUGGAGGUGAUCUGCUCUUUUUCACUUCCUUCUGCAAUGUGCGUGUAUAGUCAUCACGCUUAUGGUGUAAGUCAUACUGUGAUGGAAGGGUCGUGAAGUAUUUUGCAAAUGCUAUUUGCUUCUCGGUGUAUUCCGGGCGGGGCUCGGGUUCCUUCUUUUUCAUCUGCGCAUCAUGAUGUUCCUUUGCUAUCCUGGCGUUUUCCUCGGGGGUAUGAUCAUAAGGUCUGAUAGGAAGAUUAGCAUGACGUGCCUUUGGGGGGGGCGACCGUUUGCGCUUUGGGGGGCUCCGUGGCUUAGGAAUCGUCGGCGGAGCGUUCUUGGUGGCACGCUCCCGCUUAGUAUCCGGAGCGGGCGGCGGCGGAGACGGACGACCCAAGUCCGGCGGCGGUGAUCGAGGUGGACUCGUGUUGUGCUGGCCGACGUCAUGUGGAGGGCUUGGAGGUAAUGGAGCUGUAGGUGACCUGCGACGACUCGGAGACGGUGUUGUCCUUGGGGCCGAGCCUGGAAGCUUGAUGUAGUUCUUGUCCCAUAGGAUGACUCCACCCAGUACUUCUCCGAGUGUCCUCUCAUCUUCGGGUCCAGCUAUGUCGAGCUCCAUAUCAUGAAACCCCGUCAUGAUUUCAUCCACCCCGACUUUAGCAAAGCCAACUGGAAUCUCACGGCCAUGCCAGCGUGCAUCAGGGCCAGAAGGUAAAGCUUGUCCGACGGCCACCUUCAUGGAUAUGUUCUUGAAUUUCUGAUGGAGUUCACAUGAUCUUGACCCCUUGAUUCCAUCCACGGGGUAGCCGGGACCGCCCUCUAUCAUUCUUCGUGCAUCGUCAGGCGGGGCCUCAGAUUCAGCCACGCUGCUUUUCCGCUUAGAUGGGGCGCCGGUAAUAUCAAGUGCAGGAUCUUCCUGGCGCGCUACUCCUCUAAGCUCAUCAAUCUGCUUCUGUUGCUCGUUAAUCCUGGCAAGCAACUGGUUGAACUUGUCAUUCUCCUCAUCCUGCUGCUGCUUCUUUGCUCUCUCUCGGCUUCUAUAAGUGUCUUGGUCUCUGGCAAACCCAAGCCACCACGGGUAAGAAGGACCGAAGCCUCGCGUUCGUCCUCCAUGUUCGUCAUUGCCGAGGACCAGUGUGAGGAAAUCUUUCUCUCUAUCUGCAGUGAACUUUCUUUUUCCCUCCUUAAUUUCUUUCACUAUCCUUUUCCAAUUCUCCCUGGGUAUCCUAAGACCGUCAGUGCAGAUGAGGUCCCCUGUUUUUUCGUCGUACGAACCACCAUGCGCAAGGAACCAAUUUCUUGCUCUCAAUUCCCACUCAUCACGGAGUGGUUCAGGUACGAUGCCUUUAUCUAGCAGAUCUUGCUCUUUCUUAUCCCACUUUGGGAUGACAGUCUCAUAACCCCCUGGCCCCAGCUUGUGGUGAUAUUUCUUCUUGUCGUCAUUUAUCUUGUUCUUUUCUGAUAAUGCCUGGGCAUCUUCUGACUCCUUGUACUCUUGAAAUGCCUUCCAGUGAUUCGCCUGCUUGGCUAGAUACCCCUCAAAUACUGGCACUUUCUUUGUCUUCGGAUAGUUUUUCCAUAGCUUCUUCUUCCAGCUACGGAACAGUUCGGCCAUCUUCUUUAGAGUCCACUGCUUGACUUUGGCCCUCAGUUUGUCUGCAGCGUCUUCAUUCUCACAUUCUGGCAGGUUGAAAUGUGACAUGAGAUUAUUCCAAAGAUUAUCUUUGUACCUUUCGGCGACAUAGUCACUAUCGGAUGCCUCUUUGCGCUUGUUCCACUCCCAAAUCUGAUCGGGACGUGAUCCCUAGCGAGAACUCUGCAUUGCUUCUUGAAUGUGUCAGCAGCAUUCUUAGGAAGCUUGGGUUCGCCCGUAGGCAAUAUCACCUCAAAGGUGUAAUGCGUCUGUGCAUCCAACUUUCUAGUCGGGUCUCGUUUCGUAGCUUUGCUCGAUGUGGACGCCUAAAAGGGAGAAACAUUUGUCAAAUGAAUGUAUAUGUAUACAAUAUAGAGCUAUCUCCAAUAUUUUUCACAUAUUACAAGUGAUUGUCGAACUUCAUAUGUAUACCUCGUCGAACUUUAUUAUUUCUUCACCGGCUUCUCCACCGGCUUCUCCAUCAGUGGAGCUAUCACCUUCUCCGUCAUUGGACCUAUCUACUGCCCCAUCGGCUUCAUCUUCGUGUCGCUCGACCUCCAUUCCAUAUUCGGAGGGGUUUAGAUAUGAUGACGGAGAUACAGCUGGUUCAACGUCAGGGUCGUCUUUGAUUAUAUCUUCGAGAAGUUCUUCCUCUUCGAGGUUCCUGAUAUGUGGAUCCAUAGUUCUGCAAAAAACGGACAUUUGAUUAACUAAUAAACUAACAAACUAUAUAAGAGGGGUUGGAAACUUCGAAGUGUCGUUUUAUAUAGGAGGACCUUUAGUCCCGGGUCUUGGCUAGAACCUAAACUCUAAAAUACCAGCCGGGCGGAGCCCAGUCCCGGACACUUAAGCAUAUACAAUAGCAAAAUUAAACUAGUUCUAUUAAUUUUCUUGCUAAAAAUAAACUAUUAACACUUAAGCAUAUACAAUAGCAAAAUUAAACUAUUAACACUUAAGCAUAUACAAUAGAAAAAUUAAGCAUAUACACUAUACAAUAGCAAAAUUAAAUGACAAAAAAAAUAUUUCUUCUUCUUGUAACCCUAAACUAAUUUUUCCUCUUCUUCUAUUUCUCCUCUUCUUCUACUUCUUCUUCUACUUCUACUUCUCCUCUUCUUCUACUACUUCUCCUCUUCUCUUCUUCUACUUCUCCUCUCCUCCUCUUCUAAAUUCUUCUCUUCUUCUACUUCUCCUCUUCUUCUAUUUUUCCUCUUCUUCUCCUCUCCUCCUCUUAUUAUUCUCCUUUUUCUUCUUUUCUUCUCCUCCUCUUCUUAUUUUCCUUUUUCCUAAUUCUACAUAUUACUAACCCUAAUAAUCUAGCACAAACCUAAUAACAAUAGGAAUUAAAUGACAAAAAAAUCUUUUUCUUCUUUUCUUCUCCUUUUUCUUCCUUUCUUCUCCUUUUUCUUCCUUUCUUCCCUUUUUCUUCUUUUCUUCUCCUUUUUCUUCUUUUCUUCUCCUUCCCUUUUUCUUCCUUUCUUCUCCUUUUUCUUUCUUUCUUCUCCUUUUUCUUCCUUUCUUCUCCUUUUUAUUCUUUUCUUCUCCUUUUUCUCCCUUUCUUUUCCUUUUUCUUCUUUUCUUUUCCUUUUUCUUCUUCUCUUCUACUGGCCGGAGUGUUGGGGUGGAGGGGGCGGGGGGCUUACCGGCCGAAGGUGUCGAUGGCGCGCGGCGAGGAGGACGGCGGCGCGCGGCGAGGAGUACGGCGGCGGCGAGGAGGACGGCGGCACGCGGCGAGGAGGACGGCGCGCGGCGAGCAGGACGACGGCGACGGCGAGGAGGACGGCAGGCGGCGGCGAGCAGGACGGCGGGCAGCCUGACGGCGUCGUCGAGUUCGUCGUUGUGCCGCGCCGGGCAGGAGAACGAGAGGAAGAAGAAGAGAAAUGGACGAUUUGGGUUCGAAAUUUUCCAACUCCCGCUUAUACAGGUGGAUCUUUAGUCCCGGUUCGGGGCUCGAUCCGGGACUAAAGACCCCUUUAGUCCCGGUUGGAGCCAAGACCCGGGACUAAAGGCCCUUUUUCGGCAGACCAAAAGGCGGGAAGGAGGGUCCUUUAGUCCCGGGUCGUGGCUUGAACCGGGACUAAAGACACCCUUUAGUCCCGGGUGGAGCCACGACCCGGGACUAAAGGCCCUUUUUCGGCAGACCAAAAGGCGGGAAGCAGGGUCCUUUAGUCCCGGGGCGUGGCAAGAACCGGGACUAAAGUGUUGUCUAUAUAAACCCUCGCCCCAGCCCACCAUAUUCCCUGUUUUUUGGUUGUUGAAGUGUGACCAUGCCAUGCUCUUGCCACUCUAGUUCAUGCACAUGACGUGUUCGAUGAAAUGCCCGAGCCACUCUACUUAAGCUUUCUCCUCUCCAAGCUCCAUUUUCCUUAAUAUUUGUCUAGGUUUGGCCGUGCACCAACUGCACAAGUGUUUUAAAAGGUUAGCUACUUCAUCCUUUCGCCCCGUGCCGAUCUCGUCGCGAGCACCACCGUGGUGAGCCUCUUGUUCUUAUCUUCUUUUUAAAAGAAAAAAAAUCUUACUUGUAUGAUUUAGAUACAUACUUGUAUAAAUUACUAACAUUCAUUAUUUUUUGUUAUUAUAUAGUGCGAUGGUUUUGGUAUCCGCCUCCGUCGGCCCUCGUCCUGUCUAUGAUUCGGAUGUGGUAUAUAUUAUCUUUUAUAACUAUUUGUUUUAUUUUGUGUUUAUGACAAUUAUGACGACCAACGUGACAUAUAUUUUUUAAUCUAGGAGGUAUGUGAACCGGAAAUUCCAACCCACAUAAAAAUUCUUGUCAAGAAGUUAAAUUUGGUUGAAAAAGAAAACAAAUACUUGAAGAAGAAAAUUGAAAAUAAUUGAGGAUGAGAAUAUGGAACUGGAGUUGCAUGUCGCCGAUGCCAUCGAUGAUCGCAAGAUGAAGAUCGAUGCGAUGCGGUUGAAGAUGGAUGCAAUGCGCUUGAAGAUGGAUGAAAUGCGCUUGAAGAUUAGGAAUAUUAGAAAAUAUGCCAUUGAUAAAGAGGCUUGGUAUCAUUAUGCUGUUGGGUCAAUUGUUACCUUAAUUGCGAUUUUGAUCGCAUUUGUUGUUGCAUUUAAAUGUUUUACAUAGUUGUAUGUUGUUUUAUGAGAGAACUUUAUGUAUUUAUUUUUUGCAAUAAUAACAUUUGAUCACUACUGUUCUUUGGCUUUAAUGUGAUGAUGAACUUGUAUUAAUUUGGUCAUAUCUUCUGCAAUGGUUUUUUGAUAUAUUUAAUUUCAUAAUAGAGAUGAAUCGCCAAUUUGACCCUGAAAUUGAAAAGCACUACAAAUGAACUCUGAAAAUGUUGAAAGUUGGCAUGCUAUCAUCAUUUCACCCACAUAGCAUGUGUUAAAAAGUUGAGAGGGCUACGACAAAAACUGGAUGCACUUCGUGUACAAAACAAAUAAUCUCUUUCGAAGUAUCAGGGUUUCGAACGAGAACUCAUCUCUUACAUGGAUACUAUGUAAAUGAAAAGUGUUUGAAAUUUAGUACAUUCCAUACAUGCAUUACAUAAAAGGUUUAAUACAUUAUUACAUUAUUGCACCAAUAUUCCUAUCUAUUAUUUCUGUUUUCUUCUGGGUCGUAGCCAUGGAGAAUCUUCAUCAUUCAGUAGGAUGCUUGGGUCAGUUUUCACUUUGAAGGGCGGAAUUUUAUGAAACUUAUUAUAAUCUUCUGACAUGUCUGUCUUGUCAUCUACUCCCAUGAUGUUUCUUUUCCUUGAAAGAACUAUGUGGCGUUUUGGCUCAUCGGACGAUAUCUUCUUUUGCUGAUUUCUUUUUCUCGUUUUUGUAGACAUGUCCUUCACAUAGAAAACUUGAGCGACAUCAUUGGCUAGGACAAAUGGUUCGUCCAUGUACGCAAGAUUGUUGAGAUCCACUGUUGUCAUGCCGUACUUUUGGUCUACAACUACCCCGCCUCCUGUCAGCUUCACCCAUUUGCACCGAAGCAAAGGGAUCUUAAAAGUAGGUCCAUAGUCAAGUUCCCAUAUUUCCUCUAUGUACCCGUAAUAUGUUUCCAAACAGUGCCCAUUCUCGUCUGUUGCAUCAAAGCGGACACCACUAUUUUGGUUGGUGCUCUUUUUAUCUUGGGCAACCUUGUAAAAUGUAUUCCCAUUUAUCUCAUAUCCUUGGAAAGUACAUAUAGUCGAAGAUGGUGGCCUGGCCAAACAGUACAGCUCAUCUCCAACGGUGUCGUCAUUCAUGAGAUGUGUCUGCAACCAACUGCCGAAAGUCUUCUCGUGUUCCCUUUAAUCCAAGAGUCAGCCUUCCCCGGGUUUUCGGAGCGUAGAAUAUUCUUGUGUCGCACGAUAUACGGAGCCACCACGGUGGAAUUGUGUAGAACUGUGUAGUGUGCUUGAGAGAAAGAAUGCCCGUCCAUACAUACUUUUGCUUUCCUUCCUAAUGUGCCUUUUCCUGUCAGCCUACCCUCAUACCGAGAUUCAGGAACACCAAUCGGCUUAAGGUCAGGAAGAAAGUCCACACAAAACUCAAUGACCUCCUCUGUUCCAUAGCCCUUGGAGAUGCUUCCUUCUGGCCUAGCACGGUUACGAACAUAUUUCUUUAAGACUCCCAUGAACCUCUCGAAGGGGAACAUAUUGUGUAGAAACACAGGACCGAGAAUUCUAAUCUCUUCGACUAGGUGAACUAGGAGGUGUGUCAUUAUAUUGAAGAAGGAUGGCGGGAACAACAACUCAAAGCUGACCAGACAUUGGACCACAUCAAUCUGUAACCCUGAUAGACUUUCUCGACCGAUUACCUUCUGAGAAAUUGCAUUGAGGAAUGCACAUACCUUCACAAUUGCCAGGCGAACAUUUUCCGGUAGAAUUCCCCUCAAUGCAACCGGAAGCAAUUGCGUCAUAAGCACGUGGCAGUCAUGAGACUUCAGGUUUUGGAAUUUUUUGUCUUUCAUAUUUACGAUUCCCUUUAUAUUCGACGAGAAGCCAGUCGGGACCUUGAUACUGAAAAGGACUUCAAAGAAGAUUUCCUUCUCUUCCUUAGUAAGUGCGUAGCUGGCACGCCCUUGAAACUGCCCUGGAUGCAUGCCAUCUCUUCCUUUAUGACGUUCCUGGUCCUCCCGUGCUUCCGGUGUAUCUUUUGACUUCCCAUACAAGCCCAGGAAGCCUAGAAUAUUCACGCAGAGAUUCUUCGUCAGGUGCAUCACUUCGAUUGCCGAGCGGACCUCAUGGACUUCCCAGUAGGGUAGCUCCCAAAAUAUAGAUUUCUUCUUCCACAUGGGUACGCGCUUAUCAGGGCCGUUAGGAACAGGUUGGCUGCCAGGACCCUUUCCAAAGAUUACUUUUAAAUCUUUGACCAUAUCAAAUACUUCAGCACCAGUACGGAUGACAGGCUUCGCCCGGGGUUCUGCCUUGCCAUUGAAAUGCUUGCCUUUUUUCUUUAAGGGAUGCUUGGGCGGAAGAAAACGACGAUUGUAUGGGUACACAUUCUUCCUACAUUUGUCCAGAUAUAUACUUUCUGUCUGAUCCAAACAGUGCGUGCAUGCAUUGUAUCCCUUGUUUGACUGUCCUGAAAUGUUACUAAGAGCAGGCCAAUCAUUGAUGGUUACGAAAAGCAACGCUCGAAGGUCAAAUUCCUCUUGUUUGUGCUCGUCCCACACACGUACACCUGGUUCGGCCCACAACUGUAAAAGUUCAUCAACUAAUGGCCUUAGGUACACAUCAAUAUCGUUGUUGGGUUGCUUUGGACCUUGGAUAAGCACUGGCAUCAUAAUGAACUUCCGCUUCAUGCACAACCAAGGAGGAAGGUUGUAGAUACAUAGAGUAGCGGGCCAGGUGCUGUGACUGCAACUCUGCUCCCCAAAAGGAUUCAUGCCAUCUGUACUCAGACCUAACCAUAAGUUCCUUGCGUCAGCUGCAAAUCUCGGGAACUCUCUCUCGAUUUUUCUCCAUUGCCGACCAUCAGCGGUGUGCCUCAACUUAUCGUCUUUCAUACGAUCUUCCAUGUGCCAUCGCAACAACUUCGCAUGAUCUUUAUUUCUGAACAGACGUUUCAACCGUGGUAUUAUAGGAGCAUACCACAUCACCUUGGCAGGAACCCUCUUCCUGGGUGGCUCGCCCUCAAUAUCACCAGGGUCAUCUUUUCUGAUCUUAUACCGCAAUGCAGUGCAUACCGGGCAUUUAUCCAUAUUCUCGUACUUAGGGCAUGCAUGUAUCUUCUGCACGUCUAAUCCUAGAGGGCAGACAAGCUUCUUUGCUUCGUCCGUGCUGGCGGGCAAUUCGUUCUUUCUUGGAAGCAUCUUCUUCAUCAGUACCAGCAACUUUUCGAAUGACGAGUCAGUCACACCGGUCUCUGCCUUCCACUUCAGCAAUUCCAGUGUGCUACCCAGCUUCUUCUGGCCAUCUUCACAAGUUGGGUACAACAAUUUGUUGUGGUCCUGUAACAUCUGCUGGAACUGCAACCUCUCCUUUUCUGUGUCGCAACCUCGCUGUGCAUCAGAAAUGACCCGGCCAAGAUCAUCAGCGGGCUCAUCUGGUUCCCGUUCUUCAUCCUGAUCUUCUUCUUCAUUGUCUUCCAUUGCGGUAUCAGCAUACUCAGGGAACAUAGAUCGGUAGUUGUCAUCAUCGUUCUCUUCUUCUUCAUCGUCGUCUUCCAUCAUAACCCCUCUUUCUCCAUGCUUGGUCCAAACAUUAUAGCCCGACAUAAAACCGGACCGAAGCAGGUGGCUCUGAAUGACUCUUGAGGAAGUGUAAUCCUUCUCAUUCCGACAUUCAACACAUGGACAAAACAUAUAGCCACCACCAUGCUUGUUUGCAUCGGCUGCAUCUCAAAAAGAAUGCACGCCUUCUCUGUAAGCGGAUGUGCGUCGAUCACCGUACAUCCAUGGAUGGCUCAUCUGUGUUAUACGACAGUAUAUCAAAUACAACCACGUUCCUAAAAAUUAGUACCGCAUGGUCUAAACGAGGAAAUAUAGUUGCUAACCUUUUAGAAUAAGUAGAAAUAAAGAGGAAGAGGUUUAAGCGUGGCUCGGGCAUCUCAUAUCGUAGUUGUGUUCGGUGAACUAAAGCGGCAUCGCUCUAACACACAUUUCAACAAACACCUCUAGUGCAUCAAAAAAAGUGGAGAGCUAGCACCCACCCACAAUCCUCCAUCCAAGAAAAAUGCAAGGAAGAGGGGAGAGGGGGGCUGUGCUAUAUAUAGGCAGAGGACUUUAGUCCCGGUUUGAGACACAAACCGGGACUAAAGGUGGCGCACAUGUGGGCUGCCCACCGCGUAGCCCUUUAGUCCCGGUUUGGGACAUGAACCGGGACUAAAGGCUCCUUACGGGCCGGGACAAAAGCCUCGAGGGAGGCAUUGAGAAUUGGGGCGACGUGGCCGGGCCUUUAGUCCCGGCCCAGAGGCAGGCCGGGACUAAAGGGUCCCGGCCAAAGGCCCGUUCUCCACUAGUUCUAGAAAUAAAAUAAGAUUGCCUUAUGAAUCCAUGAUGAGGGCCACUUAUGGUUUGAGCACCAAAGACGAUGAUACCUGAUUCUAUCGCUUCUAUGCCUAGCUAAGGGCGUUAAACAAUAGCGCUUGUUGGGAGGCAACCCAAUGAAUUUAUCUUUUUCUUUCUGUUUUGUUGCGUCCACACUUUCAUAAUUCUGUUGUGAUUGUGUUUUUUGUGUUUCUUUUUGUGUUUGAGCCAAGCAAAGCCUUUAUGAUCAGUCUUGGUAAUGGUUGUUUGAUCAUGCUGGAAAAAGACAGAAACUUUCUGCUGACGAGAUGAUUUUUCAUUUUUAUUCAGAAAGAGCUUUUGAGUUGAUUCGUUUUUCUGCUGAUUUAUAUGCUUUUUCCCCAGACCUUCGUAAUUGUUCAGAUUUUUUGAGGUACCAUAAGUAUGCUAGGUAUACAGAUUGCUACAGACUGGUCUGUUUUUGACAGAUUCUGUUUUUGUUGAGUUGGUUUCUUGUUUUGAUGAAACUAUGGUUAGUAUCGGGGGGUACUAGCCAUGGAAAAGUGAGAAUACAGUAGCCCAUCAUCAAUAUAGAUGGAAUUCAAGUUUUCUACAGUACCAAAAGAAGUGUUAGAUUGUUUUCUUGUACUAAUGUUAUCACAAGUUUCUGUUUAAGUUUUGUGUUGUGAAGUUUUCAAGUUUUGGGUGAUGUUCUCAUGGACAAAGAGAUAAGGAGUGGAAAAAGCCCAAGCUUGGGGAUGCCCAAGGCACCCCAAGCCAAAUUCGAGGACACCAAAAAGCCUAAGCUUGGGGAUGCCCCGGGAAGGCAUCCCCUUUUUCGUCUUCAAUCCAUCGGUAACAUUACUUGGGGCUAUAUUUUUAUUCACCACAUGAUAUGUGUUUUGCUUGGAGCGUCUUGUAUCUUAGGAGUCUUUUAUUUUUGUUGCGUCACAAUCAUCCUUGCUGCACACCUUUUUGAGAGAGAGACACGCACUCAUUGUGAUUUUGCUAGAAUGCUUAUAGUGUUUCACUUAUAUCUUUUGAGCUAGAUACUUUUGCUCUAGUGCUUCACUUAUAUCUUUUGAGCUAGAUACUUAUGCUCUAGUGCUUCACUUAUAUCUUUUGAGCUAGAUACUUUUGCUCUUGUGCUUCACUUAUAUCUUUAGAGCACGGUGGUGCGUGAUUUGGUAGUUGGCUUAUGCUAUGAAAGUAGUCCCAUGUGCUAGGUACCCAAAGAGGAUGCAAAAACCUCCAUCUUCAUGUGCAUUGAGUAAAAAGAGAAGUUUCGAUUCCUCUCGAUUAGUUUUGAGACAUGGAUUCGGUAAUAUUAAAAGCUAUGUCAGUAGGGUGUUGUGAAUCUAGAAAUACUUGUGUUGAAGUUAGUGAUUCCCGUAGCAUGCACGUAUGGUGAACCGCUAUGUUAGGAAGUCGGAGCAUAAUUGAUCUAUUGAUUUUCAUCCUUUGUGUUGAGGUCGGGAUCGCGCCAUGGUUUACGCCUACCAACCCUUCCCCUCGGAGUAUGCGUUUAGCACUUUGUUUCAAUUACUAAUAAAAACUUUCGCAACAAGUAUGUGAGUUCUUUAUGACUAAUGUUGAGUCCAUGGAUUAGAUGCACUUUCACCUUCCACCAUUGUUAGCCUCUCUAGUACCACGCAACUCUCGCCGGUGCACAAACCCACCAAAUUCCUUCCUCAAAACAGCCACCAUACCUACCUACUAUGGCAUUUUCAGCCAUUCCGAGAAAUAUUGCCAUGCAACUACCACAGUUCCGUCUCAUGACCUGUGCCGUCACUCUCAUAUUGCCAUUGCAUGAUCAUACUAGAUCGUUGCACAUCCCGGUACACUGCCGGAGGCAUUCCCUAUGGAGUCAUCAUCAUUGUGAUCUUUGAACUUUGGGUAACUAAAAAUUGUGAUGAUCACCAUUAUUAGAGCAUUGUCCCAUGUGAGGAAUUAAAAAAAAGAGAGGCCAAAGAGCCCAAAAACAAAAAAAAAGAGAAAAAAAGAGGCCUAAGAGCCCAAAUAAAAAAAAUGAGAGAAAAAGAGAGAAGGGACAAUGCUACUGUCUUUUUCCACACUUGUGCUUCAUAUUAGCACCAUGUUCUUCAUGAUUGAGAGCUUCUUGCUUUGUCACUACCAUAUGCUAGUGGGAAUAUUUUAUAUAACUUGGCUUGUAUAUUCCAAUGAUGGGCUUCUACAAAAUUUCCCUAGGUCUUCGUGAGCAAGCAAGUUGGAUGCACACCCACUUGUUUUCCUUUUGAGCUUUCACAUACUUAUAGCUCUAGUGCAUCUCUUGUAUGGCAAUCCCUACUCAUUCACAUUGAUAUCUAUUAAUGGGCAUCUCCAUAGCCUAUUGAUACGCCGAGUCAAUGUGACCAUCUCCUCCUUUUUGUCUCACAACCACUACCACACUCUAUUCCACCUAUAGUGUUAUAUCCAUGGCUCGCGCUCAUGUAUUGCGUGAUAGUUAUGAAAAGUUUGAGAAAGUAAGAGUGCGAAAACAAUUACUUGGCCAAUUCCGGGGUUGUGCAUGAAUUACAUUAGUUGUGUGAGGAUGAUGGAGCAUAGCCAGACUAUAUGAUUUUUUAGGGAUAACUUUCUUUGGCCUUGUUAUUUAGAAAGUUCAUGAUUACUUUGCUAGUUUGCUUGAAGUAUUACUGUUUUCAUGUCAAUAGCAAACUAUUGUUUUGAAUCAUAUGGAUCUGAAUAUUCAUGCCAUGUGAGAGAAGUUGCAAAGGACAACUAUGCUAGGUAGCAUUCCACAUCAAAAAUUCAUUCUUUAUCACUUCCCUACUCGAGGACGAGCGGGGGUUAAGCUUGGGGAUGCUUGAUACGUCUCCAACGUAUCUAUAAUUUUUGAUGGUUUCAUGUUAUUAUCUUGUCAAACUUUGGAUGUUUUGCAUGCCUUUUAUUUAUUUUCUGGGACUAACUUAUUAAUCCAGUGCCAAGUGCCAGUUCCUGUUUUUUCCAUGUUUUUGACCCCUUUUAGAGGAGAUUUUGAAACGGAGUCCAAACGGAAGAAAAUUCCCGAAAAUAUUUUUUCUGGAAGGGAAGAAGAUCGGAGAGCUUGGGGGCCAAGCCAGAAGAGUCCCACGGGCCCCACAAGCCCCCACCCCGCGGCCAGGGGUCCGCGCCAUGCAGGCUUGUGGGCCCCCUGGAGGUCCCCUGACCUAGAUCUUGCGCCUAUAAAUUCCCAAAUAUUCCCAAAAAAUGAGGGGAGCAUCGUAAUCACUUUUUUGCCGCCGCAAGCUUCUGUCUCCGCAAGAUACCAUCUCGGGCACGUCCUGGUGCCCUGCCGGAGGGGGGAUUCGGACACGGAAGGCUUCUCCAUCAACACCAUGACCUCUCCGAUGAUGCGUGAGUAGUUCACCAUAGACCUACGGGUCCAUAGCUAGUAACUAGAUGACUUCUUCUCUCUCUUGGAUCUUCAAUACAAUGUUCUCCAUGAUCUUCAUGGAGAUCUAUCCGAUGUGAUCUUCUUUUGAGGUGUGUUUGUCGAGAUCCGAUGAAUUGUGGAUUUAUGAUCAGAUUAUCUAUGAAUCUUAUUUGAGUUUCUUCUGAUCUCUCUUAUGCAUGAUUUCAUAUCCUUGUAAUUCUCUUCGAGUUGUGGGUUUUGUAUGGCCAACUAGAUCUAUGAUUCUUUCCAUGGGAGAAAUGCUUGGUUUUGGGUUCAUACCGUGCGGUGACCUCACCCAGUGACAGAAGGGGUAGCGAGGCACGUAUCAUGUUGUUGCCAUCAAGGGUAAAAAGAUGGGGUUUUCAUCAUUGGAUUGAGAUUAUCCCUCUACAUCAUGUCAUCUUGCUUAAAGCGUUACUCUGUUCGUCAUGAACUCAAUACACUAGAUGCAUGCUGGAUAGCGGUCGAUGUGUGGAGUAAUAGUAGUAGAUGCAGAAAGUAUCGGUCUACUUGUCUCGGACGUGAUGCCUAUAUGCUAGAUCGUUGCCUUAGAUAUCGUCAUGACUUUGCGCGGUUCAAUCAAUUGCUCAACAGUAAUUUGUUCACCCACCGUAAUACUUGCUAUUUUGAGAGAAGCCUCUAGUGAACACUAUGGCCCCGAGGGUCUACUCCACAUCAUAUUUUCAGCCUUACACUUUUUACUUCAUUGCACUUUCCGCCUUCAUAUCUCACUUUGCAAACAAUCUUGAAGGGAUUGACAACCCCUUUGAAGCGUUGGGUGCAAGCUUGUUUGUUUUUGCGCAGGUACUUUGGACUUGACAAGGCCCUCCUUUUGGUUCGAUACCUUGGUUCCCAAACUAAGGGAAAUACUUGCUGCUCCUGUGCUGCAUCACCCUUUCCUCUUCAAGAGAAAAAUCGACGCAAACCAGAGAAGUAACUACGCGCCAGGGAAGGACUUUUCUUAACGCAGCAGAGCCCUGCUGGGAUAGAUCACCAUCAACCUCCGGAGUGUCGUCACGCUGCCGGAGAACUCAUCUACCUCUCCGUCUCUCUUGCUGGAUCAAGAAGGCCGAGAUCAUCGUUGCGUUGUAAGUGUGCUGAACGCGGAGGUGCCGUCUGUUCGGCACUAGAUCGGGAAGGAUCAUGAUGAGAUUGCGAGACGGAUCGCGAUGAAGUUUGCGGGACGGAUCAUGAUGAUAUAGUGGGAUGGAGUGUACGACUAUGGUGAUUUGAAUCACGCAAGCUGUUCCACUACAUCGUCCACGUUUCUUAAUGCUUACCGCUAUGCGAUCUAGAAGGGUACGUAGAUCAGAAAUAUCCUCUCAUAGAUUAACAUCACCAUGAUAGGUAUUGCGUGUGCGUAGGAAAUUUUUUGUCUCUCAUGCGACGUUCCCCAACAGUGGCAUCAUGAGCUAGGUUCAUGUGUAGAUGUUAUCUCGAGUAGAACACAAAAGUUUUUGUGGGCGGUGAUGUGCGAUUUUAUGCCCUCCUUAGUCUUUUCUUGAUUCCGCGGUAUUGUUGGAUCGAAGCGGCUCGGACCGACAUUACUCGUACGCUUAUGAGAGACUGGUUUCAUCGCUACGCUCAACCCCAUUGCUUAAAGAUGACUGGCGAGUGUCGGUUUCUCCAACUUUAGUUGAAUCGGAUUUGACCGAGGAGGUCCUUGGAGAGAGGUUAAACAACAAUUCAUACAUCUCCGUUGUGGUGUUUGAGUAAGUAAUAUGCGAUCCUACUAGAUACCCAUGGCAACCAUGUAAAACAUGCAACAACAAUUAGAGGACGUCUAACUUGUUUUUGCAGGGUAUGCUUGUGAUGUGAUAUGGACAACGACGUGAUGUGAUAUAUUGGAUGUAUGAGAUGAUCAUGUUGUAAUAGUUAAUAUCGACUUGCACGCCGAUGCUAGGGCAACCGGCAGGAGCCAUAGGGUUGUCUUUAAACUAACGUUUUUGUUUGCAGAUGCGUUUACUAUAUUGUUAGGACGUAGCUUUAGUAGUAAUAGCAUAGCAUACACGACAAGCUCGAUGGCGGCACAAUGAUGGAGAUCAUGAUGAUGGGGAUCAUGGUGUGGCACCGAUGACAAGAAGAUCAUACCGGUGCUUUGGUGGUGGAGAUCAAGGAGCACUUGAUGAUGGCCAUAUCAUGUCACUUAUGAAUUGCAUGUGAUGUUAAUCCUUUAUGCACCUUAUCUUGCUUAGAACGACGGUAGCAUUAUGAGGUGAUCUCUCACUAAAAUUUCAAGAUGAAAUUGUGUUCUCCCCGACUGUGCACUGUUGUGACAGUUCGUCGUUUCGAGACACCACGUGAUGAUCGGGUGUGAUAGACUCAACGUUCACAUACAACAGGUGCAAAACAGUUGCACACGCGGAACACUCGGGUUAAGAUUGACAAGCCUAGCAUGUGCAGACAUGGCCUUAGAACACAUGAGACCGAAAGGUCGAGCAUGAAUCGUAUAGUUGAUAUGAUUAGCAUAGAGAUGCUUACCACUAAAACUAUUCUCGACUCACGUGAAGAUAGGACUUGAGAUAGUGGAUUUGGAUCAUGUACCACUCAAAUGACUAGAGAGAUGUACUUUUUGAGUGGGAGUUCUUAAGUAAUAUGAUUAAUUGAACUAAUUGUCAUAAACAUAGUCUAAUGGUCUUUGAGAAUUACGAUGUAGCUUGCACUAUAGCUCUACUAUUUUUAUAUGUUCCUAGAGAAAAUUUAGUUGAAAGUUGAUAGUAGCAAACUUUGCGGACUGAGUCUGUAAAACUGAGGAUUGUCCUCGUUGCUGCGCAGAAGGCUUAUGUUCUUAAUGCACCACUCGGUGUACUGCACCUCGAGCGUCGUCUGUGGAUGUUGUGAACAUCCGACAUACACGUUUCUGAUGACUACGCGAUAGUUCAAUGCAAAAUACUUAAUGGCUUAGAAGCAAGGCACCGAAGACGUUUUGAAAUGUUACGGAACAUAAGAGAUGUUCUAAAGAGAUGAAAUUGUGAUUUCAUGCUUGUACCCUUGUUAAGAGGUAUGAGACCUCAGACAAGAUUCUUGGUCCACGAAGUAAAGGAGAAAAGCUCAAUCGUUGAGCGUGUGCUCAGAUUGUCUGAGUACGACAAUCGCUUGAAUCAAGUGGGAGUUAAUCUUCCAGAUGAGAUAGUGAUGGUUCUCCAAAGUCACUGCCACCAAGCUGUGAGAGCUUCGUGAUGAACUAUAACAUAUCAAGGAUAGAUACAAUGAUCCUUGAGUGAUUUGCGAUGUUUGACACUGCGAAAGUAGAAAUCAAGAAGGAGCAUCAAUAGUUGAUGGUUAGUAAAACCACUAAGUUUGAAGAAAGGCAAGGGCUAGAAGGGAUACUUUGUGAAACGGCAAAACAGUUGCUGCACUAAUGGAGAGACCCAAGAUUAAACCCAAACCCGAGACUAAGUGCUUCUGUUAUGAGGGGAACGGUCACUGAGGCGGAGCUACCCUAGAUGCGUGGUAGAUAAGAAGGCUGGCUAAGUCGAAAGAAGUAUAUUUGAUAUACAUGAUGUUGAUGUGUACUUUACUAGUACUCCUAGUAGCGCGAGGGUAUUGGAUACCGGUUCGGUUGCUAAGUGAUUAGUAACACGAAAUGAAAGCUACGGAAUAAACGGAGACUAGCUAAAGACGAGGUGACGAUACGUGUUGGAAGUGUUUCCAAGGUUGAUAUGAUCAAACAUCGCACGCUCCCUCUACCAUCGGGAUUGGUGUUAAACCUAAAUAAUUGUUAUUUGGUGCUUGCGUUAAGCAUGAACAUGAUUGGAUCGUGUUUAUUGCAAUACGAUUAUUCAUUUAAAGAGAAUAAUGGUUACUCUAUUUUCUUGAAUAAUCACCUUCAAUGGUUUAUUGAAUCUCGAUCGUAGUGUUACACAUGUUCAUGAUAUUGGUGCCAAAAGAUACAAGGUAAUGAUGAUAGUACCACUUACUUGUUGCACUGUCGCUUGAGUCAUGUUGGUAUAAAUUGCAUGAAGAGGCUCCAUGCUGAUGGAUCUUUAUACUCACUUGAUUUUGAAUCACUUGUGAAAUGCAAAUCAUACCACAUGAGCAAGGCCUUAUUUUCAUUGAGAUUAAACUAGAUAGUAACUUGUUGGAAGUAAUACAUUUUGAUGUAUGCAGUACAAUGGGUGCUGAGGCACGCAGUGGAUAUCAUUACGUUCUUACUUCAAUGACGAUUUGAGUAGAUACAGGAGUAUUUACUUGAUGAAUCACAAGUCUGAAAUAUUGAAAAAGUUCAAUUCUGUUUCAGAGUGAAGUUCGUCGUAACAAGAGGAUAAACUGUCUACGAUAUGAUCAUAGAGAUGAAUAUCUGAGUUGCGAGUUUUGUUACACAGUUAAGACAAUGUGGAAGUUGUUUCACAAUUCAUGCCACCAAGAACACCAUGGUGUGAUGGUGUCAUAGCUGCAACCUAUUUGAUAUGGUGUAUACUAUGAUGUUUCUUAUCGGGUUAACACUAUCAUUUAUGGGUUAUGCAUUAGAGACAACCGCAUUCACUUUAAAUAGGGCACCACGUAAUUUUGUUGAGAUGACACAGUAUAGACGGAGGUUUAGAGAAAUCUAAGCUGUCGUUUCUUGAAAGUUUAGGGUUGCGACGCUUAUAUGAAAAAGUUUCAGUCUGAUAAGCUCGAACCCAAAGCGGAUGAAUGCAUCUUCAUAGGAUGUCCAAAACAGUUGGGAGCAUCUCCUAUCUCAGAUCCGGAAGCAAAGUGUUUGUUUCUAGAAAACGGGUCCUUUCUCGAGGAAAGGUUUCUCUUGAAAGAAUUGAGUGGGAGGGUGGUAGAAAUUGAUGAGGUUAUUGAACCAUCACUUCAACAAAGUGUGUAGCAGGGCAGAGGAAGUUGUUCCUAUGGCGCCUACACCAAUUGAAGUGGAAGCUGAUGAUGGUGAUCAUUAAGCAUUGGAUCAAGUUACUACAAACCUCGUAGGUCGACAAGGUCGCAUACAACUACAGAGUGGUACACCCUGUCUUGGAGGUCAUGUUGUUGAACAACGAUGAACCUACGAGUUAUGGAGAAGCAAUGGUGGGCCCGGAUUCCGACAAAUGGCUGGAGGCCAUGAAAUCCGAGAGAGAAUCCAUGUGUAAGAACAAAGUAUAGACUUUGGAAGAACUACUUGGUGGUCAUAGGACUAUUAAGUAAAGAUGGAUAUUUAUAAGGAAGACAAACGUUGAUGGUGAAACGUCACCAUUGAGAAAAGCUCGACUUGUCGGAAGGAUGUUUUCUGACAAGUUCAAAGAGUUGAGUAUGAUGAGACUUUCUCACUCAUAGCGAUGCUAAAGGUCUGUUGGAAUUAUGUUAGCAGCUGCUGCAUUAUUUAUGAAAUAUUGCACAUAGGAUGUCAAAACAUUGUUUUCCUCGACGGAAAGGUUUUAUGCGAUACAACCGGAAAGUUUUGUCGAUCCUAAGGAUGCUAACAAGUAUGCAAGCUCCAGCGAUCCUUCUAUGGACUGGUGCAAGCAUCUCGGUGUUGGAAUAUAUGCUUUGAUGAGUUGAUCAAAGCUUUUGGUUUUAUACAAGGUUUGUGAGAAACUUGUAUUUCCAAAGAAGUGAGUGGGAGCACUAUAGAAUUUCUGAUAAGUAUAUGUGGUUGACAUAUUGUGGAUCAUAAGUAAUGUAGAAUUUCUGUAAAGCAUAAAAGGUUGUUUGAAAGGAGUUUUUCAAAGGAAUAACUGGAUUGCGCUACCUGAACGUUGAGCAUCAAGAUCUAUGGAGAUAGAUCGAAAUGCUUAAUAGAAGUUUCAACAAGAUGCAUGCCUUGACAAGUUUUUGAAAGAGUUCAAAAUAGAUCAGCAAAGAAGGAGUUCUUGGUUGUGUUGUAAGGUGUGAAUUUGAGUAAGACUCAAAACCCGACCCCGGCAGAAUAAAGAGAAUAGACGAAGGUCGUCUUCUAUGCCUUAGCCGUAGAAUCUGAAGUAUGCCAUGCUGAUUACCGCACCUGAUGUGUGCCUUGCCUCAAGUCUGUUGAGAGGUACAGAGAGUGAUCCAUGAUUGAAUCACUAGCAGCGGUCAAAGUUAUCCUUAGUAACUAAUGGACUAAGGAAUUUUUCUCGAUUAUGGAGGUGGUUAAAGAGUUCGUCGUAAAGGGUUAUGUCGAUGCAAGCUUUGACACUAAUCUGAAUAACUAUGAGUAGUGAAACGGAUUCGUAUGGUAGAGUAGAUAUUUGGAAUAUUUCCGAAUAGCACUUAGUAGCAGUAUCUAUAAGAUGACAUAAAUAUUUGUAAAGCUCACUCGGAUCUGAAAGGGUUCAGAACCGUCGACUAAAACCUCUCUCACAAGCAAGACCUGAUCAAACCCGAGAACUGUAAGGGUGUUGGAUUCGUUAGAAUCACAUAGUGAUGUGGACUAGAUUAUUGACUCUAGUGCAAGUGGGAGACUCUUGGAAAUAUGCCCUAGAGGCAAUAAUAAAUUAGUUAUUAUUAUAUUUCUUUGUUCAUGAUAAUCGUUUAUUAUCCAUGUUAUAAUUGUAUUGAUUGGAAACACAAUACAUGUGUGGAUACAUAGACACAACACUGUCCCUAGUAAGCCUCUAGUUGACUAGCUCGUUGAUCAAAGAUGGUCAAGGUUUCCUGACCAUAGGCAAGUGUUGUCACUUGAUAACGGGAUCACAUCAUUAGGAGAAUCAUGUGAUGGACUAGUCCCAAACUAAUGAACGUAGUAUGUUGAUCGUGUCAUUUUGUUGCUACUGUUUUUCUGCGUGUCAAGUAUUUAUUCCUAUGACCAUGAGAUCAUAUAACUCACUGGCACCGGAGGAAUACCUUGUGUGUAUCAAACGUCACAACGUAACUGGGUGACUAUAAAGAUGCUCUACAGGUAUCUCCAAAGGUGUCCGUUGAGUUAGUAUGGAUCAAUACUGGGAUUUGUCACUAAGUGUGACGGAGAGGUAUCUCGGGGCCCACUCGGUAAUACAACAUCACACACAAGCCUUGCAAGCAAUGUGAUUUAGUGUAUGUCACGGGAUCUUGUAUUGCGGAAUGAGUAAAGAGACUUGCCAGUAAACGAGAUUGAAAUAGGUAUGUCGAUACUGACGAUCGAAUCUCGGGCAAGUAACAUACCGAAGGACAAAGGGAAUGACAUACGGGAUUAUAUGAAUCCUUGACACUGAGGUUCAACCGAUAAGAUCUUCGAAGAAUAUGUAGGAUCCAAUAUGGGCAUCCAGGUCCCUCUAUUGGAUAUUGACCGACGAGUCUAUCGGGUCAUGUCUACAUAGUUCUCGAACCCCCAGGGUCUGCACACUUAAGGUUUGACAAUGUUUUAUGCGUAUUUGAGUUAUAUGGUCGGUUACCGAAUGUUGUUCGGAGUCCCGGAUGGGAUCACGGACGUCACGAUGGUUUCCGGAAUGGUCCGAAAAUGAAGAUUGAUAUAUAGGUUUGUCUCAUUUGGUUACCGAAGGUUUUCAGGCAUUACCGGCAUCGUACCGGGAGUGACUAAUCGGUUCCGGGAAUUUAUCGGGAGGGGGGGAACCCACCCGGGAGUGGCCCAAGGCCUUAGAGGUGACACACCAGCCCUUAGUGGCAUGGUGGGACAGACAAGAAAGGCCCAUGGCGCCACCAAGGAAAAACCAAAGAGAAAAACAAAAAAAAGGAAGUGGGAAGGUGGAGAAGGAGUUCACUUUCCAAUCCUAGUUGCACUAGGAUUGGAGGGGGAGGACUUCUCCCCUUGGUUCGGCCGACCCCUUGGGGCUCCCUUGAGCCUCAAGGCAAGGUCCCUCCCCUCCCUCCUAUAUAUACUGGGGUAUUAGGGCUGAUUUGAGACAACUUUGCCACGGCAGCCCGACCACAUACCUCCACGUUUUUCCUCCAGAUCGUAUUUUUGCGGAGCUCGGGCGGAGCCCUCCUGGGAUAGAUCACCACCAACCUCCCGAGCGCCGUCACCCUCCAUAGAACUCAUCUACCUCUCCGUCUCUCUUGCUGGAUCAAGAAGUCCGAGAUCAUCGCCGCGUUGUACGUGUGCUGGACGCGGAGGUGCCGUCCGUUCGGCACUAGAUCGGGAAGGAUCAUGAUGAGAUCGCGGGACGGAUCGCGAUGAAGUUCGCAGGACGGAUCGUGAUGAGAUCGUGGGAUGGAGUGUGCGACUACGAUGAUUUGAAUCACGCAAGCUGUUCCACUACAUCGUCCGCGUUUCUUAACGCUUACCGCUGUGCGAUCUACAAGGGUACGUAGAUCGGAAAUCUCCUCUCGUAGAUGAACAUCACCAUGAUAGGUAUUGCGUGUGCGUAGGAAAUUUUUUGUUUCCCAUGCGACGUUCCCCAACACGACUGGCUACAUGGGAUGGACGACAGGCGCCCGGGCGAUGGGGUUGGAGACCCUCGUGCUAGGGAACCUGCGCGCGUGGCCCCUUCAGGCUGCAGAGGCAUGCCUUUGUCGGGAGCCAGGAGGAAGCACGACGGAGACGACCGGGAAGGCCACAAGAAGUCGUGGAAGGAAGUGCUGCUGGGGAGGAACCGCGGCAAGGAGGCAGCUGCGGCCAACUCCUCCUCGGAGUGCCACGGGAGUGGGACGCCAACUUCCAAGCACCGGCAAGGGGGACCGAGGGCACGCGCAACCGCUGCGNNNNNNNNNNNNNNNNNNNNNNNNNNNNNNNNNNNNNNNNNNNNNNNNNGGGGGGGGGGAGGGGCACCAAGCCUAUGGCGCAGGUGCCGGGUCACCACAAUGAGCCAAUGGGCAGGCCACCGGCAAGGCAGCCUAAGGCGGUGGCCAACAAUCUCCACGCACUGCCGCGCCCCCUUCAAUCUGGUGUGCCACGCCACGUGACCCCGGACCCUGUGGUAGAGUUCUUCGAUGGUGAAGAAGGGGAUGUGCCUGCCCCGAAGCAUAUCGACCCGCACGCCCUCACCCUUGAUGUAGCGGCCACGGGCAAAUCUAGCAAGCCUCUGAGCUUCACCGAUGAUGAGGACGCGGGAAGCGGAGGAGAGCACACGAUGGACCUGGGACCGGCGCUAUCCCUGGCAAGGCAUACCCCUGGGGUGGCAACCACCCAUUCCCUGCAACUGGGGACUGUUACUGGCCAGGUUUGCCUGCUGCAGAUCGGGGACUCGAGCGGCUCCGGCUUGCGUUCGCAAUACGGGCAACCGAAGGAUGCAAUUAUCGUCAGGGAGACGGGCGACGACCACGAGGAGGAGGAGCAAGGCGCUGCUACCGACCCAGCAUAUCUCUUCAUCGAUGUAUCCUCGUCCGUCCUAGGGGAAGCACCACCGCGCAGCAAGACCCCAAUGAGGAGGCAAUUCCGAUACGGUCCAUCUCUCAAGCCUUUGGAAAAGUUACCAUAUGAGAGGACCACGCAGGAAAACGAGGACAUAUGCCGUGCCCAAUUGAGGGAGCAUUUUGCAAACAAAACUCCACCUCUGAAGGAGAAGCUAGAUCCGGUGAAAGUGAACGGCACUAUCAAUGCCCUGAAGCGACCACCACCGCCUCCGCCGGAUUCCAACUAUGACCGCACAUUCUUAAAAAGACAUAUGAAGCAGCGCGGUGGUCGGGAAGUACUUCCAGUGAUGCAAGGUUAGCAAAACGAAGAAGUGGGAAAACAAUUCCCCAGCUCGGCGAACAGGAGAAGCAAUUGUGCCCUCCGCUCAAGGUGUCUAGCGAUAUCGUCGUUAAUCCUCCGGGGAUGGUGCCUGGUACCAAUCCUUGUGAUUACUUGGGGGAUGAUGUAAUUUUUCAAACGGAUGAGGUAACAGAACAAUAUAAAUACGUGCACGGGAACCCUCUCGUCCCCCCUGAUCAUCCACCUCUAACAACAAUGAUGCACAAAUUGCAUGAGUGGUACAUGAAAACGUGCAGGGAGUCUGGGAGAGAUACUAUUUAUGUGGCAGUGAAAUCAGAGCACGAAUUCAUUGGACUUCCUGUGAUGCCUAUUGAGGAGUUAUUUCAGUUAUACAAUCAACUGGCCCUCGACAAACAACUCAUGACUUCCUACUUUCUGUAAGUAUUAUUUCUAUAGUUAAGUCUCUAGCUCAGCUCGUUCAUUGCAUGUAUAUAUAUUUAUCCUCACUAUAUUAUGCAGAUUGAAGAUCGUCGAAUGCAAAAAAGCAGGAAUCUUCGACGUUGGGUUCAUUAGCUCAGAUGCCGUAAAUGAAUGGUCGGUACGAAACCCAAUCAUAGAGGCCGAGAAGAACUUGCUAAAGUCGUUACUUAUACAUCAAAACAAGAAAGAAAUACUCCUUCCUUACAACUUCAAGUCAGUGUUGUUGUCUUCUCUGUAUACUCGGUUUCGCUUACUCGAGGUUAAGUAAUGUAAUUGAUGAGUUAUAUAUGCAUGCGCAGUUUUCACUUUAUUCUGCUAUCCAUUAAGCUUGACGAGACAUUAGUAACUGUCUUUGACUCGAGAUGUAAAAAUCCUGAGGAUUAUGCGGACAUGACUGCAAUGCUCAAGAAGUAAGUUCAGUCAAUACCGGGACCAUAUCGGCAUACAACUUUCGUUAAUUUUCUAAUAUCAAGUAAUCAUUUUCUUGGUUUGGCAGGGUUUGGAACAAGUUCACCAAAAAGGCUCCCGAUCUAAACAAGGAGUUACCAUUUACGCACCCCAACGUAAGUAGUACUAGCUAUGUCUGCGCAUCUCUAAUUGAUUCAAAUUUUCAUCAAUAUAUCAUUACCAUGCUUGCUUAUCAAUUUGAUUGAACUCUAUUCUCGUAAAGUACAUGUAUGAUCUUGUCAAACCUUUGGGGAAAAAUUAAUAAGAAUGACUGCAUGCAUCGAUUGAUGGAGAGGCCGAGGGUUGAACGUCCUUUUCUAAAAAAUUCUCCAAGAAAAUAAAUAAAUUCAAGUGUGACAAGCACGAAACCAGAAGUGCAGGAAUCAUCAUCUUAAGUCAAGCCAAGAAUCGAUCAUGUUUUCAUGGUCAUCCCAAAAGAAAUUCAUUCAACAUGCUUACAAAUGUAUACAAUAAUACAAAAGCAACAUCACAGAUGAAGAUAUCCGCAGUUCUUCAUUGCCUAGAGAUCUGCUCAAGCGCCUCGAGAACCACCUCCAUUGAGGGUCUGCUCCCAGGCUCGCUGUCCAAUCAGCUCAGCGCCACAUGCACCA
rnacentral:lncRNA from 1 species